rnacentral:lncRNA from 1 species
UCUUACUUAAAUAUCUAAUUUGUCGAAAAUUUUGGGAAGACUCAAUUUCUUGUUAAUUUUCAGGUGUCAAAGUCUGGAUUUACAAAAUAUAAAUUUGAACUACCAUUAGGACUCUAGGCUGGGGUAGAAUUAUUUUUAUUCUAAUCAUAGAUCAAAUUUGGAAUUUGGAAUAUCCAAACAUCCGCACUUGAAAACUACUUCUCCUUAAAUUGAUACCAAUUGAAUUUCUUAACCUGACCAGUUUUUGUCAAUAUUUUACUAUCAAAGAUAGAGGAAGCCACAUAAAUUAGGGAAAAUCUUGGGAGGUGCCAACAGAACUGUGUCAUCGUCCCACAACAUCAGAAUUAUAUUCUGUGAUUUUCACAAUUAAUUAUCCUUAAUAAAUUUGUUAUCAGUCACCAAGAACAAAGAAUUUCCUUGUUUGAAAAAAUAAUUCCAGUGUAUGGUGCAGGUAAGAAAAUUGAGUUCUAUACAAGGUACUUAGAUUGUGCAGUGUUUAUGGCCAUGGGGGUUGGUUACUGGAAAUGAUAAAACCUACAAAAAUGUCGAGGGUUCAAAUCCCUUCUUAUACAGGGAAUGGGAAGGGAUUUGUUAUAUAUGUAUGUAAUAUUUUAAAAAAUCAAAGUUUAAAAUUAACUAGUAGUGAUAGCUUAUUUUGCAAACCAAAAGACGGGAAAUCCAGUGAAAUUUAGAACCUUAACUAAUUUUUUUCUUUUUUCCCCUCCCAAAUGAUUCCGUUUUCUGUUGCAGGUAAGCCAAAUUCUGUACGAGGUACUGAGGUUAUAUUCACCAGCACCUCUGCUUACUCGAGCUAAUGUUAAGGAGAUUAAGCUAGGAGAAAUUGUUAUACCAUCUGGAGUUUUACUUUCAUUGCCAAUAAUGCUUGUUCAUCAUGAUCAUGAAUACUGGGGCGAUGAUGCAAAAAAGUUCAACCCAGAUAGGUUUUCAGAAGGAGUCUCAAAGGCAUCGAAGAAUCAAGUUUCAUUCUUCUCAUUUGGUUGGGGUCCUCGAAUCUGCCUUGGACAAAACUUUGCUCUGUUGGAAUCGAAAUUAGCUUUAGCAAUGAUUUUGCAGAAGUUCACUUUCCAGCUUUCACCAACUUAUAUGCAUGCUCCUACUCGUGGGGUAACUGUAUAUCCACAGCAUGGUGCUAAUAUCAUUUUACACAAAAUUUAGUAUGCAUUACUAUCGCAAGUAUUCAGAAUUCUUGCCAUAUAAUAUAUGUAGAGCAAGAACUUUAUUAUUUUGAUUUACCGUUUUAAAUUUUCUCAGUACUCUUCUUUCCAAUAAAUUUAGAGUUGCAAUUUUUUUUUCUACUUAGUAUACAAAGUUGAUUAGGCCUCUUGUGGUGAAAGCAAAAAAAUAAAAACAAAUUAACCUUUCGUGUUUAAAAAAAAUAAAAAUUAAAUUUUAAAAAAAUAAAAAUUAUUUUUAAAAUGUGAGUCAAGCAUUUUUUUUUUUUUGCAAGCUCAAGCCUAGUCGAAUCUAGAGUGGGUGAAAAACAGGGCCCAAAUCUUGGCUCUAUACAUUGGACCUUAAUGAAAUCCUAACGGUCCAAUCUGGACGAAGUUCAUGCUGAGGAAAUGAGAAAUAAAUAUGACAGAUCAAUGGUUUUGAAGCGUUUAUAACACUUUUUUUAAAGGCUUUUUUUGAGUAUUUGUAGAUCGAAUUUUACAGAUUAGAUAUUAAUUUAUAUCCGAUUAAUAAUUUUAUGGAUUUUAAAUUGUCAAUCUAAUCAAAUCCAUAAAUUGGUGAAAUUCAUUUAAGACCAAUUCAUGUGUCAACAAAUCAAAUGCGGAUUUGAUCCAAUACUUAUCUAAUCCACCAUUUUACAAAUUAGUUUAAAAUUUUGUAAUUCUGUCAAAUCCACAAACUAAUUAAACAAAAAAAUUUAAUAUAAAAAUAAUUUUACUACCGAUCAAAUUCAAAAUUGAAUAAGAUUUAAAUAAAUUAAUUGUUUAAAUAAAGUUAGAAUAAAGCAUUUAGAGUUUCAAAAUAUACCACAUCGAAAAGAAAAAAAAAUCUCAUUUGUUUAAAUUAAUACAUAAAAAUUAGCUGAAAUUAUGAAAAUUAACUAUUUAGGAAUUGUUUUGUCUUGCUUGACCCAAGGAAGAGGAAUUGUUUUGUCUUACCUUUGGUUGAAUACCGAUUAUUAUUAUUUGGUGAGACCAAUUAAUUGUUUAUACAUACUUAAAAAAUAAUUUUAUCCAACCUUUUAAUUACAUUUUAUUAUAGGUAAUUAUGUAUAAACUAAAGUUAGUAUGUCGCAUACAAUUGAAAAAAAAAAAAAGAGUGCCCCGCACAUAUGACUAAUGGAAAUUAAUUAUAAGCUACCCGAAUUUUGACAUGGCUAGAUAUUUUUAAAUAAAAUAAAAUUAAAAGGCUUGUAAUUGGCCAAUUUGUUAAAAUAAUAAUUGAUGACAAACAAGUUAGACAAAUUUGUCUAUACAAAGGAUUGUGGAUGAGAGAAUUAUUUGAAAAGUCAGUCAAUCCCUUUAUAUGCAAAUUGAUGUGAUCAAGUUACAUAUAUAAAUUCUAACAAAGUGUUUGUGGUUUUACCAUUACUCAUUUAGAAAUUGUGUUCAAUUCUAGCCGAUCAUUUUAUAAAUUGUUGAAAAGCAAAAAUUUGGAAAAGUCUAGUCACAGGAGUUAACAUUUUAUCUAGAUAAAAUAGUAAUAACAAAAUAUGUUGGUUAAAAUUAGUGAAAAUAAAACAUUCAACUAAUAUUUUUUUUAAUUUUGUCAAUGCCUUAGGAAAUAAAUUACUUGGUCAUAAAAAAUACAAAGUUGUCUAAGACAAAACUUUUAGUUACUAUUUUUAGUUUUGUCACCAUAAUAACUCAUCUACGACUAAAAAACAAGAUCUUAAAAUUAUAAUAAAUCAAAAUAGCUUUAGAGACUAAUAUUAUGUGUUAUUGAUGGUUUGCCUAAAUUAACACCUGUGUUUUAGUUACAAAAUAUUUUUGUCACCUAUAAUUAUAUUUCUCGACCAUUUAUUUUGUCAUGAAUGACUUUUUCUUAAUUGGAUACGCGUAAUAUCUCUUGGAAUAAUCAUCAAUGAAAGUUAUCAAGUACUUUUCACCUCUCAGGAAUAUAUAUGGCAAUUCCCAAAUAUCAGAAUGAAUUAAGUUAAAAAUGCUUCUACUUUUGCCGCUAGAUUUGUUAAACUUGAAUCUAUGCUGCUUGUAAUACAAUGGUCACAAAACGAUGAGUUUUCCUAUUUAAACCUCGGAAGCAACUUUUGCUCAGAGAUAAUCUUUAAACCUUAUUUCGAUAUGUGGCUAAGUUUGAGAUGCCACAUUAUUGUCGAUUCUUCUUCAUUUGACGUGACACAUCAGCUUCUUGUAGUGUUUCCCCUUUAGGCAUGAAUAAAAUUAACACCGAUCUUUUCCACCUUCAUCAAUACAAAUGCGCCUUUAACAAUCUUCAUGAUCCCAUUUUUCAUAUGAGCUUUGCGUCCAAGUCACUCAAUUCGUCCUAAAGACCAUAAAUUAUUUUUCAUGCCUUUGACAUGUCGUAUCUCCUUAAUUGUGCGAACUGUACCAUCAAACAUUUUUCUUUUGACAGCACUAAUACCAGAGAUUUUUGAGUCACCCAUGUACACAUAUUCUCUUAAAAAGGUCCAUGUUUGUGGAACCAUUCUCUUUAAGAGGCCAUGUGUCAUGUUGCUCCUAAGUCUAUAAGCCAAAUGUCAGCCAAAUGCUUCCUGUCUUCUGCAAGAAUUACUGUCUCGCUGUAGAGAAUUUUUCCAUCAUCAAAAGUACUUAUUGUACAAUCAUGAGCAUUUGAUGACUUAACUUUAUUGUCUCUACUUUGCUUAUUUUUCCAACACUCUUUCUUGACAUGCCCUUUCUUGCCGUAAUUGUAGCAUUUAACAUUCUUGUUACUUCUUGAUUUUGAUAUACUAUGAUUACGACCUCCACUGGGGCCACGUUCUGUUGAUCUAUUUCUAGUCAUCGAUAAUGCUUUUGCUUGCUGCGAACUUGCCUGCCUACAUUCCUUGUUUUUUUUUUUUGUUUGCUUUCUUCAUUUAAUAUAGAGGUUACAACAUUGCCAAAGACUAGACUAUCUAUUUGGUUAUUGUUUGUUAGAUUAAUGAUGAGUUGAUCGUAUGAAUUUGAAAAGUGUAAAGAUUCCUUUUUAAGAAAAUCUUGUUUUGUAAAGACUUGUUCUCGUACAAUUUUGUAAGAGUAUCCCAUAUUUUCUUUGCUCUCUUUUUCUCUCUACACUAGAAAACACUUCAUUAGCCAGUGCUAAAUGUAGAUCCAUAGUUGCAUUACUGUCUACCUCGUUCUACUUGGCAUCAUCAGUUAUCUCCAUGGACUUUUCUCUUAUUGUUACCAUGCAAUUUUUUUUCCUCAAAAUAGCCUUCAUCUUUAUUUUCUACAACGACGAAUUAUUUUCGUUGAACUUCUCAAUUUCGUAUUUUGCGACCAUUGUUUUUUCACCACGAACUACAUUUGCUAAGAUUGGCUCCCAUCGUUUCACGUGAAUACUAACCAUAUAUGUGAACAGUACUAUAUAUGUGAAUAGUACUGUGACAACCAACUUGGCUCUAAUACCACAAUUAGGAAAUUAAUGGUGAAGCAGGGCCACAAUAAAAUGAAAUUGGAGAAAAAUAAAGAAUAAGCAUACAAAGAGGACACUAGAAAUUGCGUGAUUAAGCUUUUAACCUAUAUCUAUAGGCGAAGACAGAAGGAUAAAACUUCACUAGUGCAAAGAAGAUUAUAAGUAUUGUAAGAUUUUACCCUUACUUUCUAGAACCCAAUACACCCAAUCGCUCAAUCACUAAACUCUCAGCUUCUCGCUCUUGAUAGAAGAAACAAUUUGAAGAAAAGAAAUGAAAAUUUUUUUUUACAAAAUGGGCAUUAAUUUACAAUUUAUGGGGAACUCCCCUUUUAUAGCCAAAAUAAUCUAUUAUUUUAAUUUCUUCUUUUUUUUGUCCUUCUCAUGGCUUCUUCAACGUCGAAGCCAUAAACUGCCAUUUUCCUUCAAACUUUUUGGCGCCGAUCAUUAUUUGUCAAAUUUAACAUUUGCGGCUUCUUCAUUUGCGGCACCAGCUUCUACAUUUGAUAGCCAAGCCAAGAAGCCACAGACAGAAGAAGAAGCACUCGGUUACUAUCGAUGGUUGUUAAGCAGUCAAACAGCCAAGAUGAAAAAAAACAUUUAGGCAAUCUACGAUCUCAUUUUUUCCUUUCGCAAAAAAAUCCGUGCACGAUCCCCUCUUCAAUUUCCAAUUUUAUUAUUCCCUCUUCAUUUUUAAUAUUUUUCCCUUUGCAAAUCCUCUUUAAAAUCGUUUGAUCAAGUAGCCUAUCACUCUUAAAAAUAACCAGUUCAGGUGGUUGACUACUUGUUACUACUUUUUGAUAAGUUUCAUGGCAUGGAUUCAAAUUAAAACACAUUAGAUGCUCUCGGAUUCUCUACACUGUAAGUUACGUAAACAUAACUGAGGAAUUGCCUAAUAUAAAUUAUUUAAAAUAUAUUUUAUUAAAAGUAUCCUGUCUUUCUACACGUUUUAGAAGUUUUUGGGAUUGAUGCCAACUUAGAGUUAUCCAAAUCUUUUCUUUUUAAAUAAAUAAAUAAAUCAUUCUGCAUUUUGGUUCAUACAGAGCACAAAUAUAGCCACAAUCAAAUUCGGCAGUUAUGUUUCUCAUUUUGUAGAAAACUCUAUUGUAUAAAAUUCACUACUACAAAAUUAGUAUUUAAUGACGGUUUUAAAAGACAUAAGAUGACGGUUUUAGGCAGCGACAUUAAAAAGGGUACACUGUUUAUGACAGUUCAAAAACCGUCAUUAAAUGUAUACAUAUAAUGAUGGUUAUUUUAUUAAACAAUCAUUAUUUGAGAUAUAUUAUAGAGUUUCAAUGACAGGUUUUUCUUAAAAAUUGUCAUUAAAAAAUACCAUUCAAUGAAGGUUCUUUAAAUAACGGUCAUCAAUACUACUUUAGCAUAUAUUUUUAAUGAUAGUUUUCUUCAAAACCGUCAUUAAAUGUCAAUUUUUAAUGACGAUUUUAUAUAAAACAAUCAUCUUAUAUAGGUCUUUGAUGACCAUUCUUAUUUAAAAUUACCAUGCUUCAAUUGUUUUUUUUAGAUUAAAAUUUACAUAGUUGUUUUCACAUUCUAAACUGUACAAUUGAAGCUGCAUUGGCAAAUUUCAAUUUACAUUACACAUUGAUAUAAUUGUCAUUUACAUACAAAGAACUCAAAUACAUGCAAGCUUAAUUAUAACAGUUUAGCACUUAAAUAACCUUGAUCAAAGUAACUCCUAAUAAUGAAAAAAUAUGCUACGCGAAUUCUCAAAUUUAAAUCCUAUCAAAAACAUGGUUGGCACCACUUUUUUAGAUGGGCGGUGCCAAACCAUCAACAUUUUCAACACGGCCCGCCAUUUUUGGUGGUGCUGAAAUGCUUGAAGAAGAAAAAUGAGAAAAAAGAACAAAAGAAGAAAGAAGAAGUCGAAAGAUUUGAAAGGAAAAAUAAUAAAAUAUUAAUAGUAUUAUUUUAUUGAAAAAAAGGAAGGGAAAUGAAGCCUAUAAAUAGAAGGCUUUAAUUCCCCUCUCGGCAUCCCAUUCUUCAGUUUUUAAUCUUUUGUCAGAGAGGAAAAAUUAAGAGUCUUAAUACUCUUGUGUAAUUAGUGAGUGAGAGAUUGGGUGUAUUGGGGUUCUGGGAAGUGAGCCAAAAUAUUACAAUACUUGUAAUUUUCAUAUCACUAGUGAAAUAUUUUCCUUCUAUAUUCGCCUGUGGACGUAGGCUGAAAGCUGAACCACGUAAUUUUCUGGUGUCCUCUUUUGUACUUGUUCUUUAUUUUCUUCCAAUUUCAUUUUAGCUGUGGUCUUCCUUCACCCAUCAAUUUCCUAACAGUGAUAUCAAAGCUAGGUUGUAUUUUUUGGAGUCAGGUUGUUGUUCACGUAAAAGUACUAUUCAGAUGUAAAAUAUUGUCCACGUAUACGAUAUUGUUCACGUAUAUGAUAUUGUUCACGUAUAUGAUACUAUUCACGUAUACGGCUUUGUUCAUGUAUACAAUUACUGUUCACGUGAAACGGUGGGAGCUGAUCCUAACAAAGUUAGUUUUUGGUGAACAGUAAUGGCAGCAAAAUACGAAAUUGAGAAGUUCAACGGAAAUAAUUUUCCGUUGUGGAAAAUAAAGAUAAAAGUUGUAUUGAGGAUAAAUAAUUGCUUGACAGCAAUUGGAGAAAAGCCCACGAAGAUAACUAAUGACAAGUGGAACAAGAUAAACGGGAUCGCCAUUUCGGAUCUACACUUAGCACUUGUGGAUGGAGUAUUAUCUAGUGUGGUAGAGAAAAAGACAGUAAAGGAAAUAUUGGAUACUCCCACAAAAUUUUACGAGGCCAAGUCGCUGCACAACAAGACUUCUUAAAAAUGAGACUCUAUACUUCGAAUGACGGAAUCUACAUCAGUGACUGACCACAUCAACACCUUAAAGACUUUAUUUUCACAACUCACAAUGUUGGGUCAUAAUAUAGAGGAAAAUGUACGUGCAGGGCUCCUACUUCAAAGUCUACUAGAUUUGUAUGAUCAAGUCAUUAUCAACCUUACAAACAAUAAUCCAGCGGACAAUUUAGUUUUCGACGAUGUUGCCGCUUCCGUAUUAAAUGAAGAAAGUAGGCAGAAAAAUAAGGAAGACAGACAAGCAAGUUCGCAAUAAGCAGAAACACUAUCGGUAACAAGAGAGAGAUCAACAGAAUUUGGCUCCAGUGGAAGUCACAAUCAUGGUAGGUCAAAAUCAGGAAGUAAGAAGAAUGUCAAAUGGUACAAUUGUGGCAAGAAAGGGCACGUCAAGAAAGAGUGUUGGAGUAACCAGAAGAAAAAAGAGGGUAAAGAACCUGAUUCAUCAAAUGCUCAAGGGUGUGUAGCAAGUACCUCGGAUGAUGGUGAAAUUCUCUACAGUAAGGCAACAACUGUUUUAGAAGGCAGAAAACGACUAUCUGACGUCUGGCUUAUAGACUCAGGAGCUACCUGACAUAUGACCUCUCAAAGAGAAUGGUUCCACACAUAUGAACCUAUCUUAGGAGGAUCUGUAUAUAUGGGAGAUGAUCAUGGCUUGGAGAUCGUUGGCAUUGGUACUAUCAAAAUAAAAAUGUUUGAUGGUAUUCGCACAAUUAGGGAGGUAUGACAUGUCAAAUGCUUGAGGAAUAAUCUAUUGUCUUUAGGAAAAAUGGAUAGUCAUGGGUACAAAACUCAUGUGGAGAAUGAAAUUACAAAGAUUGUUAAAGGCGCGCUUGUAUUGAUGAAGGUAGAAAAGAUCGGUGCUAAUCUAUUUAUACUUAAAGGGGAAACAUUGUAGGAAGCUGAUGCGUGUGUUGCAUUAUAUGGAGAAGAGUUAAUGAUGAUAUGGCAUCUUAAACUUGGCCAUAUAUCGGAAUAAGGUUUAAAGAUUCUCUCUGAGCGAAAAUUACUUUCAGGGCUCAAAUCGUUAAGCUUACCAUUUUACGAGCAUUGUAUUACAAGUAAGCAACAUAGGUUAAACUUCAGUAAAUCUAUUGCUAGAAGUAAAUGCAUUCUAUACUUAGUUCACUCUGAUGUUUGUGAAUCACCAGACAUAUCCAUAAGAGGUGCAAAGUGUAUGGUGAAUUUCAUUAAUGAUUAUUCUAGGAGAUGUUGGGUGUAUCCAAUUAAGAAAAAAUCAGAUGUAUUUCCAGUGUUUAAAGAAUACAAAGCGCGGGUGGAACUUGAAUCCGACAAAAGGAUUAAGUGCUUGAGGACAAAUAAUGGUGGUGAGUAUACAGACGGCGAGUUUCAUACUUUCUGUAAGCAAGAAAGUAUUCAAAAGUAGUUCACGGUAGCAUACACUCCUCAACAAAAUGGAGUGGCAGAGCGGAUGAACAAGACUCUUACAGAACGAAUAAGAGCUAUGUUGAGAACUGCGAGUCUACCCAAUUUAUUCUGGGUAUAAGCAACAAAAACUGCCUGUUAUAUAGUAAAUCGGUUGCCAUCCACAAUAAUUGGGCUGAAGAUAGCGAUGGAGAUGUGGACUAGAAAGCCAGCUAAUUACUUCUACCUACAUGCAUUUGGAUGUCUUAUGUACGUGAUGUACAAUACCCAAGAAAGAACAAAGUUAGAUCCAAAAUCUAAGAGGUGUAUCUUCUUGGGGUAUGCUGAUGGAGUAAAGGUGUAUUGUCUGUGGGACCCUACUGGCUACAAGAUUAUCAUCAGCAAAGAUGUUAUCUUUGUAGAAGAUCAACUACAAAGGAGAGAUGAGGAUGAUAGUUGUUGUGCAAAUUUUACUGAACUCGUAAGUGCACGAAUCUAUUGUAGAAUAGAUUAAUGAUGAUGAGUGUCGAUCCACGAGGAGGUGAAUUUUAAUUGUGUGUAGAGUUAAUUUUCAUAAGGGUGGUUGGAUUUGUGGUGAAAAUGAUUUGGAAUAUCCUAAAAUUUAAAUUAGAAUGGCAGGAAUAAAUUAAAGCGGAAUCUAUUGAAAUAAAGCAUUUGGGUAUCUAUAUCUGCAUCAACAUGCACCAUGGACUAAAUAUUCCUUAUUAAUGCCAAUUAAAUUAUGAGGGGGGUUUUCACUCCUCAUGAACCACACUCUAAUCAAUAUGGUGCUAAGGGUUUAUCGUGCCAAAUAAUAAUAACCUUGUGCUAGGGAGCCGGUUAAAUCAGUGUGGUAUCUAGACAAGAUUAUUACUAUUUAUAGAUGAAAAGUCAAAAAUCCAUAAUAAUUAGAGAGGACAAGAAAAUAAAUUUACCAAAUAAAGCCCAUGACACAUGUUGAGACUUCACCUUCAACCCAAGCUUGAAAGAAAAUUAGUUACUCAUAAUUGAACUAGGGGUAAAAUGAAAAUUUAUUAAAAUACGUAGAAAAUACAAGAUGGAGAAGGCAUUACAGAAAAUGAAACUCAAAAAUGAAUUCAGGGAUCUCAAAUUAAGGGGGAGCCCCCUUUUUAUAGAUACAUUGAGUAAAUCGUGGCCAUCAGAUUAAAAAUAAUUUGGACGCUCAGGAUUGCGCCAUGUCAUCGGUCAACAGUACGCGGUUUGAAUAGUGACGCGGUAUGAACAGUGAGGCGGCUUGAAUAGUGACACAGUUUGGUUGUAAAUAAUUCUGUGUAUAUGCAUGUACCAUACACACGAUUUUUAGUCCACUAACAUGCUGCCACGUCACUGAUCAACAGUACAUAAGAAUUUUAGUCCAAUAGUAUCGUGAUACCUCAUCGGUCAAUGCCACAUCGUCGUUCCGAAUAUGUGAACAGUGUCAUGAACAGUAACAUAGACAGUACUGUACAUGUGAAUAGUGCCAUUUUUCCUUUUAUGCUCCUCAGAAGGUUUUUGACUCUCCUGAGUUCAAAAGUGAUGUCCAUUUUGUUGUCUGAUAUCUCGUUCAUUGUGAAAUAACCAUGAUGCCCCUAAAAUACAUAAAAUACUUAAUUAAAAUAAAACACACAUAAUUAAAUCACAAGAGACUUAAAUACAUAAAAGUAAGGGUGUUAGUAAGACUUGAAAUGUAAAAUGACGAUUUUCUCCUUUAUAAAUAUACACUUUCUAGUACUCAACACACCCCCCAACUAGCUUAUUGCUAGUCCCUAGCAAAUAAAGCGAAAACAAAAUUCAAAUCCAAAAUGAUUUUUUUUUUAAACACUCGUGUUUAUUCAAUUAGACUAAUGAUAGCAAUCAAAUAAAAGUAUAAUCAUUAUCUCCAGUUUAAAAAAAUAUCACUCCCACAUUAACCAUCCGUAUGAAUCAACCUAGUAGACUUUGUCACAACCACUUUUAAGAAUGACAUGUCAAACCCCAAAAUCUCACUGGAAGUAGUGACACUCUCACAAAAAAAUUAAACCCAAUAAAAAUAGUCACUCCAAUGAAUGGUAAAUUGAGACAAAAUAAUAAAGAAGUGAUAUCACACACUCCCAUCAAGAUGAAAGGAAUAUGCCCACAGCUAAAAAAUAACACGAUCUUAAGUCAAACAAAAUGCUAGGUUGAUAACUAUAGGAAAUGAGAGUUAUUACAUCAAUUCUAGACUUAAAUUAAGAUCACUUAAAGAACAAAUAAGGUGCUUUUAUUACAUUUUGGUUAUAUUUUGCAUAAACAUUCAUUUUAGUUGAGUCUUAAUAAGUUUUCUUUGAAUCAAAGUAAUUGGUGCUAAAAACAGGUGAAUAAUUGUAGGUUUUCAGAAAGUCUUAAUUCAUGAGGGAUAGUGAGACAUUAGAUGAGCAAGAGGAGGAGAGAAGAUGACUGCAAAAGAAGUAAAGCACAAUCGGGAAUAGUACAGUGUUGUAGCGGAUGUUAGAGCAAUCAGUGCUGUAGCAAUCUGGGAGCAAUGCGAGAGAAAACUUAGGCGCGGGUCAGCUGCAGAAUCGCGAUUUGCAUGUUUCCUAAUUUAACUCAUGCACGCCCAUGGACUUUGGUUUACCCUAGUUUGCAGUAUAAAAGGGAGGCGUGCACAACAUAGAAAGGUGGCAAGGAAAUUAUCAUUAGAAUAAUUAGAGAAGAGAGGAGAAGAAGAUCAGAAUUGAAGAGUGCCGUUUCGGCAACAUUGAGGAAUCUUGCAGAAUUACUUGGAUUUUUCUUUCACCGUGCUCAACUUAUAUUUAUCUUCUUCCUUUGAUUGUUCUGAUGUAUCCCGUGAACAAAAUAUUUAUGUUUGCUUUUCUUAUUCAGAAUAUGAACUAGAUCUGCUUGUAGUUGAGUGACAAACAAUCCAAUGGGUUUUUUAUUGUUCUUAUGUGCUGUUAUGUCAUUGCUGUAGCAUUUUACUUUAAUAGCUAUUAUUAAUAUAACUGUUAUUUUGGUUGACCACUCAUUUAAUAGUUCAAGUCAAGAUAAAGCCGCAAAAUGACAUGUCUUAGCGGAUAUUAUUAGAGUAUUACUUGGUCUUAAUUUAAGUUUCCUGGAUUAAGUUAUCUUGAAUCCCAUAAGGGCUAUACUUGAAGUUAAGAUUUGUGACACACUAGACAUAGGUGCUUACCUUGUAGGGUGGAGAGACUAAAGGAUCAUAAUGCCAUACCAUAAGUAGAUUAACAACUGGUCAUUGUUAAUAGAUUUAAGGGUAUGAGACUUCCAAUAAGCGAUAGCUGAGGAUUUAAAUUAAUUCUGCCCUGUGCUGCAGCACUUGCCAUAACAACUGGUGCUAACAUGAUGAAAAGUAGUCAACCCAUAAGGAGAGUUUAAUCAUUCAACUACCAUAGUUUCAAUUGAAUCUUAGACACAUUUAAUUUGGUUUAAUUCAUUACGGUAUUGUUUUACUUUAUUCUCUCACAAUCAUCAAUUACAAUAGAACCCACUCUAUAUUUGUUAACUUCAGAUUGAAUUUAGUUGCACUAUUGUGAUUGCUAUAGCAUUUCAAGUGACAUCAAUUCCUGUGGAGACGAUCUUGAAUAUUCAUCACUUUAUUACUUAUUGUGUACACUUGCACCUUGACAUCAAUAGCAUUUGAUUAUAAAAUUAACCAACAAGUUUUUGGCGCCGUUGCCAAGGAUUGAUUGUUUAUUUUUGAAGUGUGAAGUAAAUCUUGAUAGCGCCAAAUUUGACUUAAUUCAUUCUAUUUAUUGGCAGAUCAGUACGUGCAUGCGCAAAGACAGAUCUGUGGUAUUCCAAUUCGAUAUUGAGAUUGAAAGGACUGUCAGGGGACUGCGAAGAGAACAAAGGAAUUCAAAAACUGUUUCAAGCAUGAAUAAUUUGCAGGAUGUGGGAAAUUUGAACCCUUACGGGCCCUUACAACCAAUCAACAUUCAAGAAGAGCAGAAUGAACAUGCGAGAGACAGCCAGGCAAUAACAAUAUUAUUUACAUGGCUGAUGACAGAGACAGAGCUAUUAGAGAUUAUGCUGUGUUAACUCCUUAAGUUGUACACCAUGGGAUAAUCAACCUGAAGUAGAAGCUGCAAAUUUUGAGUUGAAGCCAGUGAUGUUUCAAAUGUUGCAAACAGUUGGUCAAUUUAAUGGAUUGCCAAAUGAAGAUCCUCAUCUCCAUCUUCAAUUGUUCUUGGAAGUGAGUGAUGCUUUUAAGAUUGCUGGAGCAACACAAGAUGCCUUAAGGCUGAGGCUUUUUUCUUAUUCCUUAAGACAUUGAGCAAGAGCAUGGUUAAAUUCGUUACCAUAUGAUUCUAUCACUACAUAGAAUGAGUUGGCUGAUAAAUUCCUAAUGAAAUAUUUCCCACCGAAAAAACAUGCUAAGUUACGGAAUGAGAUUACUUCCUUCCAUUAACUUGAAGAUGAGAGUUUGUACGAGGCUUGGGAAUGAUUCAAAGAACUGCUCAGAAGGUGUCCUCAUCAUGGCAUUCCUUGUUGCAUUCAGUUGGAAACUUUCUACAAUGGGUUGAAUCCAAGUAUAAGGUUAAUGGUGGAUGCUUCAGCAAAUGGAGCCCUGUUCUCCAAAUCUUACACUAAAGCUUAUGAAAUUCUGGAGAGAAUUGCGAAUAAUAAUUAUCAGUGGCUGUUGUGCAAAAUUUAUUGAAUUCGCAAGUGCACGAAUCUAUUGUAGUAUAGAUCAAUGGUGACGAGUGUCGAUCCCACGAGGAGGUGGAUUUUAAUUAUAUGUAGAAUUAAUUUUGUAUGAGGGUGGUUGGAUUUGUGGUAAAAGUGACUUAGAUUAUCCUAAAAUUGGAAUUAAAAUGGCAAGAAUAAAUUGAAGAGAAAUCUAUUGAAAUGACGUACUUGGGUAUCUAGAUCCGUAUCAACAUGCACUAUGGGCUAAAUAUUCUUUAUUAAUGCCAAUUAAAUCAUGAGGGGGGAAUCCACACCUCAUAAACCACACUCUAAUCAAUGUGGUGCUAAGGGCUUAUCGUGCCAAAUAAUAAUAACCUUGUACUAGAGAGCCGGUGAAACCAAAGCGGUAUCUAGACAAGAUUAUUAUUAUUUGUCGACGAGAAGUCAAAACAUUCACAAAAACUAGAGGGGAAGAGAAAAUAAAUUUACCAAAUAAAGCCCAUGACACAUGUUGAGACUUCACGUUCAACCUAAGCUUGAAAGAAAAUUAGCUACUCAUAAUUGAACUAAGGGCAAAAUGGGAAUUUAUUAAAAUAUAUAGAAAAUACAAGAUGGAGAAGGAAUUACAGAAAAUGGAGCCCAAAAAUAAAUUCAGAGCCAUCAAAUUAGGGGGGGAGACCCCCUUUUUAUAGAUACAUUGAGUAAAUUGUGGCCAUCGGAUUAAAAACAGUUUGGACGCUCAGGAUUGCGCCAGAUCAUCAGUCAACAGUACGCCAGUGAACAGUAACACGGUUUGACCUGGGUUGAACAGUGACGCGGUUUGGUUGAAAAUAAUCCUGUGUAAUGCAUGUUUCGUACACGAGAUUUUUGGUCCACUGAUAUGCUGCCACGUCAUCGAUCAAUAGUGCAUAAGAAUUUUAGUCCAACAGGAUCGUGACACCUCAUCAGUCAAUGCCACAUCAUCGGUCAAUGGCACGUCAUCGAUCCGUCUAUGUGAACAGUGUUGUGAACAGUAACGUAGACAGUACUGUACAUGUGAAUAGUACCGUACAUGUGAACAGUGUCAUUUUUCCUUUUAUGCUACUCCUAAGGUUUUCGACCGUCCUGAGUUCAAAAGUGAUGUCUGUUUUACCGUCUGAUCUCUCGUUCAUUGUGAAAUGACUAUGAUGCCCCUAAAAUACAUAAAAUACUUAAUUAAAAUAAAACACACAUAAUUAAAUUACAAGAAGCUUAAAUACAUAAAAGUAAGGGUUGUUAGUAAGGCUUGAAAUGUAAAAUGACGAUUUUCUCCUUUAUAAAUAUGCAUUUUCUAACACUCAAUACACCCCCCAACCAGCUUAUUGCUAGUCCCUAGCAAAUAAAUCGAAAACAAAAUUCAAACACAAUAUAUAUAUAUAUAUAUAUUUAUUUAUUUAUUAUUAUUUUUUAUUUUUGAAACAAUCUUUUUUAUUCAAUCAGACUAAUGAUAGCAAUCAAAUAAAAGUAUAAGCAUUAUCUCCAGUCUAAAGAAACAUCACACCACAUCAACCAUCCACAUGAAUUAGCCAAGUAGACUUUGUCAUAGCUACUUUCAAGAAUGACAUGUCAAACCCCAAAAUCUCACUGGAAGUAGUGACACUCUCACAAAGAAAUUAAACCCAAUAAAAAUAGUCACUCCAAUGAAUUGUAAUUGAGAGAAAAUAAUAAAGAAGUGAUAUCACAUGCUCUCACCAAGAUGAAAGAAAUAUGCCCUCAGCUUAGAAAUAAUACGAUCUCAAGUUAAAUAAAAAUGCUAGUCAACCCAAUUUAUUUAUUUAUUUUUAUUAUUUUUUUUAUGCACCACUACUUCUUUUUAGCUCAUGUAACUAUCUUUUACUUCAGACUAUAGUUCCCUAAAAUCAAGAAGGACUUUUAUUAGGACGUAACGUAGGCUAGAGACAUGGCUAACAAAGAAGGGAAAUAAGGAAAACAAAGUGUAUGUUUGAGAAAAAUGCAGAGGAAUUUUUCUUUUUUGGAAGUUACAAGGUGGAUUUCACCUAUUAUUGUUAUUUUUUUCUUCUUUUAUUUUGUAACAACAAUUUUUUUUUUGGGCAUAACUUCACUAUACAAAAUAUUUAUUUACAUUUUUUCAAACAUAAAUAGGUGAUGUAACUUGUAAGAUAUUAGGUAAUACUCCAAAUCGGAGUGGGUCAAGAUGAUAAGUUUGACAAAGAAAAGUUUUUUUUUUUAAAGGCUCAAAAGGGUUAACUAUGAAUAUUUGAUAAAAAGGAUGGCUAGAAAGGCUCAAACGGAUCAAAGAUGACCUUUCUAUCGUCUUUUAGGGCUCUAAAUAAUUUUUCAUAUCUACUAGUUAGAUGGGCCUCCAUAUGUAGCAACAAUUUUUUUUUAUUUUACGAUUUUUUUAAGGGUUAACUCAAAAGAAAUCUAGAGUUCGUGUAUAUAAUAAUAAACUGCUAAGCUGUAUAAAGAAUGGUCAAAAGGGUUACUCUCCAAGAAAAAUGAUAGGAUCAAAAACUCACUUGGUACUUAUUAUGACAUGUUCAUUCCUUCAAGCAGCUCAUAUUUGUCUCCGACAUCAACAUGUAAAGUAGCAAACAUAGUGUAACAUCACUUAAGACCAAAGAUAAUACAAAUACUAAAAUUUGAAAUUAAUCAUGUCAUCCAAUGUUAAAACAAAUCACACAAUUCUUUUUAAACAACAUUCUACCCUCCAACCUAUUCUAAACAUGAAAAGAAAAUAUGCAUGCAGAAAUGUGAAAAUGAUGCAGAAAAACUAAUUAGAAAAGUUACACUUAAAAUGAUAGAAAACAAAAAUGAUUUUUUUUUAUAACUUAAGAAGAUACGUUUCUAGAGGCACUACACUCCAUAUUCAGUCAUUUUCAACUCAAAAAAAUUAAAAAUGUAUAUUUAUAAAGGAGAAAUUAAAAAGAAGAAGAAAAAUGAACAUCAAAACAUAAUAAAGAAAAAGAAAAUGUCUUUUUUUUUUGUUUUUUUUUCAAACGAUGAAGAUGCGUUUCUAGAGUCACUACACUCCAUAUUCAGUCAUCUUCAACAUAAAAAGUUAGCAACAGUUAGUUUCUACAAUAAAAAAAAUCAGUAAAAACUUAACCAAGAUUCUACAAUUGUCGACUAUUCCUUUCUCCCAACCAGAACGAAACAUUGUCCUCAAUGUUUGAAAGGAAAGAAGUAGAGUUUAGAAGACAUCACCUGGGUGGUGCAAAACAGAAGAAAAUAUUUACAAGCGGAGGGUUAAAUCUAAUUUGUACUUCUUACUGCGGCUACUGUUACCAUCAUUAUUUGGACGCUCCAACACAAAGGUCCAGGGGUCUGGCUCCGGUCUAUAAGCUGGUAACAGAUCAAGUAGCUCAUUAGCAGUGUGAGCACAAAUAAAAAAGUUUUUGGCAUUGGAAGGAACGAAAUAGUUUUUUAUUGCAUGGUUAAGAAAUGCGAUAAAGCCAUCAUAAAAAUUAUUGACAUUUAACAAACCGAUGGGUGUCUGGUGAAUGUGCAGAUGGACCCAAGAUGCUAAUGUGAUAAGUGCCUCUAAUGUUGCAAGAUCUCCUGUAAGGAAAAUAAAAGCAUCAGCAUGAUUAAGCAUUUCAGUUAUUCUUUCUUGCAUACCUGAGACGACUAAUUCUUCUCCAGUCGGUGAGUCAGACAAACUGCCUAAAGGUUUUAGGACUCUUGGGAUGAUGCCUAACACUUGGCUUCCUCUGACAAAAGCAGCUUCUGAGACCAAUUUUUAUAACCCUCGGUUACCUUCUCCAUAUACUAAGUGUAAUUUUCUCUUUGCUAUGCUUCGACCAAGAUCAACGGCUGCCUCAACGAACUCUUUAUGUUUGCCAUAGUUAAAUCCAGAAAGCACACAAAUGUUCUUGAAUUGUCUAUUAGGAGUAGCUACCAUUGGAAUAUUUCUCAAAAAUAAUUUGUGAGUGCUUAACAAAAAGUCUUAUUUAAGAAUCUUGGUGACAGUGGAUCACAACUGUGUAUAAGGUGGCAUGUUAGUGUCAAAUAACGCGUAAAGCACAUGGCUAGCGAGUUAAAAAGGAAACAGUAAAAAGAAAAAGAAACAAUGAUAAAAUAAAAUUAUUAAAGACAAUAAUGCAAAUGAUAAAACAAUAGUGAAAUAAAAUAACAGUGAAGUAAAAGGAUAUUUACAUGUAGUUGGGACUGUGGCUCACAUCUUCCUCUGGUUUUAUGUCCAGAAAUGGCUUGAACGCCUUCUAUUGGUCGAGGAUAGGCUUCCCAUCCAGUUUUCUUAUAAGCUGGCAAAUAGGGUCGUUUAUAGUCAGAUUCCCGAGACUAUAUCGUGCAUGCUCUUUCUGGAAUAAUGGCCAUAACUGGAGAAUCGCUCAUUACACAUUAUCCAAUGGGAUGCGUUUCAAGAGACAGAAGGAUAUCAUCCAAUGACUCCUUAUUCAAACCAUCCCUAAUGAAUUGAAUCUUAUCUUCCUUAUUAUCAGACACCAUUCCUAAAGAACAUGGGUUUUUAUUGCAUCUCAUUCUAGCACACUUAUGACAAGCAACAGAAAUUCUUUGAGCUUUUCAUUUUCUUGUAUAAUUUCCUUUACCACAACCAGGCAUGUAUGCAAUAAAUUUUGGAGGUAACUCACCUGUCAAUCGUACUUUAGCUUUGAUUAACUAACAGAUGUCAGCAGGUAUGUUGUUCCUCAUGAGUAAUCGCAUACGUUCGGACCGAGCUUUAUAGAUUGUAAGGAGGGCAUUCUGAGGAAGUGAAGAGAAUCAAUUAUGAAGCUUUGCUAGAAUCUCAUUUCUGUCCAUACCUUCGCUUCAGAAUAUCAGUUAUUAUGGGAAACUGAAGUAACCGACUUGAUUGUCACGGAGUACCGUUAUCCGCCACUUCACCGGGAUAACAAACUAAAGCACACAAAUAGAAAAAUAAAUUAAAACACACAAAGAAAAUUAAAAUCAUCCUCUUAUUGAAUUUACCUCAAGCUCCAACUGGAUGUUGUAAACACUUUUCUCAAUGUCUCUGAGUUGGCUUUCUAAACCCUCAACAUAGGAUACUAACUCUGGUGGUUGCAGAGCUCAAAUACGAUGUGUCGUACAAAAUCGAAUCUGCCUUUUGAGAUGAGAUUUUACACGUUGAAGUGGUUUAAGAAUGUUCAGGAGGAACAGUUUAAGUAUGGUACUCAUGAUUAACAAUGAUAAUAAAAAAAACUUAAUGGUUAAACAAACACACUUAUGCAAAAAUAAUUUCAAUUAGCAAAAGAAUAAUAAAAAAAGAAAGAAAAAAAUCAAAUCACCGAAAAGAAAAAAAAUCAAUUCAAAUCUGGUGGGUCAUUCAAAUUUAUUUCGGUGUCUUCUCCAUGUGGUUGGUACUCUAGAUAUGACUUUAAUCUUUGACCAUUAACUUUAAACGUAACACCAUUCUUUAGGUUUUUAAUUUCAAUUGCCCCAUGUGAAAAAAAUAGUAUGAAUAAUAAAGGGGCCAGACCAUCGAGAGCGUAACUUACCUGAGAAUAUGUGCAAGCGAGAAUUGAAUAAAAGCACUUUCUGACCUGGAGUGAACGAUUUUCUCAUAAUUUGCUUGUCAUGGAAGACUUUUAUUCGUUGCUUGUAAAUCUUGGCAUUUUCGUAUGCAUCAUUGCAAAUUUCUUCAAGUUCUUCCAACUGUAAUCUUCUUUUUGAGCUGGCUUGCUGCAUGUCAAAGUUGAAUUUCUUGAUAGCCCAAUAUGCACGAUGCUCAAGUUCCACAGGUAGGUGGCAAGCUUUUCCAUACACUAGCCUGUAUGGUGACAUCCCAAUUGGGAUCUUGAAAGCCGUUCUAUAUGCCCAUAAUGCAUCAUCAAGUCUUAAUGACCAAUUUUUUCUGUCCAGCCUCACCGUCUUUUCUAAUAUGUGCUUUAUUUCUCGAUUGGAGAUCUCAACUUGGCCACUGGUUUGCGGAUGAUAUGGGGUUGCCACUUUGUGAGUGAUUGAAUACUUCGUCAAAAGAGUAUUGAAUGCUUUAUUACAAAAGUGGGCACCAACAUCACUGAUUAUUGCUCGAGGGAAUCCAAAGCGUGAAACAAUGUUGCUUUUCAAAAAUUCUAUCACCACCUUAUGAUCAUUGGCUCUACAUGGAAUUGCUUCUACCCAUUUCGAUACGUAGUCAACAGCAACCAAUAUGUAUUGAUGGCCAAAAGAAGGGGGAAAGGGUCCCAUGAAGUCGAUACCCCAUACAUAAAAAAUCUCAACCACUAAAAUUGGAUUUAAUGGCAUCAUAUUCCUUCGUGUAAUGCUCCCCAUUCGUUGACACCUAUCACAUGAAGAACAAAAAGUGUAAACGUCUCGAAAUAUAGUUUGCCAAUAGAAACCACAUUGUAAAACUUUAGUAGCUGUUUUCUUAGCACUGAAAUGACCUGCACAAGCUUGUUCAUGACAGAAUGAAAGGAUAUUAUGAAUUUCACUUUCUGGGACACAUCGCCUAACAAUUUGAUCUGCAUAAUACUUGAACAAAUACGGGUCAUCCCAAAAGAAAUUUUUUAUUUCCACAAAGAAUUUAGCCUUGUCUUGCUUGGUCUAAUGCUCUGGAAGUUGACAUGUAACAAGAUAAUUAAUGAUAUCAGCAUACCAUGGUAAUACUUCCACACUCAUCAAUUGUUCAUCUGGGAAUGACUCAUUCAAUGGUAAUGAUUCCAUAAUUGUGUCAAAGUGGAGACGAGAGAGAUGGUCAGCUACAACAUUCUCUGUGCCUUUCUUAUCUUUAAAUUCAAGUCGAACUCCUGCAAAAGUAACACCCAACGAAUUAGUCUAGCUUUUGCAUCUUUCUUUGUGAGAAGAUAUUUAAGAGCAGCAUGAUCUGUGAACACAAUUAUUUUACAACCAAUGAGAUAAGAUCGAAAUUUUUUCAAUGCAAACGCUACUACUAUCAUUUCUUUUUCAGUAGUUGAAUAGUUCAAUUGUGCAUCAUUCAAUGUCAUACUAGCAUAAUAAAUAACAUGGGGAAUUCGAUCAACUCUUUGUCCUAAUACUGCUCCUACUGCAUAAUCAGAUGCAUCACACAUGAGUUCAAAUGGUAAGCUCCAGUUUGGGGCCUGAAUGAUGGGUGAUGAUGUCAACAACUGCUUUAAUUUUUCAAACGGCACAAGACAAGAAUCAUUAAAGAUAAAAGGUACAUCCUUAUCAAAUAAAUUGCAUAAGGGUCUAGAAACUUUGCUAAAUCUUUAAUGAAACGUCUAUAGAAACCAACAUGUCCAAGGAAAGAUCUUACUUCUCUGACUGUUUUGGGUGGAGGAAGAUUAGAAAUAAGAUCCACUUUGGCUUUGUCUACCUCAAUACCUUUGCUCGAAAUGAUGUGACCGAGAACAAUACCUUGUUUUACCAUAAAAUGACACUUCUCCCAAUUUAAGACUAAGUUCUUCUCGCUACAUCUUUGCAAAAUUAGUGUUAGAUGAUGUAAACAUUUAUCAAAAGAGUCACCAAAGAUAGAAAAAUCAUCCAUAAAAACUUCAAGGAAUCGUUCAACCAUAUUAGAAAAAAUGCUCAACAUGCAUUGUUGAAAUGUAGCAGGUGCAUUAAAUAAUCUAAAUGGCAUUCUCCUAUAUGCAAAUGUGCCAAAAGGGCAAGCGAAAGUAGUUUUCUCUUGAUCUUUUGGUUCUAUAGGAAUCUGAUUAUAUCCUGAGUAGCCAUCUAGAAGGCAAUAAAAUUCAUGGCCUACCAAUCUAUCAAGCAUUUGAUCGAUAAAUGGUAAAGGAAAAUGGUCUUUACGUGUGACAGAAUUCAACUUUCUAUAAUCAAUGCGUACACGCCAUCCUGUUGUCACUCUAGUUGGUAUUAAUUCAUUAUCGGCAUUCAUAACUACUGCGACUCCUGAUUUUUUGGGGACAACUUGUACAUGAUUGACUCAUGAACUAUCAGAAAUUGGGUAAAUGAUACCUGCGUCUAAUAGCUUAAGGACUUCAGUUCUAACAAAUUCUUUCAUAUUAGGAUUUAACCGACGUUGCAUUUCCCUAAUAGGUUUAACAUUUUCAUCAAGGUGAAUGUAUGCAGUCUACUAGGUUUAUACCUUUAAUGUCUGCUAUGAUCCAUCCUAAUGCUCCUUUGUGCUUUUUUAAAACAUCCAACAACUUAUAUUUUUGUUCGUCAUUUAGAGAUGAGGAGAUGAUUACCGGUAGAGUACUUUCUUCUCCCAAAAAUGCAUAUUCCAAUAUGUUGAGUAAUGGUUUGAGCUCGAGUUUCGGUGGUGAUUCUGAUGAUGAGAUGGGUUUCUUUUCUGAUGGUGCUAGUUGUUCAACUCUUGACUUCCAUUUAUUAGUGUCCAUGGAUGGUGCUGAGUCAAAUAGGGCAUUGACCUCAUCGACCGAUCUGUUAAUAUCAAAAUCCAAACCAAAGUGAGUUAAACAUGUUUGUAAAGGAUCAUCACUGAGGUUUGAAAGAAAAGUGUCAUCAACUAAUGCUUCAAUUAAAUCCACAUCAACAAUUCCAUCAUCUGCAUUAUGAGGUUGUUUGGCAAUGUUGAAGAUGUUCAGCUCUAUAGUCAUGUUGCCGAAGGAGAACUGCAUAUUUCCAGUCCUGCAUUGAAUGUGAGUAUCAGCAGUUGCCAAGAAAGGUCGGCCUAGAAUAAUGGGGAUGUGCUUCCUUGAAUCUUGUAUUGGUUGAGUGUCAAUUACAAUGAAAUCAACAGGAAAAUAAAACUUGUCUACCUGGAUAAGCACGUCCUCCACAAUACCACAAGGUAUUUUCGUGGACCGAUUUGCAAGCUGUAACACCACUGGAGUUGUGUGUAAUUCUCCAAGUCCAAGUUUCAAAAAUACUGAGUAAGGCAACAGAUUUACACUAACUCCUAAAUCCAACAAGGCAUUCUCAAUUGUGUGGUUCCCUAUGCUACAUGAGAUAGUAGGGGAGCCUGGGUCUUUGCAUUUUAGAGGAAUUUUAUGUUGGAGGAUAGAACUAACGUUUUCUGUUAAAAAUGCCUUCUUUUGAACGUGAAUAUUUCUCUUUUUAGUACAAAGGUCUUUAAGAAACUUGGCAUAAGAUGGAACUUGUUUUAUAACAUCAAGUAAAGGGAUGUUAACACUUACCUGUUUGAAGAUUUCAAGAAUCUCACCUGUGGAUUUUUCCUUCUUUCCUUUAGUUAACCUCUGAGGAAAUGGAGCUUUGGGAACAUAUUCUCGUGAGUUGGUUUAUUCUUUCUCUUCCAAUGGUGAGUCCUCAACAUUCAUAGGUAUAAUUUGAUUUUCUUUUGUCACCGGCAUCUCCACUUUGUUGUCGACUUCUUUUCCUUUUCGCAAGGUCAUGACUGCUUUGACCUCUCCAUGCUGCUGUGGUGAACUGGUACUUGCUUCAUGCACUCCUUUAAGAUUAGGCACUGGUUGACUUGGAAACUUGCCUUUCUCAACAGUCAUUGCCAAGGUCUGAACUGAAGAGGCAAGCUAUUCUACCAUCUUCUCGAGGCUUGAAACUAAUUGGGCUUGUGAGUUGAAGCCUGCUCUUAACUCAUUUCGUAGUCCAUCAAUGGUGCGGUUCUGUUGCUCAAUCGUGGAGUGAGUAACAUUCUUGAAAUUCUGGAAUGCAUCCUCCCAUGGUCUUGGUUGAGAGUAAUUCUGAUUUUGAUUGUAUGGUCUAAAUGAUGGCUGAGAGGCUUGAGGAAUUUGAGGAAUUGGUUGCAUUGGUAGAGUUGGAGCUGCUGGUCCAUUCUGUUGGAAUCCUUGAGACCAUGAAAAAUUGGGGUAGUCUCUCCAUCCAGGGUUAUAUGUGUUGGAGUAUGGGUUGUAAUUUGAUGGUUUUCUCAUUACACCUACGGCAUUGGCUUGAUCUAAGUAUGAGUCAUGGUCAUGUGACUCUGUUGAUUUAGCAGUCGAUAACGAUGUUAUUUGUCGAGAUAGACCUUCAAUUAUUGCUUUGACUUCAUUAAUUUCUUAACUUGAUUCGCCAAUGUGAAACUCAUUUACUCCCUUAAUUCUUCUAGUAUUCCGGAGUGAUCGACUCCGUUGUUAGGAAUUAUCCGCUUGUCGCUGGAAGAAUUCCCAAAUCUCUGAUGCACUUUUUGACAUUAGCUCUCCUCCACUUGUUGCCAUUAGCCAUUCUUGCACAUUCGGCAAUAAUCCCUCUAAAAAGUAUUGGCAUUGAUGCCAUGUCUCAUACCCAUGAUGUGGACACUUUAAGAGUAGCCCAUUGAAUCGCUCCCAUGUUUCGAAAAACUGCUCGUCAUCUCUCUAGGUAAACUCUGAAAUUUCCCUGCGAAUAGCAUUGGUUUUAUACACUGGGAAAUAUUUAUUUAAAAAUUUAGUUACCAUUUGUUCCCAUGAUGCAAUGCUAUUAGCAUGCAAUGUAUUAAGCCAUGAACGAGCUUUAUCCUUUAAAGAAAAUGGAAAUAGUCUAAGUUUUACAUCAUCAUCUGAAAAUUUCUCAUAUUUAAAUGUUUGACAAAUAGCAUGAAAAUUAUUUAAAUGAUUAUAUGGGUCCUCAUUUUCUAGGCCAUAGAAUGUUGGGAGACAAUUUAGCACACUAGGUUUUAGUUCAAAACUCCUAGCAGCUACAUUUGGGUAUCUUAUGCAUGAUGUGCUCAAAUUACCUAAAGGACUGAAGUAGUCCUUAAAUGGCUUCUCUUGUGGCUGCAAAUCCAUUUUAUUUUUAACUUGUUUGUGUGUGUGAAGUGUUUUCUCAAGUUAGAGGUCUAUAGGUUCAAGAUUAGGUAAUAAUGACCUUCGACCAUGCAUGCAAAAUAAAUAAAAUAAAAAUAAAGAUGGGAACAAAACAAAUAAAAAUAAAGAAGAGGGAGAAAUUAGGAUACUAACCUUAUUGCGCUAUUACAACCUUACUAUAAAAACACACUAAAAAAAAAUACGUGAAAAUAAAUUAACUAAAAAUUACAAAGAAAAAUAACUUAAAAAUUAAAUUGCAGAAUUGUAAAGAAUAGAGAAAGAAAAGAAAUACUAACCUCUAAAUAUAUAUUCAUUUUUUUCUUUUUUUUAAUAAGAAAAAAUACAAGAAAACAAAUAAAAGAAAUUAUUGACAAAAAUUAAUUCUACAAAUUGAAAUAACUUACAUCCCCGGCAACGGCGCCAAAAACUUGUUGUGCAAAUUUUAUUGAACUCGCAAGUGCACGAAUCUAUUGUAGUAUAGAUCAAUGGUGACGAGUGUCGAUCCCACGAGGAGGUGGAUUUUAAUUAUAUGUAGAAUUAAUUUUGUAUGAGGGUGGUUGGAUUUGUGGUGAAAGUGACUUAGAUUAUCCUAAAAUUGGAAUUAAAAUGGCAAGAAUAAAUUGAAGAGAAAUUUAUUGAAAUGACGUACUUGGGUAUUUGGAUCCGUAUCAACAUGCACCAUGGGCUAAAUAUUUCUUAUUAAUGCCAAUUAAAUCAUGAGGGGGGAAUUCACACCUCAUGAACCACACUCUAAUCAAUGUGGUGCUAAGGGCUUAUCGUGCCAAAUAAUAAUAACCUUAUAUUAAAGAGCCGGUGAAACCAAGGCGGUAUCUAGACGAGAUUAUUAUUAUUUGUCGACGAGAAGUCAAAACAUCCACAAAAACUAGAGGGGAAAAGAAAAUAAAUUUACCAAAUAAAGCUCAUGACACAUGUUGAGACUUCACCUUCAACCCAAGCUUGAAAGAAAAUUAGCUACAUUGAGUAAAUCGUGGAAGAAAAUUAGCUAUAUUGAGUAAAUCCAAAAAUGGAUUCAGAGCCAUCAAAUCAGGGGGGAGACCCAUUUUUUAUAGAUACAUUGAGUAAAUCGUGGCCAUCGGAUUAAAAACAGUUUGGACGCUCAGGAUUGCGCCACAUCAUCAGUCAACAGUACGCAGUUUGACCACGCGGGUGAACAGUAACACGGUUUAACCCGGGUUGAACAGUGACGCGGUUUGGUUGAAAAUAAUCCUAUGUAAUGCAUGUACCGUACACGAGAUUUUUCGUCCACUGAUAUGCUGCCACGUCAUCGAUCAACAGUGCAUAAGAAUUUUAGUCCAACAGGAUCGUGACACCUCAUCAGUCAAUGCCACAUCAUUAGUCAAUGCCACAUCAUCGAUCCAUCUAUGUGAACAGUGUCGUGAACAGUAACGUAGACAGUACCGUACAUGUGAAUAGUACUGUACAUGUGAACUGUGCCAUUUUUCCUUUUAUCCUCCUCCUAAGGUUUUCGACCGUCCUGAGUUCAAAAGUAAUGUCCGUUUUGCCGUCUGAUCUCUCGUUCAUUGUGAAAUGAUUAUGAUGCCCCUAAAAUACAUAAAAUACUUAAUUAAAAUAAAAUACACAUAAUUAAAUUAUAAGAAGCUUAAAUAUAUAAAAGUAAGGGUUGUUAGUAAGGCUUGAAAUGUAAAAUGACGAUUUUGUCCUUUAUAAAUAUGCAUUUUCUAACACUCAACAGUGGCCAUCAACCAGGUAACCAGCAGCAAGAGGAUCAACAGGGGUACAUAACAUAGAUGCAAUUACAGCAGUAGUGACAUCAUUGACUAACAUGGUAAAGGCCAUGACAUCUGCUCCAGCAGUAGUGAAGCAAGUUGCUGAACUUUCUUGUGUAUACUGUGGUGAAGAACAUGACUUUGAUAAUUGUCCUAGAAAUCCAGCAUCAGUAAACUAUGUAGGUAAUUUCAAUCGACAGCCUCAGAACAACCCAUAUUCAAAUACUUACAACCUUGGAUGGAAACAACACCCAAAUUUCUUAUGGAGCUGUCAGAAUCGAAAUGCUCCAGCAGUAAAUGGACAAAAUAGGAACACUCAAUCAUCUGGUUUUCAUCAGUAGAGUUAGGGACAAAAACAUAUCAGUUAGGAUCCAAUCACUUCAUUGGGAAGCACUGAUUAAGGAAUACAUUGCAAAGAAUGAAGCAAUUGUGCAGAGUCAAGCUGUAUCCUUGAGAAAUCUAGAGAACCAAAUGGGACAACUUGCUACAGCAAUGAGUAGCAAAACUCAAGGAAGCCUACCUAGCAACACAGAAGACCCUAGGAGAGCGAGCAAAGAACACUACAAAGUAAUUAAUUUGAGAUCUGGAAAGAAUAUUGAUAUCCCAGUUGAUGUGACCAAAAAUGGAAUGAAAUUCAAUUCAUCACAAAAACCACCUCAAAAUGGAAGCGUGUUACAACAAUCCCCCCAUCAAGACACUGGUUACAUGGGCCAAGCUACAAAAACUGCAGAAGGAAUUCAACCAGAACAUGCUGAAAAAGAAGUUGCAACACCAGUAGCCACGACCUACACCAAACCAAAGAAAUAGAGUUUGGUACCUCCUGAAGCUACCCAGCAGUUUAGACAUCCACCACAUUUCCCACAAAGGUUCCAGAAGCAAAAACAAGACAAGCAGUUCAGCAAAUUCCUAAAAGUGGUAAAACAAUUACACAUAAAUAUACCUUUUGUGGAAGCUUUGGAGCAAAUGCCAAAUUAUGUGAAAUUUUUAAAAGACAUUUUGGCACGAAAGAAAAGGUUAGGAGAAUUUGAAAUUGUUGCUUUAACACAGGAGAGCAGCCAUAUGCUCCAAAGUAAGAUUCUUACAAAAGUGAUGGAUCUAGGAAGUUUUACAAUACUCUGCUCUAUAGGAACUAGGUAUGCUAGUAGAGCACUUUGUGACUUGGGAGCUAGUAUUAAUUUGAUGCCAUUGUCUGUAUUUAAGCAGCUGUAAGUAGGAGAAUGUAGACCAACAACAUUCACUUUGCAAUUAGCUGACAAAUCUCAUGCAUAUCCUGAAGGAAAAAUUAAGGAUGUACUGGUGAAGGUGGACAAAUUCAUCUUCCCAGUAGACUUCAUUGUACUAGACUUCGAAGCUGAUAAAGAGAUACCCAUUAUACUUGGAAGACCUUUUCUAGCAAUUGGAAAGACUCUGAUUGAUGUGCAGAAAGGAGAGCUCACCAUGAGAGUGAAUGAUCAGCAAGUCACAUUUAAUGUACUAGAGGCUAUGAGGAGCCAUGAUGAAGUAGAAGAUUGUAAUUUCCUAAGUGUCGUGGAUUUUGUUGUAGCAGACAGAGUGGACAGAUGCUGUAGUAAUGAAAUCAAUAAAGUCACCACCUUUGAGGAUGUAGAUGGGGAAGAUGUUGCAGCAAAUCAGAUAGAUUAGAUGGAAGAAAAGUAAUCUGAUAGGCACAAUAGGUUUAUUGAGCAUCUGAAUCUUUCAAACAGGGAAGUAAAAACAACUUUACCAUCUAUUGAAUCACCUCCUAGUCUUGAAUUAAAAGUGUUACCUUCAUAUUUGAAGUAUGUUUAUGUUGGUCAAAAUAACACACUCCCUGUAAUCAUUUCUUCUACUUUGGAUACAGGUCAAGAACAUAGUCUAGUAGAUUUGCUUGGAAAAUAAAGAAGAGCAAUUGGAUGGACCAUGGCAGACAUCAAGGGGAUAAGCCCAUCAAUAUGCAUGCAUAAAAUCCUGUUAGAAGAUUGCUACAGCAAUUCGGUGGAGCACCAGAAAAUGUUGAACUCUAUUAUGAAAGAAGUGGUGAAGAAAGAAAUCAUCAAAUGGUUGGAUGCUGGAAUCAUAUGCCUAAUAUCAAACAGUUCGUGGGUGAGCCCAGUUCAAUGUAUUCCAAAGAAGGGAGGGAUAACAGUAAUAGCUAAUAAGAGGGAUGAACUUAUUCUUACAAGGACAGUGACUCGAUGGAGAGUAUGUAUGGAUUACAGGAAGCUCAACAAAGCCACAAGGAAAGACCACUUCCCACUUCCAUUCAUAGAUCAGAUGGUGGACAGACUUGCUGGAAAAUAAUACUAUUGUUUCUUAGAUGGGAUUCAAGCUACAACCAAAUUGCUAUAGCUCUAGAGGAUCAGGAGAAGACUACAUUUACUUGUCCUUAUGGAACAUUUGCCUUCAGAAAAAUGCCAUUUGGGUUGUGCAAUGCUCCAACAACUUUUCAGAGAUGCAUGAUGUCUAUUUUUUCUGAUAUGGUAGAGCAGACUUUAGAAGUUUUCAUGGAUGACUUCUCAGUUUUUGGAGAGACAUACAAUGAUUGUUUACCUAACUUAGAAGAAGUUCUUAAAAGAUGUGAGAUGACUAACUUAGUACUCAAUUGGGAGAAGUGCUAUUUCAUGGUGCAAGAAGGAAUAAUGUUGGGUCAUAAGGUAUCAAAGAAUGGUAUUGAAGUAGACAAAGGUAAGAUAGAGGUAAUCGAUAAAUUGCCACUUCCAACUUCAAUAAAGAGUAUUAGGAGUUUUUUGAGUCAUGCUGGAUUUUACAAAAGAUUUAUUAGGGAUUUUUCCAAGGUAGGUAAAUCAUUAUACUCAUUGCUGGAAUAUGACAAACCAUUUCACUUUGACAAAGAUUGUCUUCAAGCAUUUGAAGAAUUAAAUAAAGCUCUGAUCAAUGCUCCAGUAGUUAUAUCUCUAGACUGGACUUUACCAUUUGAACUGAUGUGUGAUGCUAGUGAUCAUUAUGUGGGAGCAGUAUUAAGGCAAAGAAAGGAUAAGAUUUUUCACUCCAUAUACUAUGCAAGCAAAACUCUUACUCAAACUCAAAUCAAUUACACCACUACAAAAAAAGAAUUGCUAGCAGUAGUAUUUACUUUUGACAAAUUUAGAGCUUACUUUGUAGGUGCUAAAGUGACUGUAUGCACAAACUAUGCAGCCAUCAAAUACUUAAUUUUAAAGAAUGAUGCCAAACCAAGAUUAAUCAGAUGGAUCUUAUUGCUUCAAGAAUUUAAUCUGGAAAUUAAAGAUAGAAAGGGGACUGAGAAUCAAGUAGCAGACCACCUGUCACGGCUGGAAGCAGACAUUAGUACAUUGACAAAAAGGGACAUCAUUGAAACUUUUCAUGAUGAACAGCUGUUGGCAGUACAGCAAGCACAGAUGCUGCAGCAGUCAGGAUCUCCAUGGUAUGCAGAUUUUGCUAACUACUUAGUAAGUGGGAUGCUACCACCUGAGCUGAAGUUUCAGGAGAAAAAGAAAUUUCUUCAUGAUGUUAGAAGCUAUCAGUGGGAUGAUCCACAUUAAUAUAAGUUAUGCUCAGAUCAUAUAAUAUGAAGAUGUGCUUCAGAAGGAGAAAUCCCCCAUAUAUUGGAGUCAUGCCAUGCUGCAGCAUAUGGAGGACAUUUUGGUGGUCACAGAACAAUUGCUAAAGUUCUGCAAUCAAGUUAUUACUGGCCUACUAUUUUUAAAGAUGCUUAUGAAUUUGUUAAAUGUUGUGACAGGUGUCAAAGGACAGGAAACAUAACUAAAAGACAUGAAAUGCCAUUGACUAACAUUCUGGAAGUUAAAGUUUUUGAUGUCUGGGGAAUAGAUUUCAUGGGACCUUUCCCACCAUCCUUUGGGAACUUAUAUAUCCUUGUUGCUGUGGAUUAUGUCUCCAAGUGGGUAGAAACUGCAGCAUUACCUACCAAUGAUGCUAAAACAGUGGUGGCUUUUCUUCAGAAAAAUAUUUUUUCCAGGUUUGGCACUCUUAGAGCAAUUAUUAGUGAUGAGGGUACUCAUUUUUGCAACAAAGUCUUUGCUACAGCUAUGGUAAAAUAUAGAGUCAGACAUAAGGUAGCAACAUCAUAUCACCCACAAUCCAAUGGUCAGGCUGAAGUGUCCAACAAAGAAAUUAAAAAGAUCUUAGAAAAAGUGGUGAACCCAACAAGGAAGGAUUGGUCUUUGCAGUUACAUGACUCUCUAUGGGCCUACAGAACAGCAUACAAAACUCCACUCGGCAUAUCUCCUUACCGAAUUGUUUAUGGAAAGGCUUGUCAUUUGCCACUAGAGCUAGAGUAUAAAGCACACUGGGCACUGAAGAAAUUAAAUUGGGAUAUUUAUGCUGCAGCAGAGGAAAUGAAGCUUCAACUUUGUGAGCUUGAUGAAUUACUGCUAUUUUCAUAUGAAAAUGCAAGAAUCUAUAAAGAGAGGACAAAACACUGGCACGACAAGCAUAUUCAACACAGGCAAUUCAGCCUUGGUCAAUUAGUAUUGCUCCACAAUACAAGACUAAGAUUAUUUCAGGGAAAGCUAAAAUCACAACGGUCUGGCCCUUUUAAGCUGUUAAAAUUUCAUCCUUAUGGAGCUGUUGAUUUUCUAGAUGAACAAACAAGUCAAGAAUUCAAAGUUAAUGGACACAUGAUUAAACAUUACAUACACUCAGUGGCAGAUUGUUUAAAGGAGGUGUUACUCCUUAUAGAACCCAAUUAUUGAGCAAUGAAGAAGGUCAGGCUGAAGGACCUUAAAUCAAAUGCUCAAUGGGAGGCAACCUAUUGUGGAGACAGCCACCUCAAACCAAGUUUGAUCUCCUUUGGUUUUGUUGACAGCUCUCCCUCUUUUUCAUUUUAUUUAAUUUUGUUCUUCCAUUCUAGCUAUUUAGUUUUAUCCUUUCACAUUAUUGCAUUCUUUACUUUUGCUAUCAUUUGAUCUCUUUAUUUUUUAAUUAAUUUUAGAAUUCAUUUUAGUUUUUAUGGGAAGUAUGUAUGGCAAUUGAAUUCCAUAUUGACAAGUGAGCUUGUAUGGUGGCAGAGUGCAGAGGUGAGCCACGUGUAAGAGGGUAUUGGCGUGGAGUAUGUAACCAUUGCUAGAGUAAGUGAAUGGGUGCUGCAGCAACCAAUUUUACCGUUAUAGUAAAUUAAAAAUUGGAGCCUCUCACUUACCGUUGGAGAUAAAUCAUGACAGAUGGAUGCAUGGCUUUGGAUAGCAAUUGCGAAAAACUCUCCGAAAUUAAUGCGUUAAUUUCGCUGGCCUAUGUUUUAGGGAUAUGCACAUUAAAUUCAAAAAAUUUUCUUCCCUCAUUUAUCUUUAGUUACCAGAUUUAUCUUCAAUUAAAGUCCACUAUAAAAGGGAGUCACUUUUCGUAGUGAUCUACGACACUAUUCCCUAUCUCCUUCGCAAGUACAACUCUCAUAAUUCUCAACCUCUUCUUCUCAUUUUACUCUCAAGGACAUUAGCCUCAAUUUGUUACUGCUACAGCAAUGCCAAGAUAUAAAAAAAUAGCCAGCCACCUCAAAGAUCCUUCACACUUCUAGAGUUACCAAGCCGAAAAAAAUAUGAAGAAUUCAUAGAGCCGCGUAAGAUUCUAGAAGAAAAAGGGUUUCAAUUUCCAGAAUGACUUACCGGAAUUGUGCAAACAAUACACAAUGCUGCACCAAAGCGUGGAUGGUUGGAAUUUUGCAACCACCCUCGAGAUCCUAUGCUACUAGUAGUCAAGGAAUUUUACGCCAAUUUGGUAAGCCAUUAUCAGCACAACAUUUGGGUUAGAAACACACUGGUUCCAUUAGACUCCCGCGUUAUAAAUGCUUUCUAUAAUUUACUUGCUGAAAUUAAUUGGGAGUAUGCCAAAUUGCGUGAUAAAUUGACCUAAAAAAAAUGGAACACCAUCUUCACAACUCUUACAAUUGAAGGGGCAUCAUGGGCUAACGAGGAAGGGCGUGUGGUUAAUAGGAUAGAUUUGAAACCUAUUGCUAAGGUGUAGGUGAAAUUUCUGAAAUCUAGGCUUAUGCUAAGUACUCAUAUUACUACGGUUUCACAAGAAAGGUUGGUCUUGUUAUAUGUCAUUAUUUUAGGGCUUCCCAUAGAUGUGGGUAGUAUCAUCGAAAAAGAAAUCAAGGAUUGUGCAGUUAAGAAUCACAAAACUGUUGCCCUGCUAUUUGCUUCUCUCAUCACUAGCAUCUAUGUAGUAUCCGGUGUUCGUCUUGACGCGAGAGAUGACCAUGUCAAGAAUGAUGGUGCCUUCACGACACGUACCAUUGAGAGAGUUGCUGGUGAGAGUGCUAGAACAACAACUGAACCAACUGCUGUAACAGGAGCAAGACGAGCUAUUGGUUUAGAAUAAACAAUCCAAGCGCUUAGCACUAGUAUAACUCAAUGUUCUGAAGCUCAGCAGAGGGAAAACGAUCGGUUUUGGAGCUAUCUACAGCACAUGGACAACCAACUACACCAAUUUACUCUAUACAUGAAACACACUCACCGGAACUUCCCUGAUUCAUUGCUCCAACAGUACAAUUUUGACACCAACACCACAUGUGCUCCAGCAGAAGCCAGUGAAGAAGCCACUGCCACAGAUGAACCAGAAGAAGAAGCUGCAGCCGAACCACAAGCAGGGGUAGAAUCAGAAGAUGCUGAACCAUCUGAUCAACCUGAGGAAGAAGGUGACAAGUUUGCGACUGAUAGCUCACCCACAGAGGCAAAGGACAACUUUGAGAAAGAACAUGAGGAACCUUCCAUCCCAACUCAUUCCAAAACCAGGAAAAGGCACAUUACUCAAGAAGAGGAAGAGGAAGACCCUGAAGAUGAACCUUCCAUUCUAGUCCUUGCAGGCAAGGGCAAGGCAAAAAUAACAACACCUCUAGCCUCUGAAGAUGACAUAGAGCUAGUGGAUGCAGAGCUGGCUACUGUAGCAACCAGAGUUACACCUACACCUGCAGAAGCCAAGCAGCUACUUGAUAUUAUUGCUGUCAUCACAGCUAAGGGCCAAGCAGCUGAUGCAUCAACUCCAAUUCCUCCACAGCAAACUCCUAGCCAAUCUGGUCGUACCAGUUUGCGACAAUCUAGUAAAAGAAAGGCAGUGCGUUUAAAGGCACUGUUACAGCAGCCUCGCCACAACCAUAACAGACCAUAUCAGUGUCCACCACGCAACCUACCCCAGCCGUAACUCCUCUGGCCAGCCCAGUGACGAAAAAGACAAAGACAUUGCCAGCUACUUCCCCACAAGUUUUACUAAAGGAUAAGCUGUGCAGUGCAUCCAAGAAGCACUGAUAUCAUCCCAUCAUGUGCAGCAGUCCCAACCACAUGGAAGUAUUCCUUCCUUGCUAGUUAAUUUCUUUCAUAAAAAAAAAAAAUUCUUUCAGUAUGUUUUUUCAAUUUGUAUGGUAUUCUCUAAUGUCUUCCAUGUCCUUGUCAAAAUUAUGUGACUUCAUUGUGGAUGCUUGUGAGGACACAACACCUCUCAAGUUGUGGGGGUUGUGUUUGUGUUUAUGCUUAUGCUUGUGGUGUGUGUGUUGCGUGAAGCUCUGUUAUCUCAUAUUUGUGUAUGGAUUUGAAAACCUAAUGAAGAUAAAUUAAGUGUUAUUCAGUAUUUAUGAGAAUGCCAAGUAGAGAUAGUUAUAGAUAGAAGUGAAAUGGCUUAAGUUACUGAGUAACCAGAUCUGAGUAUGUACCCCAUAUGCAGAAUUGUGUUCAAAGGUAGCGAAAGUUAUGAGCAAUGUUGUAACAUAUAUAUAUAAAAAAAAAAAGAAGUCCUCUGUCUAAGGCAUUGAGUAGCCAGGUUUGUUCAUGAGCUCCAUGCUCAGCCUUGAGUAAAAGAUACCUCUAGAUAAGAUUAUAUUACAGAUAUUGCUGCAGCAACUCUAAUCUGGGCAUUGUUUGAGUAAUUGGGUGUUAUAAUUACAAUUGAUUGACAUUCACAUGAAAGAUAAAUGUUGUAGUGAGGAGGUUGAAUACUCUCUAGUUUUCAAUCUUAAAAUCAUAACAGUUUGAAUAUGUGAAAUUUAUACUACCCCAUAUAUGAACGAAAUUUUGUCACUCUUGAAUUACAUGCAGUCUCUUGGUGAUGUUAUAGCAUCUUUGGAAUUCAAUCGAAGUAGCACAUACACACUAUGGACAGAAAGAAACUUAAGUCUAGUACUGAUUUACUAUGGUCAUUUUGCAUGAUUGGGAUUGUGAUCUGAAGGUGGAAAAAUCCUUGCAAAUUUGAUAAAAGAGCUAAAGUUGUGUUGCAUGAUUAUUUGCAUGAAGUGUUAAUAUGUUGUCAUUACUUGAGGACAAGUAAUGGUUUAAGUUUGGGAGUGUGAUAACUCUAGAAAAUGAGAGUUAUUACAUCAAUUCUAGACUUAAAUCAAGAUCACUUAGAGAACAAAUAAGGUGCUUUUAUUACAUUUUGGUUAUAUUUUGCAUAAACAUUCAUUUUAAUUGAGUCUUAAUAAGUUUUGUUUGAAUCAAAGUAAUUGGUGCUAAAAACAGGUGCAUAAUUGUAGGUUUUCAGAAAGUCUUAAUUCAUGAGGGGAUGGUGAGACAUUAGAUGAGCAAGAGGAGGAGAGAAGAUGACCGCAAAAGAAGUAAAGCACAAUCGGGAAUAGUGCAGUGUUGUAGCGGAUGUUAGAGCAACCAAUGCUGUAGCAAUCUAGGAACAAUGCGGGAGAAAACUUAGGCACGAGUCAACUGCAGAAUCAUGAUUUGCAUGUUUUCUAAUUUAACUCAUGCACGCCCAUGGACUUUGGUUUACCCUAGUUUGUAGUAUAAAAGGGAGGCGUGCACAAUAUAAAAAGGCGGCAAGGGAAUUAUCAUUAGAAUAAUUAGAGAGGAGAGGAGAAGAAGAUCAAAAUUGAAGAGUGUUGUUUUAGCAACAUUGAGGAAUCUUGCAGAAUUACUUGGAUUUGUCUUUCACCGUGCUCAACUUAUAUUUAUCUUCUUCCUUUGAUUGUUCUGAUGUAUCCCGUGAACAACAUAUUUAUGUUUGGUUUUCUUAUUCAGAAUAUGAACUAGAUCUGCUUAUAGUUGAGUGACAAACAAUCCAAUGGGUUCUUGACUGUUCUUAUGUGUUGUUAUGUCAUUGCUGUAGCAUUUUACUCUAAUAACUAUUAUUAAUAUAACUGUUAUUUCGGUUGACCACCCAUUUAAUAGUUCAAGUUAAGAUAGAGUCAUAAAAUGGCAUGUCUUAGCGGAUAUUAUUAGAGUAUUACUUGGUCUUAAUUUAAGUUUCCUGGAUUAAGUUAUCUUGAAUCCCAUAAGGGCUAUACUUGAAGUUAAGAUUUGUGACACACUAGACAUAGGUGCUUACCUUAUAGGGUGGAGAGACUAAAGGAUCAUAAUGCCAUACCAUAAAUAGAUUAGCAACUAGUCAUUGUUAAUAGAUUUAAGGGUAUGAGACUUCCAAUAUGCGAUAGCUAAAGAUGCAGAUUAAUUCUGCUCGGUGCUACAGCACUUGUCGUAAUAACUAGUGUUAACAUGAUGAAAAACAGUCAACCCAUAAAGAGAGUUUAAUCAUUCAACUACCAUAGUUUCAAUUGAAUCUUAGACACAUUUAAUUUGGUUUAAUUCAUUACGGUACUGUUUUACUUUAUUCUCUCACAAUCAUCAAUUACAAUAGAACCCACUCUACAUUUGUUAACUUCGGAUUGAAUUUAGUUGCACUAUUGUGAUUGCUAUAGCAUUUCAAGUGACAUCAAUCCCUGUGGAGACGAUCUUGAAUAUUCACCACUUUAUUACUUGUUGUGUACACUUGCACAUUGACAUCAAUAGAAUUUGAUUAUAAAAUUAACCAACACUAGUCAACCCAAUGCAUUCAUUUUUUUUUUUUUACAUCACUACAUCUUUUUAGCCCAUAUAACUAGUUUCUACUUCAGACUAUAGAUCCCUAAAAUCAAGAAGGACUUUUAUUAGAACGUAACGUAGGUUAGGGACAUGACUAAUAAUGAGGGAAAAUAAGGAAAACAAUGUAUAUGUUUGAGAAGAAAUAGAGAUAUUUUGGAAAUUACAAGGUGCGUUUUGCUUAUUUAUUAUUAUUGUUAUUUUUUUCUCUUUUUUUCUUUUUUCUUUUUUUUGAAACAAUUUUUUUGUUUUUAUUUUUUUUGUAUGGCACAACUUUACUGAACAAGAUAAUUAUUUACAUUUUUCUCAAACAUAAAUAGGUGAUGAAACUUAUAAGACAUCGGGUAAUAUUCCAAAUCGGAAUGGGUCAAGAUAAGUUGACAAAGAAAAGUUUUUUUUAAAAAACAAAAGGGUCAAAAGGGUUAACUAUGGAUAUUUCACAAAAUAAAUGGCUAGAAAGGCUCAAACGGGUCAAAGAUGACAUUUCCAUCGUCUUUUAGGGCUCUAAAUAAUCUGUUAUAUCUACUAGUUAGAUGGACCUUCAGAUGUAGCAACACAUUUUUUUCUCUUUUUUUUAAGGAUUGACUCAAAGGAAAUCUAGAGAUCAUGUAUAAAAUAAUAAACUGUUAAGUUGUAUGAAGAAUGGGCAAAAAUAGUUACUCUCCAAGAAAAAUGACAAGCUCAAAAACUCACUUGGUAUUCAUUAUGACAUGUGCAUUCCUUCAAGCAACUCAUAUUUAUCUUUGACAUCAACAUGUAGAAUAGCAAAUAUAGCGUAACAUCACUUAAGACCAAAGAUAAUACAAAUACUAAAACUUGAAAGUCAUCAUGUCAUCCAAUGUUAAAAAAUCACACUUUUUUUUAAGUUCAAACGACAUUCUACCCCCCAACCUAUUCUAAACAUGAAAAGAAAAUAUGCAUGUAGAAAUGUGAAAAUGAUGAAGAAAAACUAAUUAGAAAGGUUACACUUAAAAUGAUAAAAAAAGAAAAUAGUUUUUUUUUUUUACUAAGAAGAUGCGUUUUUAGAGUCACUACACUCCAUAUUCAGCCAUCUUCGAGUCAAAAAUUUGAAAGUGUAUAUUUAUAAAGGAGAAAUUAGAAAGAAGAAGUUAAGAAAAAAAAGAUUGUCAAAACUUAAAAAAGAAAAUGUCUAGAAUUUUUUUUUUCAAACGAAGAAGAUCAUUUUCUAGAGUCACUACACUCCAUAUUCAGCCAUCUUCAACACAAAACGUUAGUCACGGUUAGUCUCUACAACAAAAAAUUAGUAAAACCUUAACCAAGAUUCCACAAUUAUCAAUUAUUCCCUCCCCCCAACCAGAACGAAACAUUGUCCUCAGUGUUUUAAAGGAAAUAAGUAGAGUUUAGAAGACAUCAUCUAGGUGGUGCAACACAGAAGAAAAUAUUUACAAGCGGAGAUAAAUCUAAUUUGCACUUCUUACUGCAGCUAUUGUUACCAUCAUUAUUUGGACACUCCAGGACAAAGGUCCUGGGGUCUGACUCUGGUCUACGCGGGAUAACUGCAUAAUUGUGAUCUACAAUUUCCUAAUCUGACUUAUGCACGCCCUAGGCUUCCGUUUACCCUAAUUUUUAACUAUAAAAGAAGAACACGUCAUAAGGAUUAAGGGGAGUCGUCACCCAAAGAGAAAAACACAAAGAAACAAAAGAAAAACAAGAUUCAAGAGAGAGAUUAAGGGCUGCACAAGAGGAGAAUUUUCAUAAAUCAAUUGGGAGCUCAAUCAUUCUUAUUCUUCUCUUGCUUUCUCGUUUUCUAUUUAUUUAUGGGGAUGUGUUUCAUGGCUGAAACUUUGUUCUUUAUUUUUCUUUUACAAACCAUGAACUAAAUUUAUUUGUGGUUGAGUGAUAAACAAUCUUGAUGGUUUAUUAACUGAAUAUAUGUGUUGCUGCAUGUUUGUUGUAGCAGUUUGUUUUGAUAGUAUUUAUUUUUAUUCAUUAUUUCGGUUGAUCACCCAUUUAAUGAUACAAGUUAGGAGAGAGCCGCAAAAGGGUCUAUCUUAGUGGAACAUAUCAGAACAAUACUUGAUCUUAAAUUGAGUUUCCCGGAUUGAGUUUUACUUGAGUCCCAAAAGGGUCAUGCUUGAUUUAAAAUUAGUGAUGAACUAGGCAUAAGAAUUCAUCUUGUAGGGUAAAUAGACCCUAAGUGUGUAAUGCUAUAUCUUAUGUUGGCAUAGCAACUGAUCAUUGUUAGGUUGCAUAUAGAUAUAAGAUAUCCAACAUGCGACGGCUGAGGAUACAUAAGGAUUCUGCCCAGCGUUGUAGCAAAUACUGCAGCAACCGAGCCAACCAUUAGAAAAUAGUCAAGGCCAUUCAAAGAGUUUAUUCACUCAACUACUAUAUAUUCCCAUUAGUUUUAUCCUUGAGCUUGACGUGAUAGUUUUUUUUGUUGCAUUUUAUUUAUUGCGUUUUUAUUUUAAUUAGUAAAUUAGUUUCAUCAAUUGUUUAUUUUAUUUUAGCACAAAAUCUGCACUGUUAAGAUUGCUGUAGCAAAUAUGAUAACAUCAAUCCCUGUGGAGAUGAUCUUGAAUACUCAUUACUUUAUUACUUGUUGUGUACACUUGCACAUUGACACCAAUAGCAUUAGUAUUUAUUACCCAACAUAAUGCACCUGUUACAUUUCAACGAUGCAUGUUGAGCAUUUUUUCUGAUAUGGUUGAACGAUUCCUUGAAGUCUUUAUGGAUGACUUUUCUUUUUUUGGUGAUUCAUUUGAUCAAUAUUUACAUCAUCUAGCACUAGUUCUACAGAGAUGUAUCGAGAAAAACUUAGUCUUAAUUUGGGAGAAGUGUCAUUUUAUGGUAAAACAAGGUAUAUUCUCGGUCACAUCAUUUCGAGCAAAGGUAUUGAGGUUGACAAGCUAAGGUGGAUCUCAUUUUCUAAUCUUUCUUCCCCCCAAAACAGUACGAGAAGUAAGAUCUUUCCUUGGCCAUGCAAGUUUUUAUAGACGUUUCAUUAAAGAUUUUAGCAAAGUUUUUAGACCCUUAUGCAAUCUACUUGCUAAGGAUGUACCUUUUAUCUUUAACGAUUCAAGUCUUAUGGCUUUUGAAAAAUUAAAGCAAUUGUUGACAUCAUCACCCAUCAUUCAGCCCCCAAACUGGAGCUUACCAUUCGAACUCAUGUGUGAUGCAUCUGAUUAUGCAGUAGGAGCAGUAUUAGGACAAAGAGUUUAUCGAAUUCCCCAUGUUAUUUACUAUGCUAGUAUGACAUUGAAUGAUGCACAGUUGAACUAUUCAACUACUGAAAAAGAAAUGUUAGCAGUAGUGUUUACCUUAGAGAAAUUUCGAUCUUAUCUCAUUGGUUGUAAAAUAAUUGUAUUCACAGAUCAUGCUGCUCUUAAAUAUCUUCUCACAAAGAAAGAUGCAAAAGCUAGACUAAUUCGUUGGGUGUUACUUUUACAGGAAUUCGACUUGGAAUUUAAAGAUAAGAAAGGCACAAAAAAUGUUGUGGCAGACCAUCUCUCUCGUCUCUAUUUUGACAUAAUUAUAGAGCCAUUAACAUUGAAUGAGUCAUUCCCAGAUGAACAAUUGAUGAGUAUGGAAGUAUUACCAUGGUAUGCUGACAUUGUUAACUAUCUUGUUACAGGUCAACUUCCAGAGCAUUGGACCAAGCAAGACAAAGCCAAACUUUUUUCGGAAAUAAAGAAUUUCUUUUGGGAUGACCCGUAUUUGUUCAAGUAUUGUGCAGAUCAAAUUAUUAGACGAUGUGUCCCAGAAAGUGAAAUUCAAAAUAUCCUUUCAUUCUACCAUGAACAAACUCGUGGAGGCCAUUUCAGUGCUAAGUAAACAGCUACUAAAGUUUUACAAUGUGGUUUUUAUUGGCCAACUAUAUUUCGAGAUGCUUACACUUUUUGUUCUUCAUGUGAUAGGUGUUAACGAAUAGGGAGCAUUACAAUAAGGAACAUGAUGCCACUAAAUCCAAUUUUAGUGGUUGAGAUUUUUGAUGUAUGGGGUAUCGACUUCAUGGGACCAUUUCCCCCUUCUUUUGGCCUUCAAUAUAUAUUGGUUGCGGUUGACUAUGUAUCGAAAUGGGUAGAAGCAAUUUCAUGUAGAACCAAUGAUCACAAGGUGGUGACAGGAUUUUUUAAAAGUAACAUUGUUUCACGCUUUCGAUUCCCUCGAACGAUAAUCAGUGAUGGUGGUGCCCACUUUUGUAACAAAGCAUUCAAAGCUCUUUUGACAAAGUAUUCAAUCACUCACAAAGUGGCGACCCCAUAUCAUCCGCAAACCAGUGGCUAUUUUGAGAUCUCCAAUUGAGAAAUAAAGCACAUAUUAGAAAAGACAGUGAGGCCAGACAGAAAAGAUUGGUCAUUAAGACUUGAUGAUGCAUUAUGGGUAUAUAGAACGGCUUUCAAGACCCCGAUUGGGAUGUCACCCUACAGGCUAGUGUAUGGAAAAGUUUGCCACCUACCUGUGGAACUCGAGCAUCGUACAUAUUGGGCCAUCAAGAAAUUCAACUUUGACAUGCAGCAAGCUAGCUUAAAAAGAAGAUUACAGCUGGCAGAACUUGAAGAAAUUCGCAAUUAUGCAUACGAAAAUGCCAAGAUUUACAAGCAACGAAUGAAAGUCUUCCAUGACAAGCAAAUUAUGAGAAAAUCUUUCACUCCAGGUCAGAAAGUGCUUUUAUUCAAUUCUCGCUUGCACCUAUUCCCAGAUAAGUUACGCUCUCGAUGGUUUGGCUCCUUUAUUGUUCAUACUGUUUUUCCACAUGGGGCAAUUGAAAUUAAGGACCCAAAGAACGGUGUUACGUUUAAAGUUAAUGGUCAAAGAUUAAAGCCAUAUUUAGAGUACCAACCACAUAGAGAAAACACCGAAAUAAAUUUGAGUGACCCACUAGAUUUGAAUUAAUUUUUUUCUUCUUUCUUUUCGGUAAUUUGAUUUUUUUUCUUCUUUUUUUUAUUAUUCUUUUGCUAAUUGAAAUUAUUUUUGCAUAAGUAUGUUUGUUUAACUAUUAAGUUUCUUUUAUCAGUGUUAAUCAUGAGUGCCAUAUCUAAACAAUUCCUCUUGAACAUUCUUAAACUACUUUAACGUGUAAAAUCUCAUUUCAAAAGCAGAUUCGAUUUUGUAAAAUACAUCGUAUUUGGGCUCUGCAACCACCAGAGUUGGUAGUCUAUGUUGAGGAUUUAGAAAGCCAACUCAGAGACAUUGAGAGAGGUGUCUAUAACAUCCAGUUGAGCUUGAGGUAAAUUCAAUAAGAGGACAAUUUUAAUUUUCUUUGUGUGUUUUAAUUUGUUUUUUUGUUGGUGUGCUUUAGUUUGUUAUCCCGGUAAAGUGGCGAAUAAUGGUACUCCGUGACAAUCAAGUCGGUUACUUCAGUUUUCCCAUAAUAACUGAUAUUCUGAGGCGAAGGUAUGGACAUAAACGAGAUUCUAGCGAAGCUUCACAAGCGAUUCCCUUCACUUCCUUAGAAUGCCCUCCUUACAAUCUAUAAAGCUCGGUUCGAACGCAUGCGAUUGCUCAUAAGGAAUAACAUACAUGCUGAUAUCCGUUGGUUAAUCGAGGCUAAAGUACGAUUGGCAGGUGAGUUACCUCCAAAAUUUAUUGCAUACAUGCCUAGUUGUGGUAAAGGAAAUUAUGCAAGAAAACGAAGAGCUCGAAGAAUUUCUGUUGCUUGUCAUAAGUGUGCUAGAAUGAGUUGCGAUAAAAAAUCAUGUUCUUUAGGAAUGAUAUCUGAUAACAGGGAAGAUAAGAUUUAAUUCAUUAGGGAUGGCUUGAAUAAUGAGUCAUUAAAUGAUAUCCUUUUGUCUCUUGAAAUGCAUCCCAGUGGAUAUAUGCAAGGAGCGAUUCUCCUGUUAUGACCAUUAUUCUAGAAAGAGCAUGCACGAUAUAGUCUCAGGAAUCUGACUAUAAACGACCUUGUUUGCCAGUUUAUAAGAAAACUGGAUGGGAAUCCUAUCCUCGACCCAUAGAGGGUGUUCAAAAUGUUUCUGGACGUAAAACCAGAAGAAGAUGUGAGCCAUAGUCGCAACAACCUGUAAAUAUCCUUUUACUUCACUAUUAUUUUAUUUCACUGUUGUUUUAUCAUUUGCAUUAUUGUCUUUAAUAAAUUUAUUUUAUCAUUGUUUCCUUUUUAACUCACGAGCCAUGUGCUUUACGCGUUAUUUGACACUGGCAUGCCACUUUAUAUACAGUUGUGAUCCACUGUCACCAAAAUUCUUAAAUAUGACUUUUUGUCAAGAACUUACAAAUUAUUUUUUAGAAAUAUCCCAAUGGCAGUUACUCCCAAUAGACAAUUCAAGAACAUUUGUGUGCUUUCUAGAUUUAACUAUGGCAAACAUAAAGAGUUCGUUGAGGCAGCCAUAGAUCUUGGUCGAAGCAUAGCAGAGAGAAAACUACACUUGGUGUAUGAAGGAGGUAACCGAGGGUUAUCAAAAUUGGUCUCAGAAGCUGCUUUUGUCAAAGGAAGCCAAGUGUUAGGCAUCAUCCCAAGAGCCCUAAAACCUUUGGGCAGUUUGUCUGACCCACCGACUGGAGAAGAGUUACUCGUCUCAGGUAUGUAAGAAAGAAUAAUUGAAAUGCUUAAUCAUGCUGAUACUUUUAUUUUCCUUCUAGGAGAUCUUGCAAUACUAGAGGCACUUAUCACACUAGCAUCUUAGGCCCAUUUGCACAUUCACCAGAAACCCAUCGGUUUGUUAAACGUCAAUAACGUUUCUGAUGGCUUUAUCACAUUUCUUAACCAUGCAAUAAAAAACUAUUUCAUUUCUUCCAAUGCGAAAAAGCUUUUUAUUUGUGCUCACACUGCUAAUGAGCUACUUGAUAUGUUACAAGCUUAUAGACCGGAGCUAGACCCAUGGACCUUUGUGUUGGAGCAUCUAAAUAAUGACGGUAACAGUAGCCGCAGUAAGAAGUACAAAUUAAAUUUAACUCUCCAUCUGUAAAUAUUUUCUUCUGUGUUGCACUACCCAGGUGAUGUCUUCUAAACUUUACCUCUUUCCUUUAAAACAUUGAGGAUAAUGUUUCGUUCUGGUUAGGGUUAGGGAAUAGUCGACAAUUGUGGAAUCUUAGUUAAGUUUUUACUAAUUUUAUGUUGUAGAAACUAACUAUUGCUAACUUUUUGUGUUGAAGAUGGCUGAAUAUAGAGUGUAGUUACUCUAGAAACGCAUCUUCUUCGUUAAAAAAAUAAAAAAAAAUUUCUAGAAAUUUUAUUUUUCUUUAUUAAUUUUUUUACAAUCAUUUUUCUUCUUCUUUAUAAUAACUCCUUUAUAAAUAUACACUUUCCAAUUUUUUUGAGUUGAAGAUGGCUGAAUAUGGAGUAUAGUGCCUCUAGAAACGCAUCUUCUUAGUUAAAAAAAACAUUUCUUUUUCUAUCAUUUUAAGUGUAACUUUUCUAAUUAAUUUUUCUGCAUCGUUUUCACAUUUCUGCAUGCAUAUUUUCCUUUCAUGUUUAGAAUAGGUUGGGGGUAGAAUAUUGUUUAAAAAAUAAUUGUGUGAUUUGUUUUAACAUUGGAUGACAUGAUUAAUUUUAAAUUUUAGUAUUUGUAUUAUCUUUGGUCUUAAGUGAUGAUACUCUAUGUUUGCUACUUUACGUGUUGAUGUCGAAGAUAAAUAUAAGUUGCUUGAAGGAAUAAACAUGUCAUAAUAAGUACCAAGUGAGUUUUUGAGCCUAUCAUUUUUCUUGGAGAGUAACCCUUUUGCCCAUUCUUUAUACAGCUUAACAGUUUAUUAUUUUAUACAUGAUCUCUAGAUUUAUUUUGAGUUAACCCUUAAAAAAAAAGUUGUUGUAAAAUUAAAAAGAAAAGAAAAGAAAAAAUGUGUGUUGCUACAUCUGGAGGCUCAUCUAACUAAAAAAUGAUGGAAAGGCCAUAUUUGAUUCGUUUGAGCCUUUCUAGCCAUCUCUUUUGUGAAAUAUCCAUAAUUAACCCUUUUGAGCUUUAAAACAAAAAAAAAAACCUUUUCUUUGUCAACUUAUCAUCUUGACCCACUCCGAUUUGGAGUAUUACCCGAUGUCUUAUAAAUUUCAUCACCUAUUUAUGUUUGAGAAAAAUGUAAAUAAUUAUUUUGUUCAGUGACGUUGUGCCAAACAAAAGCAAAAAAAAAAUUAUUGUUUCAAAAAAAAGAAAAAAAUAACAAUAAUAGGUGAAAUCCACCUUGUAACUUCCAAAAAAAAAAAAUCUCUGCAUUUUUCUCAAACAUACACUUUGUUUUCCUUAUUUCCCCUCAUUUAUUAGCCAUGUCCCUAGCCUACAUUACGUCCUAAUAAAAGUCCUUCUUGAUUUUAGGGAACUAUAGUCUGAAGUAGAAGUUAGUUAUAUGGGCUAAAAAGAUGUAGUGGUGCAUAAAACAAAUAAAAUAAAAAUAAAUAAGUUGGUUUGACUAGCAUUUUUGUUUGACUUGAGAUCGUAUUAUUUUUAAGCUGGGGACAUAUUUCUUUCAUCUUGGUGAGAGCAUGUAAUAUCACUUCUUUAUUAUUUUCUCUCAAUUACCAUUCAUUGGAGUGACUAUUUUUAUUGGGUUUAAUUUCUUUAUGAGAGUGUCACUACUUCCAGUGAGAUUUUGGGAUUUGACAUGUCAUUCUUGAAAGGAGUUAUGACAAAGUCUACUGGGCUGAUUCAUGUGGAUGGUUGAUGUAGGUGUGAUGUUUCUUUAGACUGGAGACAAUGAUUAUACUUUUAUUUGAUUGCUAUCAUUAGUCUGAUUGAAUAAACAUGAUUGUUAAAAAAAAAAAUCAUUUUGGAUUUGAAUUUUUUUUUCGCUUUAUUUGCUAGGGACUAACAAUAAGCUAGUUAGGGGGUGUGUUGAGUGUUAGAAAAUGUAUAUUUAUAAAGGAGAAAAUCGUCAUUUUACAUUUCAAGUUUUACUAACACCCUUACUUUUAUGUAUUUAAACUUCUUGUCAUUUAAUUAUGUGUGUUGUAUUAUAAUUAAGUAUUUUAUGUAUGUUAGGGGCAUCAUAGUUAUUUCAUAAUGAAUGAGAGAUCAGACGGCAAAACGGACAUCACUUUUGAACUCAAGACGCUCGAAAACCUUAAGAGGAGCAUAAAAGGAAAAAUGACACUAUUCACAUGUACGGUACUGUCUAUGUUACUGUUCAUGACACUGUUAACAUAGACGAAUCGAUGACAUGGCAUUGACCGAUGAUGUGGCAUUGACUGAUGAGGUGUCACGAUCCUGUUAGAUUAAAAUUCUUAUGUACUGUUGAUCGAUGACGUGGCAGCAUAUCAGUGGACCAAAAAUCUCGCGUACGGUACAUGCAUUACACAGGAUUAUUUUCGACCAAACUGCGUCACUAUUCAACCCGGGUCAAACCGUGUUACUGUUCAAACCAUGUGGUCAAACUGCAUACUGUUGACUGAUGACGUGGUGCAAUCCUGAGCGUCCGAAAUAUUUUUGAUCUGAUGGCCAUGAUUUACUCAAUGUAGCUAUAAAAAGGGGGCUCUCUCCCCCUAAUUGGAUAGUUCUGAAUCCAUUUUUGGACUCCAUUUUCUGUAAUUCCCUCUCCAUCUUGUAUUUUCUACGUAUUUUAAUAAAUUCUUAUUUUGCCCUUAGUUCAAUUAUGAGUAGCUAAUUUUCUUUCAAACUUGGGUUGAAGGUGAAGUCUCAACAUGUGUCAUGGGCUUUAUUUGGUAAAUUUAUUUUCUUUUCCCCUCUAUUUGUUGUGGAUGUUUUGACUUCUAGUCGACAAAUAAUAAUAAUCUUGUCUAGAUACCGCCUUGGUUUCACCGGCUCUCUAGUACAAGGUUAUUAUUAUUUGGCACGAUAAGCCCUUAGCACCAUAUUGAUUAGAGUGUGGUUCAUGAGGUGUGGAUUCCCCCCUCAUGAUUUAAUUGGUAUUAAUAAGGAAUAUUUAGCCCAUGAUGCAUGUUGAUACGGAUCCAGAUACCUAAGUACGUCAUUUUAAUAGAUUUCUAUUCAAUUUAUUCUCGCCAUUUAAAUUCCAAUUUUAGGAUAAUCCAAAUCAUUUUCACCACAAAUCUAACCACCCUCAUACAAAAUUAAUUCUAUAUAUAAUUAAAAUCCAUCUCCUUGUGGGAUCGACACUCGUCACCGUUGAUCUAUUCUACAAUAGAUUCAUGCACUUGCGAGUUUAAUAAAUUUUGCACAAUAGCAAGUAGAUUGCAUAAGGGUCUAGAAACUUUGCUAAAAUUUUUAAUGAAACGUCUAUAAAAACCAGCAUGCUUAAUGAAAGAUCUUACUUCUCUGACUGUUUUAGGUAGAGGAAGAUUGGAAAUGAGAUCCACCUUGGCUUUAUCAACCUCAAUACAUUUGCUCGAAAUGAUGUGACCAAGAACAAUACCUUAUGUUACCAAAAAAUGGCACUUCUCCCAAUUUAAGACCAAGUAUUUCUCUAUACAUCUCUACAGAACUAGUGUUAGAUGAUGUAAACAUUGAUCAAAUGAGUCACCAAAAAUAGAAAAGUCAUCUAUAAAGACUUUAAGGAAUCGUUCAACUAUAUCAGAAAAAAUGUUUAACAUGCAUCGUUGAAAUGUAGCAAGUGCAUUACAUAAUCCAAAUGGCAUCCUCCUAUAUGCAAAAGUGUCAAAAGGGCAAGUGAAAGCGGUCUUCUCUUAAUCUUUUAGUGCCAUGGGAAUUUGAUUAUAUCCCAAGUAGCCAUCUAGAAAACAAUAAAAUUCAUGACCUAGUAAUCUAUCAAGCAUUUGAUCGAUAAAUGGUAAAGGAAAAUGGUCUUUACGUGUGACAGAAUUCAACUUUCUAUAAUCAAUGCAUACACGUCAUCAUGUAGUCACUCUAGUGGGUAUAAACUCAUUAUCAGUAUUGGUAACUAUUGAGUGUUAGAAAAUGUAUAUUUAUAAAGGAGAAAAUCAUUAUUUUAUACUUCAAGUUUUACUAACACCCUUACUUUUAUGUAUUUAACCUUCUUUUGAUUUAAUUCCCUGUGUUUUAUUUUAAUUAAGUAUUUUAUAUAUUUUAGGGGCAUCAUAGUCAUUUCACAAUGAACGAGAGAUCAGACGGCAAAACGGACAUCAAUUUUGAACUCAGGACGGUCGAAAAGGAGCAUAAAAAGAAAAAUAGCACUGUUCACAUGUACGGUACUAUUCACGUAUACGGUACUGUCUACGUUACUGUUCACGACACUGUACACAUAAACGGAUCGAUGACAUGGCAUUGACCGAUGAUGUGGCAUUGACUGAUGAGGUGUCACGAUCUUGUUAGACUAAAAUUCUUAUGUACUGUUGAUGGUGACGUGGUAGCAUAUCAGUGGACCAAAAAUCUUGCGUACGGUACAUGCAUCACACAGGAUUAAUUUCAACCAAACUGCGUAACUGUUCAACCCGGGUUAAACCGUGUUACUGUUCAUCCGCGUGGUCAAACCUCGUAUUGUUGACUGAUGACGUAGCGCAAUCCUGAGCGUCCAAACUGUUUUUAAUCCGAUGGCCAUGAUUUACUCCAUGUAUCUAUAAAAAGGGGGCCUCCCCCCCCUAAUUUGAUAUCUCUGAAUCCAUUUUUGGGAUCUAUUUUAUGUAAUUCCUUCUCCAUCUUGUAUUUUCUACGUAUUUUAAUAAAUUUCUAUUUUGCCCCUAGUUCAAUUAUGAGUAGCUAAUUUUCUUUCAAGCUUGGGUUAAAAGUAAAGUCUCAACAUGUGUCAUGGGCUUUAUUUGGUAAAUUUACUUUCUCUUCCCCUCUAAUUUUUGUGGAUGUUUUGACUUCUCAUCGACAAAUAAUACUAAUCUUGUCUAGUAUCGCCUUGGUUUCACCGGCCCCCUAGUACAAGGUUAUUAUUAUUUGGCACGAUAAGCCCUUAGCACCAUAUUGAUUAGAGUGUGGUUCAUGAGGUGUGGAUUCCCCCCUCAUGAUUUAAUUGGCAUUAACAAAGAUUAUUUAGCCCAUGAUGCAUGUUGAUACGGAUCCAGAUACCCAAGUACGUCAUCUCAAUAGAUUUCUCUUCAAUUUAUUCUCGCCAUUUCAAUUCCAAUUUUAGAAUUUAUUCUCGCCAUUUCAAUUCCAAUUUUAGGAUAAUCUAAAUCAUUUUCACCACAAAUCCAACCACCGAUUUACAAAAUUAAUUCUACACACAAUUAAAAUCCACCUCCUCGUGGGAUCGACACUCGUCACCAUUAGUCUAUUCUACAAUAGAUUCGUGCACUUGCGAGUUUAAUAAAAUUUGCACAACAGUAACUACUGUGACUCCUGACUUUUUAGGGACAACUUGCACAAGACUGACCCAUGAUCUAUCAAAAAUAGGGUAAAUGAUACAUGCAUCUAAUAGCUUAAAGACUUCAGUUCUAACAACUUCUUUCAUGUUAGGGUUCAACCGACGUUGCAUUUCCUUAGUAGGUUUAGCAUUUUCAUCAAGGUGAAUGUAAUGCAUGCAGUCUAUUGGGUUUAUACCUUUUAUGUCGGCUAUGGUCCAUCAUAAUGCUCAUUUGUGCUCUUUUAAAACAUCCAACAACUUACCUUUUUGUUCGUCAUUUACGGAUGAUGAGAUGAUUACUGGCAAAAUGUUUUCUUCUCCCAAAAAUGCAUAUUCCAAAGUGUUGGGUAAUGGUUUGAGCUCGAGUUUCGGUGGUGAUUCUGAUGAUGGGUUGAGUUUCUUCUCUGAUGGUGUUAGUUGUUCAAUUCUUGACUUCUAUUUAUUAGUAUCCAUGGAUGGUGCUGACUCAAGUAGAGCGUUGACCACAUUGACUGAUCUGUCAAUAUCAAAAUCAAAACCAAAAUGAGUUAAACAUGUUCGUAAAGGGUCAUCACUAAGGUUUGAAAGGAAAGUAUUAUCAACUAAUGCUUCUAUUAAAUCCACAUGAACAAUUCUAUCAUCUGCAUUGUGAGGUUGCUUGGCAAUGUUGAAGAUGUUUAGCUCCAUAGCCAUGUUACCAAAGGACAACUGCAUAUUUCCAGUCAUACAUUGAAUGUGAGCAUCGGCAGUUGCCAAGCAAGGUCGGCCUAGGAUAAUGGGGAUGUGCUUCCUUGAAUCCUGGAUUAGUUGAGUGUUAAUUACAAUUAAAUCAAUAGGAAAAUAAAAUUUGUCUACCUGGAUAAGCACGUCCUCAACAAUACCACGAGGUAUUUUUGUGGACAGAUUUGCAAGCUGUAACACCAUUGAAAUUGGGUGUAAUUCUCCCAGUCCAAGUUUCAUAAAUACUGAGUAGGGUAACAAAUUUAUACUAGCUCCUGAAUCCAACAAAGCAUUCUCAAUUGUGUGGUUCCCUAUAUUACAUGAGAGCAGUUGAUGUAAAAACUACAUUUCUUCAUGGGGAACUUAAAGAAGAAAUUUAUAUGCUCCAGCCAGAAGGUUUUGCUGAAAUAGGAAAGGAGAACUUGGUUUGCAGGUUGAAUAAAUCUCUAUACGGUCUCAAAAAGGCGCUGAAGUGUUGGUAUAAGAGAUUUGAUUCCUUCAUCAUGAGCCUUGGAUACAUCAGGCUCAGUUCAGACCAUUGGAUAGACCAUUGUGCAUAUUACAAGAGGUUUAAAGAUAAUGAUUUUAUCAUUUUACUGUUGUAUGUGGAUGACAUGUUGGUAGCAGGCCCCAACAAAUAUCGAGUCCAAGAACUAAAGGCAUAAUUGGCUAGGGAGCUUGAAAUGAAAGACUUAGGAUCAGCAAAUAAGAUUAUAGGAAUGCAAAUUCACCGAGACAGAAAUAAUAGGAGGACUUGGCUUUCUCAGAAGAACUACUUGAAGAAAAUCUUGUGGCGCUUCAAUAUACAAGAUUGUAAGUCAAGUUCUACCCCACUUCCUAUUAAUUUCAGGUUAUCGUUAAGUAUGUGUCCUGGCAAUGAAGCAAAGAGGAAAGAGAUGUCUCGAGUACCGUAUACAUCAGCAAGGGAAGUUUAAUGUUUGCUAUGAUUUGUACAAGACCAGACAUUGCACAAGCAGUGGGAGCGGUCAGUCCAUACAUGCCGAAUCAUGGUGGAGAACAUUGAAAAAUUGUAAAGAGGAUUCUGAGAUACAUCAGAGGAACUCCAAUGUUGCAUUAUGUUAUAGAGGAUCAAAAUUUACUGUCAGGGGCUACGUGGAUUCAGAUUUUACAGGAGACCUUGAUAAAAGGAAAUCCAAUACUAGCUAUGUGUUUACACUUGCAAGAUGAGCUGUAAGCUGGGUUUCGAAACUACAGACCGUUGUGGCUCUAUCUACAACAAAAGCAGAAUACAUGGUAGCUGCACAAGCUUGCAAGGAAUCUAUAUGGAUACAAAGGUUAUUGGAGGAGUUCGGGCACAAAUAAGAGAAAAUAUCUGUAUUUUGUGACAGUCAAAGUGCCUUUCACAUUGCAAUGAAUCCAGCCUUUCAUUCCAAGACAAAGCACAUAAGACUUCAAUAUCACUUCGAUCGAGAAAUAGUAGAAGACGAAAAUAUGGAUUUGCAGAAAAUCCAUACAAAGGAGAACCUAACAGAUGUUAUGACCAAACAAAUCAAUACUGACAAGUUUGUAUGUAGUAGAUCCUCUUGUGGCCUAGCAGAAACGUAGACAGCAUAACAAUGGCGAAACAGAAAGGAUGGUGUGGAGAUUGAUUGAUCAUUAAUCAAAUCUCCAAGUGGGAGAAUGUCAAAGUCAUGGUUGGCACCACCCUUAUAGAUGGGCAAUGCCAAACCAUCAACAUUUUCAACACGGCCCGCCAUUUUUUGUGUGCCGAACUGCUUGAAGAAGAAAAAAGAGAAAAAAGAACAAAAGAAGAAAGAAAAAGCCAAAAGAUUUGAAAGGAAAAAUAAUAAAAUAUUAAUAAUAUUAUUUUAUUGGAAAAAAAGGAGGGGAAAUGAAGCCUAUAAAUAGAAGGCUUCAAUUCCCCUCUCGGCAUCCCAUUCUUCAGUUUUUCAAUCUUUUGUGAGAGAGGAAAAAUUAAGAGUUUUAAUACUCUUGUGUAAUUAGUGAGCGAGAGAUUGGGUGUAUAGGAGUUCUGGGAAGUGAGCUAAAAUAUUACAAUACUUGUAAUCCUCAUAUCACUAGUGAAAUAUUUUUCUUCUGUAUUCACCCGUGGACGUAGGCUAAAAGCUGAACCACGUAAUUUUAUGGUGUUCUCUUUUGUGCUUGUUCUUUAUUUUUUUUCUAAUUUCAUUUUACCUGUGACCCUGCUUCACCCAUCAAUUUCCUAACAAAUCCAGUAUCAUAUAAUUAUAAAAACAAAUAUAGAAACUAAAAAACAAAUAGAGACUAUAUUUUGUGCUUACAUAUGGUGGUAUUUGCACUUGGAACAUUUACACCGAGCCAGCAAGCUUGCCCUUCAAAAACUAAAUCCUUGCUCAGAAUUAUACACAAAGCACGCUUUGCAAAGCAGUUCUUGUCUUGCAACUAGGCUUACCAAUGUAGUUCUUGUUAAAUCAAUACUUAUUGCAGCCCAAGUAUCACCAUUUUCAUUAGUUGGCUGCAAAGAACAGAAACAAAAAAUUCAAAUCAAAGGUAAAGCUAAAAAAAUUGGCUUUUAAAGUAAAGAAAAAAGGCAAAGCCUUAAAAAAUUCCCAAGUAUCACCAUUUUCACUCAUUGGUUCAAUCUCGAUUUUAUGUUUACAAUCACAUUUCUCAUAAACAUGAUCACUUACAGAAAAUUCCCACAAUCGCACAUGCAAUAUUUCUUAUAAAUAUGAUAACUUGGUUUACUAUAAUAUUGGAUACCCAACAAAGACUAGUUGAAAAUUCUCUAAAGGUUCAAAUCUUGGCCCUUUAAAGUCAUUUAAACUCAAAUAUAAAACAUGUGUCUAAUCAAAAUGCUUACGCAUGAAUAUAUUAAAGAACCAUCAUUUCAAAGGGAAAAUUUUGAACAAAGAAUUAAAAAUUUUAACAAAUAGAAUUUGACAAUCCAACAUUCAGAAAUUGAUAUUCUAAAGCAUUCUUUUAGAAAGAAUCUAAAUAAUUUGAUUAUCAAAAUAUAAAAUGAAAUCUUUACAAAUAUCUAGUUAACAUCAAACCCUGCAAAAUAUGUCUUAGAAUUAAACUAUAAGUGAAUGAUGAGAUAUUUCAUUUAAAAGCUUAAGGACUAAUCUUUUUAAAUAACUAUUAAGCUUCUCAGUAAGGGAAACCUUCCAUUCUAUUUUUCUUUCUUUUCUUUCUAGGAAUUCAAUAGCUCUCUCAAUUAGUUUAGGCUGCCUUGUAAAAUCACAAACAAUAUUUUCUCUCUCUAGUAAAAUAAUUUACAUUAACUUGUAUUAAAACAGACACAUUUUUAUAUAUUCAAAUCUACAAGACAAUAUUUUCAAUAGCAAACUUGAACUACUGCAGCCAAUAUUGUUGUAUUUAAUAUAUUCAAAGGCAAGCCUGCUCUAAACACUAUGUAAAGAUCUAAUUGGUCCGUGCAAGGGUACUGAAGUGAAGGUUACUUGGUCAUGUUCUAAUACAAGUUAAAGGUAAUUCUAAUUACCGAACACAAGCAACCUUAAUACAAAUAAUAGCAUGGCUGGAUUGCAUUAUCCUUCUCUAUUGACAUGGCGACUUAAACUUUAGACUCAUUUGUUCGAAUUUUGUAAAUACUUUGUAAUCACUGCCAAUAAAAAUAAAAGAGCCUAAAUAAAUAUUGCAAUCUACUGAAAAAUAGAAACUAUUUUGGUCUUUGCCCCCAUAUGUUCUCCACUACACCAUGUAAGAUAUAGAAAAAAAAAAGAAGAGACAAAACUCCAAUAAAGUAAAAAAUACUGAAUAACAUCAUUUCAUUUGAUUCCUAAUAUGUACAUCCAACCAGUUCAACUUUAUAAUGCUAAAAUUAAACCAUAAAUUAAAACCAAUUGAAUAAAAAUGGAUAACUUCAGGAACAUGCCUUCACAAAGGAAAUAAGAAAAACACACCACAAAAGAUUAACUUUCUAUAUGUUUCCAAGACGCCGUAUAGCUUCAGGGCUCCUAGAAACCUAUUAUCUUUCUCCUUUGUCCAUCAUUCAUGUUGCUUCCUUUUCUACCAUUAACCAAAAUUCACAAUUCAUAUAUUUUAUCCUUAACAGCUAUUUCAUAUCACCAAAAUUUUUUUAAAAAAAUAAAUAAAGAAGAAGAGGAGACAUAAAAUAUAAAAGUAAUCAAAGGUUUCUACUUAAUGUAGGGGUCCAUAACCCAAAAACCGAGCCUUAGCCCUAACCCUCAAAAUCUAUCACAAUACCCAGACCCUAGCCUUGACCCUCAGAAUCAAACAUAAUUCCACCAAAAUCAAAGAGUUUACCUGCAAUGACCAUGGAGAAGAGCGAAGGAGCGAUAACAAGCAGGUCUAGGAGAGCGAUUAUAAAAUUUAAUAGAGUGGAAUAAGCCAGUGAAUGGGUCUAUGAAAGUAAAGUGAGCAAAACGGCAAUGGAGAGUGACCCAUUUCAAGCAAAAUAAAGAGAGCUUAAGCAAAAAGAAGAGCCGCGAGAGACCAAAGACAUGACGUGAGCGCCUCUACAAGUGUUUGAAAAUAAGGGAAAAUCAUGUUUUAGCAUGACUGUUUUAAUAUUAACCGUCAUUAAUUAACUAAAAAAUCCAAUAUCUCCAAUAAUGAUGGUUUUUUUCAAAACGGUCAUUGUAGGAUAUAAAUUUAUGACUGUUGUUGAAAUAACGGUCAUUAAAUAUUUUUCGUUACUGUUGUUAAAAAGAACGGUCAUCAUACAUGAGUCGUAUUUAUAUUUUUGUAGUAGUAACUUUUAAUGACCGUUUUUAAAUAUAACCGUCAUUAAAAGUAAUAGCUUCACAUUUAAUGACGGUUACAUAAUAGAACCGUCAUUAUAAACCUUGAAUUUUUAAUGACCGUUUUUAUAAUAGAACCGUCAUUAUAAACCUUGAACUUUUAAUGACCGUUUUUAUAAUAGAACCAUCAUUAUAAACCUUGAACUUAUAAACCUUGAACUUUUAAUGACCGUUUUUAUAAUAGAACCGUCAUUAUAAACCUUGAACUUUUAAUGACCAUUUUUAUAAAUAACCGUCAUUAAAAAUAAAAUUAUGUUUUAGCUCACAUUUAAUGACGGUUAUAUAAUUGAACCAUCAUUAUAAAUUUCAAAUUUUUAAUGACCAUUUUUUUAAAUAACCUUCAUUAAAAGUAAAAUUAUAUUUUAAAGUAACAUUUAAUGACGGUUAUAGAAUAGAAACGUCAUUGUAAAUGCUAGAUAUUAUGACCGUUUAUAUAAUAACAGUCAUCAAAUAUUUUUAAUGACAGUUGUUAAUAAAAACCGUCAUAACUUAUGGGUUAUUAUUUUAAUUUUUUGUAGUAGUGGAAAUUUAGAUGGUGAAGUGCACACGGAAAAUGGAAGGAGAUCUAAUAAAUGUAGUGAUUAUCAUGCACAAACAUAAGCUCCACUGAGUGGUUGUCAAAUGAACUUUUUUUAGUCAGCCAAGUUAAAUUGACGGAAAGUAGAAGGAUAAAAAAUCAAUUUUUACAAAUUGCGUUUCCAUCAAUUUACCUUGACUAUGCAAUGAUAUAAAGGCUUAAAAAUUUUCAAAGCACAGCUCCUUGGUGCCACUUGCCGAUGUAAUAACUAAUAACAGUACAUAGUUUGAUAUUCAUCGAGAAGCACAUCAUUUGGAGAAUAAAUACUUUCACACUAAAGUGUUGCACUCGAUUAUUAGGAAUUGACAUUUUAACAAAUUUAAUGUGUCCACAAACAAUAUUAAAUUAGAUGAGUCCUACUGAAGAACUCGCCAGAAUUGUGUUUUAAUUAUUGUAUUUUAAAUAUUGUUAUAGUAAGGUUAUAUGAUGAGAUAAUAAAUAUUAAUCGAAAGGGGAUCGUUAGACUUAAUCGAUUAACUGGAAAUGAAAGUUGUGAAAUAUAAUUAAAAAUUAAUGGCUAACUUGUCAAUUCUUUUAGUGCAUUGGACCAAAGAAUCAUAAUAGAAGCAGCAGCGUCUGGUGCCAGGAAGUUUUUAACAGAAAUUUUCCAUUUUUCUAGUUCACUUCUUCCUCUUGUUUUGGUGGCUGAAGAGAUUCUUCAUCUUCGUCUUCCUUGUCCUUUUCGAUGUCUACUUCUUCCACUUCAUCCGCACCAAGGAGAUGUGUCCACAAACAGUAAUAAAUUUGGUGAGUCUUAUUGAGAACACCAAAUUUGUUUGUUAAAUAUUUAUGAUCACACAAAAAUAAUAUUAUCACUUUUCUUUUAUUUAUAUGUAGGACUUAACUAUGGUACAACUGUAGUACUAUAUCACAGUUGCGUCUAAUUAUUGGAUCCAACUACUUAGUUAUUAGAUCUCUUACCAUAACUGAAUCAAAUAAUUAGGUGUAGCUGUGGUAUGAUAUUCGGCUACCCUCGUUACAGAGGGAAGCCAGAAACGACAUGCUUGUGUGCCGUUUUGAAGUUUUAGAUUUGAGAAUUAAAAACAAAUUUUACCAUUAAAAAUUAAUAAAAGCUAAUCAAAACAAAUUAAAAAUCUAAAUUCUUAUCCCUCCCCUCACUCACCCCUAGGGAUGGCAAUUGUACCCACAAACCUGCCUAAACCCACCCGCCAAAACCCGCCCGUUGCGGGUAAUUUUACCCAUUGCGGGUGGGUUUAGUAUUAUAAAUUAGAACCCGCACAUGGAUGCGGGUGGGUUUGGUAUUAACCUUAUAUCCGGUGGAUACCCGCAUGGAUAUCUACCAAACCCGCAAUAUUUUUUCCAAAUAUUUUUAAUUUAAUUUUUAAUCUAAAAAUGUAUAAAGAAAAUAAUGUCAUUAAUCAAAUUACCAAAUAGCGAAAGGCUCAAAGUUGUGUAUGUGUGUAUGUGGCCCAUCUCCUAUUCUAAAAUUAUAACCUAAAGAAAACUAAAGGCAUUUCCCUUCGAAUUAGUAUUUAAAAAUAUUAAUCUUAAUUAUUAUUAUAGGCAUUGUGUUGGAUGGGUGCUUAUGGUGGUGAAUGAAAUGAAUAUCUUCUCUUGGAGCUUGUUUUAAAUGAUAAUAUAAAAUGUAAUUAUUAUUUUUAGAUACUAGUUUGUGUUUUUUAAAUAGAUUUGCGUAAUUUAUACUUAAAUUUGAGAAUUUGUGUUGAAUUGAUGUGAAAAUUUUAAUUUUUCAUUUACAUUGUUUUAAAUAUAAAAUUGAGUAUGUUAUAUGAAAUUUGAGGUUAUUAUUAUAAAUUUAUAUAUUAAACAUUUGUGAUUUUAAAUACGAAAACCCGCAAAAAAUCCGCCGGAUACCAUUGCUGGUUUGGUAAUUGUUAAAACCUGCUGCGGGUGGGUUUUUUAAAAAAAAUUAAAACCCGCUGCGGGUUGCGGGUGGGUUUGGUAAUUUAAAUUUUGUGCGGGUUUGGGUUUGGUAAUGGCAAACCCACUGCGGGCGGUGCCCAUUACCAUCCCUACUCACCCCCUCUCUCUCACCCGCUCUGUCCCUCUCGGCUCUCACUCUCACCCACGAAGCUCGUUCCCCUCUCACUCACCCACAAGCUCACUGUCAAUGUUUUACUCAUAUCUCAGCUAACGCAUCAUCAAAACCGCAACCAUGACGCUGGGCUUAGGAGGAUCCAGUGUCGUGGGUCAGUUUCUUCUUUGAUCUUGCCCUUUUUUGUUCAAUCUAUUUAUGCCCUUGAUUGAUUUAUUCUCUUUGUUUUGUUGUGUUUCUUGUUCUGGCAAAAUCUAUCGCAGCUGUUGCUUUUAUUAUUUUAUAAUUUUUUUUGGGUGGUUUUGUGUACUCUUAUGAACAUUCUUUUUGGCAUAAAUGCAUCUGGGUUACUACGUUUGAUUGUUAAUUAGACUUGAUCCGUAAUUCUAUGCGUUUUUUGAAUUUUUUUUCGGGAAAUUAAGUUAAUUUAGUUUAAUAUUAUUAGAUUAUUGUCACCUAAAAUUAGUAUAUUUAAUCAGUUAAAGAAAUUCUUUUGACACGGCCUUUACAAAACCUUGUAUGUGAUACUUUGAUUAGAAAAGUAUUUGUUUUUAUUUUUUAUUUAUAUUUUAAAAUUACUAGAAAUAAGUUAUUUGAAGUGUGAUAUUUUGUGAAAUGUUAAAGCUUAUGGUUUGGUUGUAAUUAUGUUUUUGCUUAUAUAAUGUUUACGUCUGUUGGCACUCAUUUUUUUUUUGGUAUUUAAAGUUUGCAUAUAUGGUGUGUAUUAAGAUUUUCAAGUUGUUCUUCAAACAUAUUCUGGGUAGUUUGAUAUAUCACACGUUUCAGUGAAUUCUUUAGUUGAGGCAAUUGUUUUUGGUCUUAGCUGCAUUGUUAAGUUCUUUACCACAUAGAAUUCCCUAGUUUUCUUCUGCUAAUCCAGUAAUUGCAGCUUCAUUCUAAGGUUCUUUAUUUUCUAUAAAGCAUAUAUUGCUUCAUUAACCCUCCUCUAAAAUCAAACCAAACGUGACUUGUAUUUGAUUUUUAUCCUUGAAAAAUAGAAUCCAUCCUUUUCUUUUUCUCUUUAUGCUGCUAAUAUGUAUUUGAUUCAUUCCAAUCUUACAGAUCAUUGUUGGAUGCCGAAUCAGCAUACAAUACUUACAAUUAUGAGAGGAAAAUGAACAACCAAUUGCCUGGUUCAGUUAGGCUUGAAGCUAGUAAGAUUGACAUAAAAACAUUUGUUUAAGAUAAAAUUGUAUCUUUUUUCUUUUUUUUUUUUGCUUAAUUUGGCAUUUCUAUAUGAUCUACUCUUAUUGUUGUAAUGAUUAUUGACACACUCAACCUUUGAAUAUAUGGAUAAAAAACCUUCAAAAUAUUUCCAUGUUCAAUCAUUGAGCAUUAGAGUAAUAUCAUCCAACCAACUAUUACACAAAACACAACUAAAAUUAUACAACAAAAGAAUAAGUCAAUGAUCAAUCUGUUAAGUCUGCUCCAAACUUCUCUGUCAUUAUCAUUUUGUUGAAGUAGCAAUUGCUGAAAACUCCCUUAUUGAGAACCUUUAUACGAUAUCCAAGAUGAAGAAUAAGGACAUAGAUGGGAUUGCUAGUUUGUACAAAAUAAGAACCAUAUUACAUUCCAGAAAAUAUAAAAUUAAUUAAGCAUAAAUAUAGAAACUGGAUUAUAACUUACAAUGUAAGAAUCAAAAGGAAACGAUGGAUAAAUAUCAUAUCCUUGUAAUUGGUAUAUGAUCACAUGUUCCUAAAUAAUGACCAUUAUUUAGUGACCAUUAAAAAUUAAAAAAAAAAUUAAAUAAUAUUACAUUAAAGAACAUAAAACUUACUGGAUCCUUAUUGCUCUCCUGCGGUGGGACUACAAUAUCCACCUCAGAAGAUAAUGGUGUUUGUACAUUUGAAUCCUGCAAAUCCAUAAAAAGAUACAUUAAAAUUAAAAUUAAAUUAAUUGUAGAAUAAUUAAGUAAGUAGUUUAAUCUUACCUUAAUUGUUGUCAUCUAAUUCUUCUUUUUUUGGCUCAUAAGAAGAUAAUGGUGUUUAUCAAACAACGUCAUACUUUUUUUGUUUCACAUCCACAUCAUUAUCAGUUUUUUUAUUAUUUCCAUCUAAAUUGUUGUUCAUCUAAUUCUUCAAAAUCUUCGACUUUGUAGUUUUUUUUUCAAAUCCUUCAUUUUUAUAUCAUGAAAAAUAAAUUAUAUUAAUCAUAUAUAAUUCAAACAAAAUCUACAUUUCAAAUAACUUAUUUCUAAUAAUUUUAAAAUAUAAAUACAAUAAAUCAAAACUUUCCUCAACAUGCUAAAUUUAAUUAGCUAGGUAGGUGAAAAAGGUCCAAAAUCGUCAAGCACACCUUCAAGUAAGGCUGGUCGGCGACAUGAUCGGUGAUGGGCUGGUCGGCGAUGGGCAUGGCGUGACAGCGAUGAUGGCUAGUCAACGAUGGGCGCGGCGUGACAACAAGUUUCGUGGGUGAGUGACAGCCUGAGAGAAACAGCUUGCUAGUGGGUGAGUGAGAGAGACAGAUCGGGUGAGAGAGAGAGAGAGAGAGAGAGAGACGGAGAAAAUAAGCGAGUGAGAGUGACGGUUAAGAAUUUUGGAAUUUUCAAAUUCUUUAGAUUCAAAUUCUUCUUCUUCCUAAUAAAUCAUUUCUACGCAAGAGACACGAUGAGGGACCCACAAACGCGACAGAAUUGGAUAUCCCGAUAUUUUAAAAUGAGGAAUAUAAUAAAUCGCCUUCCAAGAGGCUUCAUCAAGAAUCAAGAUAUAUAGCAAGGGGUCUCCCUCUCUCUGUCUGUUUCCUCUCUGUUCUAUUCAAUGAAAAUGGAGACUGCACUUUGGACUGUGCCUUUCUCCAUUGCUUUCUCUACAGCUAUUCUAGCCGUAGCAUGUGCCUGGUGGAUGCUACUGAAUUGGGUAUGGCUAAAACCAAAGAAGCUAGAAAAGUUCCUCAGAAAGCAAGGAUUCUCCGGAAACUCCUACAAAGUAUUUUACGGAGACAUGAAAGAGCUUGCCCAGACCACUAAAGAAGCUAAAAGCAGACCCAUCAGCCUCUCCGACGAUAUCGCCCGGCGAAUUCUGCCUUUCCACUAUCAUAUCAUCACCAAUUUUGGUAAGCCUUCCUACUAAUUUAUCUCACUCAACUUCACUUGGUAAUAAUUUUAUUUUGCUUAUAUAUCAAUAAAAUUAAAUAAGAUUCAAGUUUUUUUAAUUUUAAAGGAAAAAGAGAACGGAACAUAAGUUGUCAAUAUUUAUAUUUCUCAUUGUUAUCACUUUAGUAUUUUAUUUUUUUUAUUUUUUUAUUACACCUUUAAUGUUAAAAGCGUAAUUAAAAAAAGUUUUUUUUUACCGUUUUACAGUUAUUAUCUUAAUUUCACUCUAUCGGUAUAAUAUGAUUUUUUUUUUUUAUGUCAAAAGUCAUGUUAGUAUUCAACAAUAAAUUUCUAACAUUAAAAUCAUAGUUAUGUCAUGAAAGUAAGAGUGAUUAAAAAGUGAAGAAUGGUAGGGACCAAUGAGUCAUUCUUCCACAAGGGAGAAGGGACCAAAAAGAAAAGAAGGUAAUGGUUUUUGGAAACUUUCAACCAAGUCUGUUUCUGAAGAUUUUUUUUUUUUUUUGUCUUUUAUAAUGACAAUAAAAUAGUUAUUUUUUUGAAAGUAUGUAGAUGUAAAUUAUAUUAAAUAUAAUUUAAAAUUUUUUAAGAAUAAUUAAAAAUUUUUUUUUAUAUUGUUCUUAGUUGACCGAAAAUUAUUUAUAACCAACUAUAAAAAUUAAUGUAUAUUAAUAAUGAAUUUUAGGACUCCUCUUUCUCUUCUUUUGACUAUUAUUAUUAUUUUUUUAAUUUAUAGUUAGAAUAAAUAUAUUUUUCUGUCUCUCCAUUCAUAUUCAUGACAAUAAAAUUUGAGACUGUAUUUAAAUAGCAUUAAUGUAGGUGAAUGUAGAAUUUUAAUUACAAAAAAAUUAAUAAAUUUAAACAUGUUAAAAAAAUAAGACAAAAUAAGAUAACGAUACUGAUACACUGACGCAGACAUCUGAAUGACGUCUGUGCUUAUGCGAGGCAGCCACGAAAAAUAAUAAAAUACGAGAAGCUGUCCCAUUUUUUAGUUUUUUGUUCUCUGUGUUUGUGGAUGAGUUUUGACCGCAAAAUUUCAAGAUAUUACUUGCCUAACAAGGCGUUGAUGCCACCUGGUGGAUCAGUUCUGUAGCAUUUUAUUUUCUCCUUUAAUUUGAAUUUGAGAAAGGGCUAAAAAAUUGAAUUAAGUUUCAACGCACUUCUAUUUUUAAAAAUAAAUAAAUAAAAUAUGGUGUUCACCUGUUUUUAAAAAUCAUUUUCUUCGCAUUACGUGUCUUUUAACUCGUUUUAAAAAUAUUCAUCUUGGAAGAAUGGUAAUGCGUACUUAAGGAAAAAAAUAUUGAAAAAACUAAAGGGUCCUUUUCAUAAAAUAAAAUAAAAUAAAUUUUGUGUUUUUUUUCUAAGAAUAAUGAAAACCAAAAACAUGAUAAGUUGAAAGACUCUAAUCCGUAACCCUAAUUGCUAAAAUUACAGGUAAGAAUUCCUUCAUAUGGAUGGGUCCAAGACCAAACUUAAACAUCACAGACCCUAAGAUGAUAAGGGAAAUCUUUUUGAAGCAUGAUAUCUUUAAAAAGCUGAGAAGCCCACUUGCGAAGUUGCUGAUCACUGGGAUGGUAGGCUAUGAUGGUGAACAGUGGUUUAAAGUUAGAAAAAUCGCCACUCCAGCUUUCCAUCAUGAUAAGUUGAAGGUUCGUUUUCACCUUUAUACUUCGUUUAAUCACACACAAACACACACCAUUUUCAAUAUGCAUAUUCAUAUUGUUACAUGACCAAUGACAAUGUUUGACAAUUUCUUUUCUUCUUUUUUUCUUUUUAAAGAAUAUGUUACCUACAAUUCAUAAGAGCUGUAACGACAUGCUAAGGAAAUGGGAGAUGUCGUUUUCAAAGGAUGAGUCCUGUGAGUUAGAUGUGUGGCCUCAUAUUCAAACUUUGACAGCGGAUGUGAUUUCUCGAACAGCAUUCGGCAGUAACUUUGAAGAAGGAAGAAAAAUAUUUGAAGUCCUAAGCGAACAAAUUAAUCUUGNNNNNNNNNNNNNNNNNNNNNNNNNNNNNNNNNNNNNNNNNNNNNNNNNNNNNNNNNNNNNNNNNNNNNNNNNNNNNGUACUCUUAGUGACCUGAGCUGUGCUAGUUUUUUAAAGAUCUUAUAUCAUGUGUUUGUUUAUAGCACUGCAUAAGAUUAAAAGUGGUCUUCUAAAAAAAGAAUCCUUAUCAUUAUAGUGUAGAAAAGGGUUAUCAAAUGUUUUAGCGUAUCAAUAAUUUCCACGUGCCUUGCACUUAAUUAUGAGAAUGGUUUAUUGGUAGGUUUGUGCCUAAUAAACUGAACAGAAAAUUGAACAGCAACCACAAUGAAAUGGGAGAACUGGUAAAAGGUAUCGUUAACAAAAGAAAGGAAGCUCUGAAAGUUGGAAAAGCCAGCAAUAAUGGUGACUUAUUGGGUAUAUUGAUGGAAUCAAAUCACAAAGAGAUUCAGGAGAAGGAAACUGGAAUGAGUAUUGAAGAGGUGAUUGAAGAGUGCAAGCUGUUCUAUCUAGCUGGGCAGGAAACUACUGCAUCAUUGCUUGUGUGGACAAUGGUUUUGUUAUGCAUACAUCCUGAAUGGCAAGAACGAGCAAGGGAAGAGGUUUGUCAAGUUUUUGGAAAUAGAGAACCAAAAUUUGAAGAGCUGAACCAGUUGAAAGUAGUAAGUAAUCUUACUCUUACUUAAAUAUCUAAUUUGUCGAAAAUUUUGGGAAGACUCAAUUUCUUGUUAAUUUUCAGGUGUCAAAGUCUGGAUUUACAAAAUAUAAAUUUGAACUACCAUUAGGACUCUAGGCUGGGGUAGAAUUAUUUUUAUUCUAAUGAUAGAUCAAAUUUGGAAUUUGGGAUAUCCAAACAUCCGCACUUGAAAACUACUUCUCCUUAAAUUGAUACCACUUGAAUUUCUUAACCUGACCAGUGUUUGUCAAUAUUUUACUAUCAAAGAUAGAGGAAGCCACAUAAAUUAGGGAAAAUCUUGGGAGGUGCCAACAGAACUGUGUCAUCGUCCCACAACAUCAGAAUUAUAUUCUGUGAUUUUCACAAUUAAUUAUCCUUAAUAAAUUUGUUAUCAGUCACCAAGAACAAAGAAUUUCCUUGUUUGAAAAAAUAAUUCCAGUGUAUGGUGCAAGUAAGAAAAUUGAGUUCUAUACAAGGUACUUAGAUUGUGCAGUAGUUAUGGCAAUGAGGGUUGGUUACUGGAAAUGAUAAAACCUACAAAAAUGUCGAGGGUUCAAAAUCCUUCUUAUACAGGGAAUGGGAAGGGAUUUGUUAUAUAUGUACGUAAUAUUUUAAAAAAUCAAAGUUUAAAAUUAACUAGUAGUGAUAGCUUAUUUUGCAAACCAAAAGACCGGAAAUCCAGUGAAAUUUAGAACCUUAACUAAUUUUUUUUUUUCCCCUCCCAAAUGAUUCCGUUUUCUGUUGCAGGUAAGCCAAAUUCUGUACGAGGUACUGAGGUUAUAUUCAUCAGCACCUCUGCUUACUCGAGCUAAUGUUAAGGAGAUUAAGCUAGGAGAAAUUGUUAUACCACCUGGAGUUUUACUUUCAUUGCCAAUAAUGCUUGUUCAUCAUGAUCAUGAAUACUGGGGCGAUGAUGCAAAAAAGUUCAACCCAGAUAGGUUUUCAGAAGGAGUCUCAAAGGCAUCGAAGAAUCAAAUUUCAUUCUUCUCAUUUGGUUGGGGUCCUCGAAUCUGCCUUGGACAAAGCUUUGCUCUGUUGGAAUCGAAAUUAGCUUUAGCAAUGAUUUUGCAGAAGUUCACUUUCCAGCUUUCACCAACUUAUAUGCAUGCUCCUACUCGUGGGGUAACUGUAUAUCCACAGCAUGGUGCUAAUAUCAUUUUACACAAAAUUUAGUAUGCAUUACUAUCGCAAGUAUUCAGAAUUCAUGCCAUAUAGUAUAUGUAGAGCAAGAACUUUAUUAUUUUGAUUUACCGUUUCAAAUUUUCUCAGUACUCUUCUUUCCAAUAAAUUUAGAGAUGCAAUUUUUUUUUUCUAUUUAGUAUACAAAGUUGAUUAGGCCUCUUGUGGUCAAAGCAAAAAAAUAAAAACAAAUUAACUUUUCGUGCUGAGGAAAAUAGAAAUAAAUAUGACAAAUCAAUGGUUUUGAAGUGUUUAGAACACUUUUUUUAAAGGUUUUUUUUGGGUGUUUGUAGAUCAGAUUUUAUAGAUUAGACAUCAAUUUAUAUCUGAUUAAUAAUUUUACGGAUUUUAAAUUGUCAAUCUAAUCAAAUCCACAAAUUGGUGAAAUUCAAUUUAAGUCAAAUUCAUGUGUCUCCAAACCAAAUGCGGAUUUAAUCCAAUACUUAUCUAAUCCACUAUUUUGCAAAUUAGUUUAAAAUUUUAUAAUUUUGUCAAAUUCACAAACUAAUUAAAUAAAAAAAAUUAAUAUAAAAAUAAUUUUACUACCGAUCAAAUUCAAAAUUGAAUAAGAUUUAAAUAAAUUAAUUGUUUAAAUAAAGUUAGAAUAAUGCAUUUAGAGUUUCAAAAUAUACUACAUCGAAAAUAAAAUCUCAUUUGUUUAGAUUAAUACAUAAAAAUUAACUGAAAUUAUGAAAAUUAACUAUUUAGGAAUUGUUUUGUCUUGCUUGACCCAAGGAAGAGGAAUUUUUUUGUCUUACCUUUGGUUGAAUACCGAUUAUUAUUAUUUGGCGAGACCAAUUAAUUGUUUAUACAUACUUAAAAAAUAAUUUUGUCCAACCUUUUAAUUACAUUUUAUUAUAGGUAAUUAUGUAUAAACUAAAUUCAGUAUGUCGCAUACAAUUAAAAAAAAAAAAAAAGAGUGCCCCGCACAUAUGACAAAGUAGUAAUGGAAAUUAAUUAUAAGCUACCCGAAUUUUGAGAUGGCUAAAUAUUUUUAAAUAAAAUUAAAUUAAAAGGCUUGUAAUUGGCCAAUUUGUCAAAAUAAUAAUAGAUUACAAACAAGUUAGAAAAAUUUGUCUAUACAAAGGAUUGUGGAUGAGAGAAUUAUUUGAAAAGUCAGACAAUCCCUUUUUAUGCAAAUUGAUGUGAUCAAGUUACAUAUAUAAAUUCUACAAAGUAUUUGUGGUUUUACCAUUACUCAUUUAGAAAUUGUGUUAAGUUCUAGCCGAUCAUUUUAUAAAUUGUUGAAAAACAGAAAUAUGGAAAAGUCUAGUCACGGGAGUUAAAAUUUUAUCUAGAUAAAAUAGUAAUAACAAAAUAUGUUGGUUAAAAUUAGUGAAAAUAAAACAUUCAACUAGGGGUGGGCAAUAGUCGAUUCGGUUCGGGGCCUGAACCGAACCGAACCAAAAUAUUUCGGUUUGGUUCAGUCCGGUUCCUAAAUUCGGUUCGGUAACAACAUUUCUAUUUAAUCACAAUAUUCAGCUUAGCAAAUAUUCAACAUUUCUGUUUAAUUAUAAGUUUAUUUUAACUUGUAUAACUGCAGUAACAACAUUUUCCGUUUUGAUGAUUUUAAAAUAACAAGAAACUAAAAUUAGUUAAGAGCAUGCAUAUAAUAUUAACUUGCAGGAUGUUGCUAUGUUACAACAACUGUAACAUACACACCCAAAGCAAAUAGCACACGUAUCCUGACUUACAGAGAAAAAGCAAUGAAAAUGCAAGGUUCGGGGUUAGCUGAAGCAGCAUAUGUACCUUACAGAUGCUUUAACUUAGCCAACUCCUAACUUGCAACGAGUACUCCGAUGUUAUGAGACCCAAACAGAAUAAAAUAAAACGAAAAUGAUUUGAAAUUGAUUGAGAUUUGAGGUAGAAUGAGAUGUUGGGUAUUGAUCCAACACCAUUACCAUGGACCCAAAAACUCAAGUUAUUAAGGAAAAAAAAAAACAGACGGGCCAUGGCAUAAAUUUAAAAGAAAAAAAGACACCCAUAGGCUGCAGCUGCAGCAACCAAGAUGACCGUGUGCGAGGAUUAACAACGGCGUCACUGUGCUUGAGGGGAGGGGCUGUGCUGCUACUGUGGGGCUGUGCUAGGCGCUGACCGUGGUGUGAGGCGAGGGAGAGACGCGAGGAAGAGACCGAGAGGGGCUGAGCCGAACCGCACCAUGCACGCGUAGAGGGGGAAGAUACUGCCGAGGAGUGGUGCCGCCGCUGAGGAGCUGUGCCGUGAGGAGAGAGAGAGACGCGAGGGAGAGAGGCAAGGGCAACAGUAUAGAUGCAAUCAUGAAUUUGUGAUUUCCAAUUUAGGGUUUUGAUUUUUUGUGAUUGAAAUUUGAUUUUAAAUUUACAUAUUUCACUUUAAAUAUUUUUUAAUUAAAUUGAACCAAACCAAUCGAUUUUUCGGUUCAGUUCGGUUUUUAACCGAACCGAACCGAACAAAAACCAAUCGGUACAGUACUUUUUAAACCAUUCGGUUUUUGCUCAUAUAACCGAACCGAACCGAACUAAAAUUUUUCGGUUCGGGUCAGCAAAAACCGAACCGUUUGCCCACCCCUACAUUCAACUACUAUUUUUUUUUAUUUUGUCAAUGCCUUAGGAAAUGAAUUACUUGGUCAUAAAAAAUUCAAAGUUGUCUAAGACAAAACUUUGAGUUACUAUUUUUAGUUUUGUCACCAUAAUGACUCAUCUACGACUAAAAAACGAGAUCUUAAAAUUAUAAUAAAUCGAAAUAGCUUUAGAGACUAAUAUUAUGUGUUAUUGAUGGUUUCCUAAAUUUACACCUGUGUUUUAGUUACAAAAUAUUUUUGUCACCUAUAAUUAUAUUUCUCGAUCAUUUAUUUUGUCAUGAAUGACUUUUUCUUAAUUGGAUACGUGUAGUAUCUCUUGAAAUAAUUAUCAAUGAAAGUUACCAAGUACUUUUCACCUCUCAGGAAUAUAUAUGGCAAUUCCUAAAUAUCAGAAUGAAUUAAAUUAAAAAUGCUUCUACUUCUAUCGCUAGAUCUGUUAAACUUGAAUCUAUGUUACUUGUAAUACAAUGGUCACAAAACGAUGAGUUUUCCUAUUUAAACCUCGAAAACAACUUUUGCUCAGAGAUAAUCUUUAAACCUUAUUUUGACAUGUGGCUAAGUUUGAGAUGCCACAUUAUUGUCGAUUCUUCUUCAUUUGGCGUGACACAUCAUCGUCUUGUAGUGUUUCUCCUUUAAGCAUAAAUAAAAUUAACACCGAUCUUUUCCACCUUCAUCAAUACAAAUACGCCUUUAACAUCCCAUUUUUUAUAUGAGCUUUGCGUCCAAGAAACUCUAUUCGUCCUAAAGACAAUAAAUUCUUUUUCAUGCCUUUGACAUGUCGUAUCUCCUUAAUUGUGCGAACUGUACCAUCAAACAUUUUUCUUUUGACAACACUAAUACCAAAGAUUUCCAAGUCACCCAUGUACACAUAUUCUCUUAAAAAGGUCCAUAUUUUUGGAACCACUCUCUUUAAGAGGCCAUGUGCCAUGUUGCUCCUAAGUCUAUAAGCCAAAUGUCAGCCAAAUGCUUCCCGUUUUCUGCAAGAAUUGUUGUCUCGUUGUAGAGAAUUUUUCCAUCAUCAAAAGUACUUACCGUACAAUCAUGAGCAUUUGAUGACUCAACUUCAUUGUCUCUCCUUUGCUUAUUUUUCCAACACUCUUUCUUGACGUGCCCUUUCUUGCCGUAAUUGUAGCAUUUAACAUUCUUGUUACUUCUUGAUUUUGAUCUACUAUGAUUGCGACAUCCACUGGGGCCACGUUCUGUUGAUCUAUUUCUAGUCAUCGAUAAUGCUUUUGGUUGCCGCGAACUUGCCUGCCUACCUUCCUUGUUUUUUUUGUUUGCUUUCUUCAUUUAAUAUAGAGGUUGCAACAUUGCCGAAGACUAGACUGUCUAUUUGGUUAUUGUUUAUUAGAUUAAUGAUGAGUUGAUUGUAUGAAUUUGAAGAGUGUAAAGAUUCAUUUUUAAGAAAAUCUUGUUUUGUAAAGACUUGUCCUCGUACAAUUUUGUAAGAGUAUCCCAUAUUUUCUUUGCUAUCUUUUUCUCUCCUCACUACACUUCAUUAGCCAGUGCUAAAUGUAGAUCCGUAGUUGCAUUAUUGUCUACCUCGCUCCACUUGGCAUCAUCAGUUAUCUCCAUAAACUUUUCUCUUAUUGUUACCAUGCAAUUUUUUUUUUCCUCAAAAUAGCCUUCAUCUUUAUUUUCUACAAUGACGAAUUAUUUCUGUUGAACUUCUCAAUUUCGUAUUUGCCAUCAUUUUUUUUUCACCACAAACUACCGUUGCUAAGAUUGGCUCCCAUCGUUUCACGUGAAUACUAACCAUAUGUGUGAACAAUACUAUAUACGUGAAUAGUACUGUGACAACCAACUUGGCUCUAAUACCACUAUUAAGAAAUUAAUGGUGAAGCAGGGCCACAACUAAAAUGAAAUUGGAGAAAAAUAAAGAAUAAGCAUACAAAGAGGACGCUAGAAAUUACAUGAUUAAGCUUUUAACUUAUAUCUAUAGGCGAAGACAGAAGGAUAAAACUUGACUAGUGCAAAGAAGAUUAUAAGUAUUGUAAGAUUUUACCCUUACUUUCUAGAACCCAAUACACCCAAUCGCUUAAUCACUAAACUCUCAAGAGUUUAUGAUUUGAGCUCUCAAAACUCUCAGCUUCUUGCUCUUGAUAGAAAAAACGAUUUGAAGAAAAAAAAUGGAUUUUUUUUUGACGAAAUGGGCAUUAAUUUACAAUUUAUAGGGAACUCCCCUUUUAUAGCCAAAAUCGUCUAUUAUUUUAAUUUCUUCUUUUUUUUCCUUCUCGUGGCUUCUUUAAUGUCGAAGCCAUAAACUGCCAUUUUCCUUCAAACUUUUUGGCACUGAUCACUAUUUGUCAAAUUCAACAUUUGCGGCUUCUUCAUUUGCGGCACCGGCUUCUACAUUUGAUUGCCAAGCCAACAAGCCGCAGACAGAAGAAGAAGCACUCGGUUACUGUCGAUGGUUGUUAAGCAGUCAAACAGCUAAGAUGAAAAAAACAUUUAGGCAAUCUACGGUCUCAUUUUUUCCUUUCGUAAAAAAAUCCCUACACGAUCCCCUCUUCAAUUUCCAAUUUUAUUAUUCCCUCUUCAUUUUUAAUAUUUUUCCCUUUGCAAAUCCUCUUUAAAAUCGUUUGAUCAAGUAGCCUAUCACUCUUAAAAAUAACCAGUUCAGGUGGUUGACUCCUUGUUACUACUUUUUGAUAAGUAUCAUGACAUGGAUUCAAAUUAAAACACAUUUGAUGCUCUCGGAUUCUCUACACUGUAAGUUACGUAAACAUAACUGAGGAAUUGCCUAAUAUAAAUUAUUUAAAAUAUAUUUUAUUAAAAAUAUCCUGUCUUUCCACACGUUUUAGCAGUUUUUGGGAUUGAUGCCAACUUAGAGUUAUCCAAGUCUUUUCUUUUUAAAUAAAUAAAUAAAUCAUUCUACAUUUUGGUUCAUACAGAGCACGAAUAUAGCCACAAUCAAAUUUGACAGUUAUGUUUCUCAUUUUGUAGAAAACUCUAUUGUAUAAAAUUCACUACUACAAAAUUAAUCUUUAAUGACGGUUUUAAAAGACAUAAGAUCGUCAUCUUAGGCAAUGACAUUAAAAAAGGUACACCUUUUAUGAAGUUUCAAAAACCGUCAUUAAAUGUAUACAUAUAAUGACGGUUAUUUUAUUAAACAGUCAUUAUUUGAGAUAUAUUCAAGAGUUUUAAUGACGGUUUUUUCUUAAAAAUCAUCAUUAAAAAAUACCAGUCAAUGAAGGUUCUUUAAAUAACAAUCAUCAAUAGCACUUUAGCAUAUAUUUUUAAUGACAAUUUUCUUCAAAACCGUCAUUAAAUGUCAAUUUUUAAUGACGGUUUUAUAUAAAAUAGUCAUCUUAUAUAGGUCUUUGAUGACUGUUCUUAUAUAAGAACCAUCAUCUUUUGCAUGAGUAAAAAGAAAAAAAAUAGUAAUUUAAAAUUACCAUGCUUUAACUGUUUUUUUUAGAUUAAAAUUUACAUAGUUGUUUUCACAUUCUAAACUGUACAAUUGAAGCCGCAUUUGCAAAAUUUCAAUUUACAUUACACAUUGAUAUAAUUGUCAUUUACAUACAAAGAACUCAAAUACAUACAAGCUUAAUUAUAAUAGUUUAAUGCUUAAAUAACCUUUAUCAAAGUAACUCCUAAUAAUGAAAAAAUAUGCUACGCGAAUUCUCAAAUUAAAAUCCUGUCAAAGUCAUGGUUGGCACCACCCUUCUAGAUGGGCGGUGCCAAACCAUCAACAUUUUCAACACAGCUCGCCAUUUUUGGUGGUGCUGAAAUGCUUGAAGAAGAAAAAGGAGAAAAAAGAACAAAAGAAGAAAGAAGAAGCCGAAAGAUUUGAAAGGAAAAAUAAUAAAAUAUUAAUAGUAUUAUUUUAUUAAAAAAAGGAAGGGAAAUGAAGCCUAUAAAUAGAAGGCUUCAAUUCCCCUCUCGGCAUCCCAUUCUUCAGUUUUUAAUCUUUUGUCAGAGAGGAAAAAUUAAGAGUCUUAAUACUCUUCUGUAAUUAGUGAGUGAGAGAUUUGGUGUAUUGGGGUUUUGGGAAGUGAGCUAAAAUAUUACAAUACGUGUAAUCUUCAUAUCAUUAGUGAAAUAUUUUCCUUCUAUAUUCGCCCGUGGACGUAAGCUAAAAGCCGAACCACGUAAUUUUCUGGUGUCCUCUUUUGUGUUUGUUCUUUAUUUUCUUCCAAUUUAAUUUUAGCUGUGGUAUUCCUUCACCCAUCAAUUUCCUAGUAGUGGUAUCAGAGCUAGGUUGUAUUUUUUGGAGUUGGGCUAUUGUUCACGUAAAAGUACUAUUCACAUAUACGGUAUUAUUCAUGUAUACAAUAUUGUUCACGUAUAUGAUACUAUUCGUGUAUACGAUUCUGUUCAUAUGUACAAUUACUGUUCACGUGAAACGGUGGGAGCCAAUCCUAGCAAAGUUAGUUUUUGGUGAAAAACAAUGGCAGCAAAAUACGAAAUUGAGAAGUUCAACGGAAAUUAUUUUUCGUUGUGGAAAAUAAAGAUAAAAGUUGUAUUGAGGAAAAAUAAUUGCUUGACAGCAAUUGGAGAAAACCCCACGGAGAUAACUGAUGACAAGUGGAACAAGAUAAACGGCAUCGCCAUUUCUGAUCUACACUCGGCACUUGCGGAUGCAGUAUUAUCUAGUGUGGCAGAGAAAAAGACAGCAAAGGAAAUAUGAGAUACUCUCACAAAAUUGUACGAGGCCAAGUCGCUGCACAACAAGAUCUUCUUAAAAAUGAGACUCUAUACUCUUCGAAUGGCGGAAUUUACAUCAGUGACUGACCACAUCAACACCUUAAAGACUAUAUUUUCACAACUCACAACGUUGGGUUAUAAUAUAGAGGAAAAUGUACUUACAGAGCUUCUAUUUCAAAGUCUACCAGAUUCUUAUGAUUAAGUCAUUAUCAGCCUUACAAACAACAAUUCAGCGAACAAUCUAGUUUUCGACGAUAUUGCCGCUUCCGUAUUAAAUGAAGAAAGCAGGCAGAAAAAUAAAGAAGACAGACAAGCAAGUUCACAGUAUGCAAAAACACUAUCGGUAACAAGAGAGAGAUCAACAGAACUUGGCCCCAGUGGGAGUCACAAUCAUGGUGGGUUAAAAUCAAGAAGUAAGAAGAAUGUUAAAUGGUACAAUUGUGGCAAAAAAGGGCACGUCAAGAAAGAGUGUUGGAAUAACCAGAAAAGAAAAGAAUGUAAAGAACAUGAGUCAUCAAAUGCUCAAGGGUGUGUAGCAAGUACCUCGGAUGAUAGUGAAAUUCUCUACAGUAAGGCAACAACUGUUCAGAAGGCAGAAAAUAGCUAUCUGACGUUUGGCUUAUAGACUCAGGAGCUACCUGACAUAUGACCUCUCAGAGAGAAUGGUUCCACACAUAUGAACCUAUCUUAGGAGGAUCUGUAUAUAUAGGAGAUGAUCAUGCUGUGGAGAUCGUUGACAUUGGUACUAUCAAAAUAAAAAUAUUUGAUGGUAUUCGCACAAUUAGAGAGGUACGACAUGUCAAAUGCUUGAGGAAUAAUCUAUUGUCUUUAGGAAAAAUGGAUAGUCAUGGGUACAAAACUCAUGGGGAGAAUGAAAUUACGAAGAUUGUUAAAGGCACACUUGUAUUGAUGAAGGUUGAAAAGAUCUGUGCUAAUUUAUUUAUGCUAAAAGGGGAAACAUUGUAGGAAACUGAUGCGUGUGUUGCAUCAAAUGAAGAAGAGUCAAUGAUGAUAUGGCAUCUCAAACUUGGCAACAUGUUGGAACAAGGUUUGGAGAUUCUCUCUGAGCGAAAAUUGCUUCCAGGGCUCAAAUCAGUAAGCUUACAAUUUUACGAGCAUUGUAUUACAAGUAAACAACAUAGAUUAAACUUCAGUAGAUCUAUUGCUAGAAGUAAAUGCAUUCUAUAUUUAGUUCACUCUGAUGUUUGUGAAUUACCAGACAUAUCCAUGGGAGUUGCAAAGUAUAUGAUGAAUUUCAUUGAUGAUUAUUUCAGGAGAUGUUGGGUGUAUCCAAUUAAGAAAAAGUCAGAUGUAUUUCCAGUGUUUAAAAAAUACAAAGCGCAGGUGGAACUUGAAUCCGGCAAAAGGAUUAAGUGCUUGAGGACAGAUAAUGGUGGCGAGUAUACAGACGACGAGUUUCAUGCUUUCUGUAAGCAAGAAAGUAUUAAGAGGCAGUUCACAGUAGCAAACACUCCUCAACAAAAUGGAGUGGCAGAGCGAAUGAACAAGACUCUUACAGAACGAAUAAGAGCUAUGUUGAGGACUGCGGGUCUACCCAAUUUAUUCUGGGCAGAAGCAACCAAAACUGCCUAUUAUAUAGUAAAUCGGUCACCACCCACAACAAUUGGGCUGAAGAUAGAGAUAGAGAGGAGGAGCUCGGGCACAAACAAGAGAAAUUUUCUGUAUUUUGUGACAGUUAAAGUGCCUUUCACAUUGCAAGGAAUCCAACGUUUCAUUCCAGGACAAAGCACAUAGGAGUUCAAUAUCACUUCAUUCGAGAAAUAGUGGAAGAUGGAAAUAUGGAUUUACAGAAAAUCCAUACAAAGGAGAACUUAGCAGAUGUUAUGACCAAAUAAAUCAAUAUUGACAAGUUUGUUUGGAGUAGAUUCUCAUGUGGCCUAGCAGAGACGUAAGCAACAUAACAAUGGCGAAACAAAAAGGAUGGUAUGGAGAUUAAUUGAUCCUCAAUCAAAUCUCCAAGUGGGAGAAUGUCAAAGUCAUGGUUGGCACCACCCUUCUAGGUGGGUGGUGCCAAACCAUCAACAUUUUCAACACGGCCUGCCAUUUUUUAGGUGUCGAACUGCUUGAAGAAGAAAAAAGAGAAAAAAAGAGAAAAAAGAACAAAAGAAGAAAGAAGAAGCCGAAAGAUUUGAAAGGAAAAAUAAUAAAAUAUUAAUAAUAUUAUUUUAUUGGAAAAAAAGGAGGGGAAAUGAAGCCUAUAAAUAGAAGGCUUCAAUUCCCCUCUCGGCAUCCAAUUCUUUAGUUUUUCAAUCUUUUGUGAGAAAGGAAAAAUUAAGAGUUUUAAUACUCUUGUGUAAUUAGUGAGUGAGAGAUUGGGUGUAUAGGGGUUCUGGAAAGUGAGCCAAAAUAUUACAAUACUUGUAAUCCUCAUAUCACUAAUGAAAUAUUUUUUUUCUGUAUUCACUCGUGGACGUAGGCUAAAAGCCGAAUCACGUAAUUUUAUGGUGUUCUCUUUUGUGUUUGUUCUUUAUUUUUUUCUAAUUUCAUUUUACCUGUGACCCUACUUCACCCAUCAAUUUCCUAACAAAUCCAGUAUCAUAUAAUUAUACAAACAAAUAUAGAAACUAAAAAAUAAAUAAAGACUACAUUUUGUGCUUACAUAAGGUGGUAUUUGCACUUGGAACAUUUACACCGAGCCAGCAAGCUUGCCCUUCAAAAACUAAAUCCUUGCUCAGAAUUAUACACAAAGCAUGCUUUGCAAAGUAGUUCUUGUCUUGCAACUAGGCUUACCGAUGUAGUUUCUGUUAAAUCAAUACUUAUUGCAGCCCAAGUAUCACCAUUUUCAUUGGUUGGCUGCAAAGAACAGAAACAAAAAAUUCAAAUCAAAGGUAAAGCUAAACAAAUUGGCUUUUAAAGUAAAGAAAAAAGGCAUAGCCUUAAAAAAUUCCCAAGUAUCACCAUUUUCACCAAUGAUUUAUUACGUUAUGGGCAAUGAUAUUCGGCCACCACGAGACCAUAACGAAGCCAGAAACGCAUGCUUCUUCUGCCGUUUCGAAGUUUUAAAUUUGAAAAUUAAAAAUACAUUUUGCCAUUGAAAAAUAUCAAAAUUAAAUCUAAAGAAUUUGAAAAUUCCAAAAUUCUUACACGUCCCUCUCACUCGCUUAUUCUCUCUCUCUCUCUCUCUCUCACCUUCCCUCUCACUCACCCGAUCUGUCUCUCUCACUCACCCACUAGCAAGCUGUUUCUCUCAGGCUGUCACUCACCCACGAAACUUGUUGUCACGCUGCGCCCAUCGUUGACCAGCCAUCAUCGCUGCCACGCCACGCCCAUCACCGACCAGCCCAUCACCGAUCACGUCGCCGACCAGCCUUACUUGAAGGUGUGCUUGACGACUUUUGACCUUUUUCACCUACCUAGGUAAUUAAAUUUAGCAUGUUGAGGAAAAUUUUGAUUUAUUGUAUUUAUAUUUUAAAAUUAUUAGAAAUAAGAUAUUUGAAAUGUAGAUUUUGUUUUAAUUAUAUAUGAUUAAUAUAAUUUAUUUUUCAUGGUAUAAAAAUGAAGGAUUUGAAAAAAAAAACUAAAGUCGAAGAUUUUGAAGAAUUAGAUGAACAGCAAUUUAGAUAGAAAUAAUGAAAAAAACUGAUAAUGAUGUGGAUGUGGAACCAAAAAAGUAUGAUGUUGUUUGAUAAACACCAUUAUCUUCUUAUGAGCCAAAAAAGGAAGAAUUAGAUGACAACAAUUAAGGUAAGAUUAAACUACUUACUUAAUUAUUCUACAAUUAAUUUAAUUUUAAUUUUAAUGUAUCUUUUUAUGGAUUUGCAGGAUUCAAAUGUACAAACACCAUUAUCUUCUGAGGUGGAUAUUGUAGUCCCAACGUAGGAGAGCAAUAAGGAUCCAGUAAGUUUUAUGUUCUUUGAUGUAAUAUUAUUUAUUUAUUUUUUAAUUUUUAAUGGUCACUAAAUAAUGGUCAUUAUUUAGGAACCUGUGAUCACAUACCAAUUACAAGGAUGUGAUAUUUAUCCAUCGUUUCCUUUUGAUUCUUACAUUGUAAGUUAUAAUCCAAUUUCUAUAUUUAUGCUUAAUUAAUUUUAUAUUUUCUGGAAUGUAAUAUGGUUCUUAUUUUGUACAAACUAGCAAUCCCAUCUAUGUCCUUAUUCUUCAUCUUAGAUAUCGUAUAAAGGUUCUCAAUAAGGGAGUUUUCAGCAAUUGCUACUUCAACAAAAUGAUAAUGACAGAGAAGUUUGGAGCAAACUUAACAGAUUGAUCAUUGACUUAUUCUUUUGUUGUAUAAUUUUAGUUGUGUUUUGUGUAUUAGUUGGUUGGAUGGUAUUACUCUAAUGCUCAAUGAUUGAACAUGGAAAUAUUUUGAAGGUUUUUUAUCCAUAUAUUCAAAGGUUGAGUGUGUCAAUAACCAUUACAACAAUAAGAGUAGUUCAUAUAGAAAUGGCAAAUUAAAAAAAAAAGAUACAAUUAUUCACUUAAACAAAUGUUUCUAUGUCAAUCUUCCUAGCUUCAAGCCUAACUGAACCAGGCAAUUGGUUGUUCAUUUUCCUCUCACAAUUGUAAGCAUUGUAUGCUGAUUCGGCAUCCAACAAUGAUCUGUAAGAUUGGAAUGAAUCAAAUACAUAUUAGCAGCAUAAAGAGAAAAAGAAAAGGAUGGAUUCUAUUUUUCAAGGAUAAAAAUCAAAUACAAGUCACGUUUGGUUUGAUUUUAGAGGAGGGUUAAUGAAGCAAUAUAUGCUUUAUAGAAAAUAAAGAACCUUAGAAUGAAGCUGCAAUUACUGGAUUAACAGAAGAAAAUUAGGGAAUUCUAUGUGGUAAAGAACUUAACAAUGCAGCUAAGACCAAAAACAAUUGCCUCAACUAAAGAAUUCACAGAAACGUGUGAUAUAUCAAACUACCCAGAAUAUGUUUGAAGAACAACUUGAAAAUCUUAAUACACACCAUAUAUGCAAACUUUAAAUACCAAAAAAAAAAAUGAGUGCCAGCAGACGUAAACAUUAUAUAAGCAAAAACAUAAUUAUAACCAAACCAUAAGCUUUCAACAUUUCACAAAAUAUCACACUUCAAAUAACUUAUUUCUAGUAAUUUUCAAAUAUAAAAAAAAACAAAUACUUUUCUAAUCGAAGUAUUGUUGUGAAAAUUUUAAUAUACUCGCAAGCGCACGAAUCUAGAAAUAGAAUAGUGGUAACGAGGUCAAUCCCACAGGGAUUGUUAUAAAUUAAAAAGUCUAAUUUAAAUCUAAAAUUAAUAUUAAUUAUAACCUAGUUGAGCAAAUUGAGUUUUUAAGAAAAUUAAACCAAUUAAACUAAGGAAGCAAUUAAAAUAAAGGAGAAUUCAAUAAGAUAAGAAUUACCAAGGUUUCAGAAUCCACCACUAUUCAACUAGUAAUUAUCUAAUUAUUAAUUAAUCCCCAAUUUUAGAGUGACAACUCGAAAUCAAUCUAUGUCAUCUCAUGGAUAUAACAAUUAAGCCCAAGUAAUUAAAUCUAAUGUAGGUUCUUUUUCUGCUUAAUAAUAUGACAUCUAAGAAUCUCAUGUAAACAUAUUGAAUAACAAAGAGUCAAAGUUUCCUAAGCACUCCAUGUAAACAAUUUAAUGAAAGACAUAAAAUCAAAGAUAAUCAUGUAUAAACUUUAUAGAUCCAAGCAUAGAAUUAAUCGAAUAUUAAUCCUAACAAUCAAUAAUGCAUGACAGAAUUGAUGAAAAGAUUUUAUUAACAUCCAAUUAAUCAUGUGAAAUAAAAACCAUAAUCAUCAAAGAACAUAUAUAGGGAAUUAAUUAAAUAAAAAGAUAAUUAUUUCAUUGAAUAGGGUUUCAUCCUUAACCUCAGUAUAAGAAAAUUUGUUAGACAUACUUGAAUUGGGAGCAACAAAAUAAAUAAAUUCAGCCAUGGGGAAGCCGAAUUGCUGCAGAUUUUCUUCUCUGUCUUGAAUCCUUGCGUCUCCAGUUCUCUCUCCUCCCGUGGCCCUCUUGCCUUUAUAUAAUGUUACUGACUUGUUUAAUCCUUAUUGGAUUCUAAUUGCAUUAAUUCUUCUCCACCGACUUAUAAAGCCCACUCACCAAGGCCUUUUAAAAUUAUUUCCUUACUAAACUUUGAAAGCAAAGCACGCGUUUGACCACAAAAGCAAAAGGCCAAUUAAUGAUUUCUUCUUUUAAUGCCCAGCACAUGCAUUCCAAAUUGCCAAAUCUUUGCUUUCCAAAUGCAUGCCCACCGUUCAUCCUUUGAAGAGAUUGACUUCCAAUUUUGGUCUUCUUGACUUCCAUUAAUUCUUGGUUGCAUUUUUGUCUUCCAAUUUAAUCUUUAUUCCUUCUCAAUUUGAAGUGUUUUCAUGCCCUUUUUAUCAACAAUCUCCAAUUAAUUCCCUAUUCAAUAAAACAAUUCAAUUAAUUAAAAAUAACAAAUAAAUAUAACUAGCAAUUAUAUUAUUAAGGGUAAAAUGUGUAUAUAAAUUAUGCUCAUCAAAUACCCCCAAACUUAGAUUUUGCUAGUCCUCGAGCAAAACUAAAAUUUAAAACAAAAACAAAAGUAACGAAACAAAAAGUAAAUCCUAACUAAACCACUUUCGCAGGUAAUCGCGAUUGCAUUUAGCGUAUGCAACAAGCCUUUAAACCCCUAGGCGGCCCUAGUGGACUAGUUAUAGUCUCGUGAGGGCUUCAGUGAUGAUACCCACAAACAUCAUUAAAAAAAAUUAAAUUAAAAGAAAAAAAACUUUAAAUAAAACAUGAAAAAUAGCCUCAAAGAUUGCAAAAAUUAUAUAGCUCAAAGAAAAUUUCAAAUAUUGGCAAAGUUCUAACUUUAAUUCAAUAAUCAAUCCCAUCUCUCUUUCGAUUCUUGUAGUGUGUGUGUGAAAUCAAUUCAAUCAAAUUCAUUCCUAAAAUCUUCAAUAUCCACAACAUUCGCCUCAAACAAAGAACAGAGUAGGUCAAACUAAUCUUAUCAUCUUGAUCUCCAAAUUUUUUUCUUCUCACAGGCUUUUAUGUGCAUUUUCUUUUGAUUUUUUUUUUAGCACAUGCACUUGAUUUUUUUUUCUUUUUCUCUUUUUUUUUCCUUUUUUUUUAACCAUAGUCAGGAGCUUUCACUCUACCCCUUAAGGUAGCCUUCUUCUCAUGGUAGAUUAUCCUCUACAUACUUGUGGUACAUAGGCCCAAAUUACUCAAGGAUAGCUUCACUCUUAAGGGUUAUAGGUAGCUAUUUCUGACUUUGGUGCCCGUGUAUACUAUUUUGUAUUGUGGAGAUAAGAAUCAAGACAAACAGUCAUUUACUCUAUCUAAAAUUCUCAACUCAGGCUGCGUCAAUAUCAAAUUUCAAGUCAAAAUUACGAAAGAAUUGAUAUUAGUGCUCAUGGUUUAAAGAAUCUCAAUCAAGAGGAACUAACACAAGAAUCAAGUAUAAACUAAGACAAUAUUCAACCCUUUCUAAAAAUCAUAUUCAUUGUCAAUCAAGUUCUUAUCAUUGGCUUUUCACGUAAAAACUAAAAAACACAAUUUUUUUUUGAAUUUUUGAAUUUUUUUUUUAACAAACAAAGCACACACUAUUCCCACCCCCAAACUUAUUCGGAAUAUUGUCCUCAAUGUUUCACAAACAAAAGAUAUGCAUGCAAACAAAUGAAAGAGAAAAAAAAUUAAUAAUAAUAAAAACAUAAAUAAUAAAAAGAAAGUUGGAGAGAACACACCUGAAUGGGCUGGGAAAGCUUAAAAGAAAAUACCAAAUGAAAAGAAAACAUUAGAAAAGAAAAAUACUAGAAAAGAAAAACAAACAAAGAAAAAAAAACUACUAUUAAAAUAAAACAAGAGUGCAAAGAUGAACUUAAUUAAUCCUGAUAAACAGGAUCAUCUAAAAGUAUCUCCUCAACUUCUGGUGUUCUUAAUUCUAAAAAUGGUUUUAAUCUUUGGCCAUUCACCUUAAAUAAAUCACCAUUUUUAGGAUUUUCAAUCUCAAUUGCUCCAUAAGGGAAGACAGUACGAACUAUAAAAGGACCAGACCAUCGAGAACGUAACUUACCUGGAAAGAGAUGCCAUCGGGAAUUAUAUAAAAGUACUUUCUGACCUGGUGUAAAGACUUUUCUCAAAAUGUGUUUGUCAUGAAAGACUUUCAUUCGCUGUUUAUAAAUCUUGGCAUUCUCAUAUGCAUCAUUCCUGAUCUCUUCAAGUUCUGCUAGUUGUAAUCUUCUCUUGGAACCAGUCUGCUGCAUGUCAAAAUUGAAUUGCUUGAUAGCCCAAUAUGCACGAUGCUCCAACUCUACUGGCAGAUGACAUGCUUUUCCAUACACAAGUCGAUAAGGUGACAUCCCAAUUGGUGUUUUAAAAGCAGUUCUAUAUGCCCACAAUGCAUCAUCAAGUCUCAAAGACCAAUCCUUUCUAUCUGGCCUAACUGUUUUCUCUAGAAUCUGCUUGAUCUCUCUAUUAGAAAUCUCUACUUGGCCACUGGUUUGAGGAUGGUAUGGGGUGACAACCUUAUGUGUAAUGGAAUAUUUGUUCAAAAGAGUUUUGAAAGGUUUAUUGCAAAAAUGGGUACCACCAUCACUAAUGAUUGUUCUAGGGAAACCAGAACGAGACAGAAUAUUACUCUUCAAGAAUUUCACUACAACCCUAUGAUCAUUGGUUUUGCAUGGAGUGGCUUCAACCCACUUCGACACAUAGUCUACUGCAACCAAUAUAUACUGAUAACCACAAGAUGGAGGAAAAGGUCCCAUGAAAUCAAUACCCCAUACAUCGAAGAUCUCAAUCACAAGAAUAGGAUUGAGUGGCAUCAUGUUCCUCUUUGAAAUGCUACCCAUACGUUGGCACCUAUCACACAAAGAACAGAAAAUAUAAGCGUCAUGAAAAAGAGUAGGCCAAUAAAAACCACAUUGUAAAAUUUUUGUUACUGUCUUUUUAGCACUAAAGUGGCCUCCACAAGCUUGUUCAUGGCAAAAUGAGAUAACACUUUGAAUCUCAUUAUCGGGAACACAUCGCCUAAUAAUCUGAUCAGCACAAUAUUUAAAUAAAUAGGGAUCAUCCCCAAANNNNNNNNNNNNNNNNNNNNNNNNNNNNNNNNNNNNNNNNNNNNNNNNNNNNNNNNNNNNNNNNNNNNNNNNNNNNNNNNNNNNNNNNNNNNNNNNNNNNNNNNNNNNNNNNNNNNNNNNNNNNNNNNNNNNNGGGAAAGACUCAAUUCAAAGGUAAAGAUUCUGGAUAAAUUUAAGAUCAAGGCGAGAUAAAUGAUCCGCCACAACAUUUUCAGAACCUUUUUUAUCUCUAAAUUCAAUGUCAAAUUCUUAUAAAAGCAACACCCAACGAAUCAAUCUUGCCUUGGCAUCUUUCUUAGUAAACAAAUAUUUUAAAGCAGCAUGAUCAGUAAAAAUAAUCACUUUACAACCUAUAAGAUAAGAUCUGAAUUUAUCAAGUGCAAAUACCACAGCUAGCAUUUCUUUUUCUGUAGUUGAAUAGUUCAACUGUGCAUCAUUGAAUGUCAUACUAGCAUAAUAAAUCACAUAAGGCACACGAUCUAAUCUUUGUCUUAAAACUGCUCAUGCAGCAUAAUCAGAUGCAUCACACAUAAUUUCAAAAGGCAAAUCCCAAUUAGGUGGCUGAAUGAUAGGUGAAGAAGUCAACAAUUUCUUAAGCUUUGCAAAAGCAUCAAGACAAGAUUCAUCAAAGAUAAAAGGUGCAUCCUUAACAAGUAAAUUGCAUAAAGGUCUAGAAAUUUUACUAAAAUCUUUAAUGAAUCUUCUAUAAAAACCAGCAUGUCCAAGGAAAGAUCUUACUUCUUUUACGGAUUUAGGAUAUGGAAGAUUAGAAAUUAAAUCCACCUUAGCUUUGUCGACUUCUAUACCUUUGCUGGAAAUUAUAUGACCAAGAACAAUACCUUGUUUUACCAUGAAGUGACACUUUUCCCAAUUUAGAACCAAGUUCUUUUCUUUACAUCUCUGCAAAACUAAUGUUAGGUGCUGUAAACAUUCAUCAAAAGAAUCUCCAUAAACAGAAAAAUCAUCCAUGAAUACUUCAAGAAAUCUCUCAACCAUAUCAGAAAAAAUACUAAGCAUGCAUCUUUGAAAGGUAGCAGGUGCAUUGCAUAAACCAAAUGGCAUUCUCCUAUAUGCAAAAGUUCCAAAGGGACAAGUAAAAGUAGUUUUCUCCUGGUCCUCUGGAGCUAUAGGGAUCUGAUUAUAACCUGAAUAUCCAUCUAGAAAAUAAUAAAAAUCAUGACCUGCAAGUCUAUCAAGCAUUUGAUCAAUAAAUGGAAGAGGAAAAUGAUCUUUUCUUGUGAAUGAAUUCAAUUUUCUAUAAUCAAUGCAAACACGCCAACCUGUAGUUACUCUAGUGGGAAUUAAUUCAUUAUUAGCAUUAGUAACUACUGUAACACCAGAUUUCUUAGGAACAACUUGCACAGGGCUAACCCAAGAGCUAUCUGAAAUAGGAUAAAUAAUUCCUGCAUCUAAUAAUUUGAUUACUUCAGCUCUUACCACUUCUUUCAUGUUAGGAUUUAGCCUACGUUGCAUUUCCCUAAUAGGUUUAGCAUUUUCUUCAAGAUGAAUACGAUGCAUGCAAUCUACUGGAUUAAUACCUUUAAUAUCAGCGAUGGUCCAUCCUAUUGCCUCCUUAUGUUUUUUUAGAAUACCUAACAACUUACCUUUUUGCUCAAGAUUGAGGGAAGAAGAAAUAAUAACAGGUAGAGUGUCAUAUUCUCCCAAAAAUGCAUAUUCCAGAGUGUCGGGCAAUGCUUUGAGUUCCAAUUUUGGUGGUGCCUCUACAGAUGGGCCAAUUUUCUUCUCAGAAUGAGGCAGUAGUUCUGACUUUGUCUUCCAUUUAGUUGUGUCCGUAAUUGGAGGUGCAUCAAGUAAAGCACUGACUUCUGCAAUUGCACUGUCAUCAUUAAAAGAUAAAUCAAAAUGAGUUAGACAUGCCUCUAAUGGAUCAUCAGUAUGGUUAGAAAUGAAUGAAUCUUCUACUAAUUCCUCUAUCAUAUUUGCUUCAACAAAUUCAUCUUCUUCUUGUGGCUGCUUGGUAACAUUAAAAAUAUUCAAUUCCAUGGUCAUAUUACCAAAAGAUAGCUGCAUAUUUCCAUUCCUACAAUUAAUAAGAGCAUCAGCUGUAGCUAAGAAAGGACGACCUAGAAUAACUGGAGUGUGUUUCUUAGGAUCAUGUACAUGCUGAGUAUCAAUAACGAUAAAAUCAACAGGAUAAUAAAAUUUGUCAAUCUGUAUCAACACAUCCUCUAUAAUACCACGAGGUAUUUUCAUUGAUCUAUCAGCAAGUUGCAAAAUAAUAGGAGUUGAUUUUAACUCACCUAGUCCAAGUUGCAUGUAAACAGAAUAAGGCAAGAGAUUAACACUAGCACCCAAAUCCAAUAAUGUUUUAUCAAAACAUUGGUUCCCUAUAACACAUGAGAUAGUAGGAGAACCAGGAUCCUUAAAUUUUGGUGGCAUUUUACAUUGAAGUAAAUUGCUAGUUUGUUCAGUUAAAAAUGCCUUUUUAGUGACAUGUAAAUUUCUCUUUUUAGUACAUAAAUCUUUCAAAAACUUGGCAUAGGAAGGAACUUGCUUAAUAGCAUCGAGUAAAGGGAUGUUUAUACUUACCUGCUUAAAGAUUUCCAUAAUCUCACCUGUUGAAGUCCCUUUCUUUGCCUUUGUUAACCUUUGAGGAAAGGAGCCUUGGGAAUGUAAGCUGGCGGGCCACUCUCUUCAGGAUCAUUUGGUGAUGGGUCUUGUGAUGGAACUGGAUCUGAAGAAGUAGGCUCAUAUGUUUUUCUUGUUUGAACCUCCACCUUGUUGUCAAAUAACUUUCCUCUUCUCAAGGUCAUAACAGAUUUUGCUUCUUCAUGCUGAUGGCUUGAACUCGAUCCAACUUCGUGCACUCCUUUGGGAUUAGGAAUUGGUUGAAUUGGAAAUUUUCCUUUUUCUCUCUCAGCUACAGUAGUUGCUAAUUGACCCAAUUGAUGUUCAAGCUUUAGAAUAGCUUGAGUGUUUGACUGAAAAGCUUGUUGGGUUGACUGAAUGAAACUUUGAAGUGUAUCCUCUAAAGAAGGCUUUCUUUGUUGGGGUGCAACAAAUUGAGACAUAGGUUGUUGGGCAGGAGGAUGUAGUUGGUUAGGAGGGACAAAUUGUUGAUUGGACAUGUUCAACUGUUGUCCUCCUUGGUUUGACAAAGGCUGAUUUUGUUUCCAAGAAAAAUUAGGGUGAUUCCUCCAAUUAGGAUUAUAUGUGGGUGAAUAUGGAUUAUUAGGGGUUUUCUCAUAUGAUUGUAAGGCAUGUACCUGCUCAGAAUAAGCCUCUUGAUAGACUGGUAAUGAUGGACAAUUCUGUGCUGUAUGAGACAAGUUAGAACAAAUAGCACAAACCUCAUUAUCUACACUAGGAUGAUGAUUCAUUGAUUGGUUUAGAGCUAAGGCAUCUACUUUCCUAGAAAGUGUAACUAUAGUGGAUUUCACAUCAAAAUCAUCCUUAACUUCAUAUAACCCCUUUCUAGAAACUUGAGAUGAUUUUUCUCUUUGAUUUGAAAAAUCCCACUGUUGAGAAUUCUCAAAAAGUGAAUUAAAGAAAUCCCAUGCAGCCCUUUCAUGUAAGUUCAAAAAUCUCCCACCAUUCAUAGACUCUACCAUAUGACGAUUUGACAUGGUUAAACCGUUAUAAAAGCAUUAUAUAAGUCUCCAUUUUUCAAAACCAUGGUGGGGACACUUAAGGAGUAAAUCAUUGAAUCUUUCCCAACACUCGUAAAAUUGCUCACCCUCUCUUUGAUAAAAAUCACUUAUCUCUCUCCUAAGGGCAUUUGUUUUAGACAUAGGGAAAAACUUGGUGAGAAACUUAUUACUCAAUUCAUCCCAUGUACUAAUAGAUCCAUCAGGAAGUGAAUUCAACCAAGCUUUUGCUUUGUCUUUUAAUGAGAAAGGGAACAUACGAAGCUUAAUUGACUCAUCAUUAAAAUUUUGAAAACGGAAUGUAGAGCAUAUGUCAAGAAAUUCCUUAAUGUGCAAAUAUGGAUCCUCUCUUUCUAACCCAUGGAAAGAUGGCAAAAGUUGAAUGACAGAGGGCUUAAGUUCAAAGUGUGUUGCUGUAGUUUGUGGCAACACAAUACAAGAUGGUUGGUUGGCUGCAAGUGGUGAAAAGUAUUCGCUAAGGGUUUUCUCUGCUUACACUGGUGGAAGUAUUGGCAAUAAUCUAUUUGGGUCAUCCAUCACUUCUAAAGAACUAGCUUGACUACUAUCAAUUUUUGACUCUCUUUUAACCAAACGAUUUGUUGAAUCACGUUCCCAAACACUCAUAAACUAACCAGACAAGGAAAGAAAAUAAAAUAAAAUAAACCAACAAUAAUGAGAAUAAACGAAAUUAAACAACUAAAGAAUGAAUUCAAAAUAAAAUAAAAAAAAAAUAAAAAUCGAAUAAAUAAAAUAAAAGACAACCUAAAUUAUAACUAGUGGAAAAAUCAAAUUAACCUAGAUUAAACUUGACUUUCUAGCACAAUCCCCGGCAACGGCGCCAAAAACUUGUUGUGAAAAUUUUAAUAUACUCGCAAGCGCACGAAUCUAGAAAUAGAAUAGUGGUAACGAGGUCGAUCCCACAGGGAUUGUUAUAAAUUAAAAAGUUUAAUUUAAAUCUAAAAUUAAUAUUAAUUAUAACCUAGUUGAGCAAAUUGAGUUUUUAAGAAAAUUAAACCAAUUAAACUAAGGAAACAAUUAAAAUAAAGGAGAAUUCAAUAAGAUAAGAAUUACCAAGGUUUCAGAAUCCACCACUAUUCAACUAGUAAUUAUCUAAUUAUUAAUUAAUCCCCAAUUUUAGAGUGACAACUCGAAAUCAAUCUAUGUCAUCUCAUGGAUAUAACAAUUAAGCCCAAGUAAUUAAAUCUAAUGUAGGUUCUUUUUCUGCUUAAUAAUAUGACAUCUAAGAAUCUCAUGUAAACAUAUUGAAUAACAAAGAGUCAAAGUUUCCUAAGCACUCCAUGUAAACAAUUUAAUGAAAGACAUAAAAUCAAAGAUAAUCAUGUAUAAACUUUAUAGAUCCAAGCAUAGAAUUAAUCGAAUAUUAAUCCUAACAAUCAAUAAUGCAUGACAGAAUUGAUGAAAAGAUUUUAUUAACAUCCAAUUAAUCAUGUGAAAUAAAAACAAUAAUCAUCAAAGAACAUAUAUAGGGAAUUAAUUAAAUAAAAAGAUAAUUAUUUCAUUGAAUAGGGUUUCAUCCUUAACCUCAGUAUAAGAAAAUUAGUUAGACAUACUUGAAUUGGGAGCAACAAAAUAAAUAAAUUCAGCCAUGGGGAAGCCGAAUUGCUGCAGAUUUUCUUCUCUGUCUUGAAUCCUUGCGUCUCCAGUUCUCUCUCCUCCCGUGGCCCUCUUGCCUUUAUAUAAUGUUACUGACUUGCUUAAUCCUUAUUGGAUUCUAAUUGCAUUAAUUCUUCUCCACCGACUUAUAAAGCCCACUCACCAAGGCCUUUUAAAAUUAUUUCCUUACUAAACUUUGAAAGCAAAGCACGCGUUUGACCACAAAAGCAAAAGGCCAAUUAAUGAUUUCUUCUUUUAAUGCCCAGCACAUGCAUUCCAAAUUGCCAAAUCUUUGCUUUCCAAAUGCAUGCCCACCGUUCAUCCUUUGAAGAGAUUGACUUCCAAUUUUGGUCUUCUUGACUUCCAUUAAUUCUUGGUUACAUUUUUGUCUUCCAAUUUAAUCUUUAUUCCUUCUCAAUUUGAAGUGUUUUCAUGCCCUUUUUAUCAACAAUCUUCAAUUAAUUCCCCAUUCAAUAAAACAAUUCAAUUAAUUAAAAAUAAUAAAUAAAUAUAACUAGCAAUUAUAUUAUUAAGGGUUAAAUAUAUAUAUAAAUUAUGCUCAUCAAGUAUCACAUAAAAGGUUUUGUAAAGGCUGUGUCAAAAGAAUUUCUUUAACUGAUUAAAUAUACUAAUUUUAGGUGACAAUAAUAUAAUAAUAUUAAACUAAAUUAACUUAAUUUUGAGAAAAAAAUUUCAAAAAACGCAUAGAAUUACGGAUCAAGUCUAAUUAACAAUCAAACGUAGUAACCCAGAUGCAUUUAUGCCAAAAAGAAUGUUCAUAAGACUACACAAAACCACCCAAAAAAUAUUAUAAAAUAAUAAAAGCAACAACUGCGAUAGAUUUUGCCAGAACAAGAAACACAACAAAACAAAGAGAAUAAAUCAAUCAAGGGCAUAAAUAGAUUGAACAAAAAAGGGCAAGAUCAGAAAAGAAACCGACCCACGACGCUGGAUCCUCCUAAUCCUAGCGUCAUGGUUGCGGUUUUGAUGAUGCGUUAGCUGAGAUCUGAGUAAAAUAUUGACAGUGAGCUUGUGGGUGAGUGAAAGGGGAACGAGCUUCGUGGCUGAGAGUGAGAGCCGAGAGGGAUAGAGCGGGUGAGAGAGAGAGAGGGGGUGAGUGAGGAGAGGGAUAAAAAUUUAGAUUUUUUAAUUUGUUUUGAUUAGUUUUUAUUAUUUUUUAAUGAUAAAAUUUGUUUUUAAUUCUCAAAUUUAAAACUUCAAAACGGCAUAUAAGCAUGUCGUUUCUGCCUUCCCUCUGUAACGACUAACGAGGGUGGCCGAAUAUCAUUUUCCAUAAGAGUAAUAAUACAGCUACAAACUCUUGUACAAACUUAUUUUGUACAAACUGAUGUGGCAUGAUAAGAUUGGUUAAAUUAAAUAUCACUUGGCCCACAUGAUUUUUUUUAUUAAUUUAUAUUUUUAUUCAACCAAUGAAUUAAUGCCACGUCAGUUUGUACAAAAUAAGUUUGUACAAGAGUUUGUGGCUGUAUCAUUACUCUUUCCAUAAGAGUAAUAAUACAGCUACAAACUCUUGUACAAACUUAUUUUGUACAAACUGAUGUGGCAUGAUAAGAUUGGUUAAAUUAAAUAUCACUUGGCCCACAUGAUUUUUUUUUAUUAAUUUAUAUUUUUAUUCAACCAAUGAAUUAAUGCCACGUCAGUUUGUACAAAAUAAGUUUGUACAAGAGUUUGUGGCUGUAUCAUUACUUUUUCCAUAAAUCAUUUCUAUGCAAGAGACACGAUGAGGGACCCACAAACGCGACAGAAUUGGAUAUCCCGAUAUUUUAAAAUGAGGAAUAUAAUAAAUCGCCUGCCAAGAGGCUUCAUCAAGAAUCAAGAUAUAUAGUAGUUAAGCACAGCCUCUCUCUCUCCCUGUCUCUGUCUGUUUCCUCUCUGUUCUGUUCAAUGAAAAUGGAGGCUACACUUUGGGCUGUGACUUUCUCCAUUGCUUUCUCUACAGCUAUUCUAGCCGUAGCAUGUGCCUGGUGGAUGCUACUGAAUUGGGUAUGGCUAAAGCCAAAGAAGCUAGAAAAGUUCCUCAGAGAGCAAGGAUUCUCCGGAAACUCCUACAAAGUAUUUCAUGGAGACGUGAAAGAGCUUGCCCAGACCACUAAAGAAGCUGAAAGCAGACCCAUCAGCCUCUCCGACGAUAUCGCCCGGCGAAUUCUGCCUUUCCACCAUCAUAUCAUCACCAAUUUUGGUAAGCCUUCCUACUAAUUUAUCUCACUCAACUUUACUUGGUAAUAAUUUUAUUUUGCUUAUAUAUCAAUAAAAUUAAAUAAGAUUCAAGUUUUUCUAAUUUUAAAGGGAAAAGGAGAAUGGCACAUAAGUUCUUAAUAUUUCUUAUUUUUAUCACUUGCUAUUUGAUUUUUUAAUUUUUUUUAUUACACCCUUAAUGUUAAAAUCGUAAUAAAAAAAGUUAUUUUUUACCGUUUUACAGUUAUUAUCUUAAUUUCACUCUAUUGGUAUAGUAUGAUUUUUUUUUUUAAAUAUCAAAAGUCAUGUUACUCUUCAACAAUAAAAUUCAAACAUUAAAAUCAUAGUUAUGUCAUGAAAGUAGAGUGAUUAAAAAAUGAAGAAUAGUAAGGACCAAUGUGUCAUUCUUCCACAAGGGAGAAGGGACCAAAAGAAAAAAAGGGGACGGUUUUUGGAAACUUUCAACCAAGUGUCUGUUUCUGAAGAUUUCUUUUGUCUUUUUUAAAAAAAAAAUUAUAUAUCAAAAGCGGAUUGAUAUAGAAUUUUUUUAAUAAUCAAUAUAUCUUUAGUUUUUCCAUUUUGUGAUAUAUAUAUUUUUAAAUAUUUUUAUAUUGGUCUUAGUUGACCGAGAGUUAUUUAUACCAACCAUGAGAAUUAAUAUAGUAGAAACCUUGAAAUAUAAAUACUCCAUAAAGGAAUAAUUUUUUCAUAAUAAUAAAAAAUUAUGAUCCNNNNNNNNNNNNNNNNNNNNNNNNNNNNNNNNNNNNNNNNNNNNNNNNNNNNNNNNNNNNNNNNNNNNNNNNNNNNNNNNNNNNNNNNNNNNNNNNNNNNNNNNNNNNNNNNNNNNNNNNNNNNNNNNNNNNNNNNNNNNNNNNNNNNNNNNNNNNNNNNNNNNNNNNNNNNNNNNNNNNNNNNNNNNNNNNNNNNNNNNNNNNNNNNNNNNNNNNNNNNNNNNNNNNNNNNNNNNNNNNNNNNNNNNNNNNNNNNNNNNNNNNNNNNNNNNNNNNNNNNNNNNNNNNNNNNNNNNNNNNNNNNNNNNNNNNNNNNNNNNNNNNNNNNNNNNNNNNNNNNNNNNNNNNNNNNNNNNNNNNNNNNNNNNNNNNNNNNNNNNNNNNNNNNNNNNNNNNNNNNNNNNNNNNNNNNNNNNNNNNNNNNNNNNNNNNNNNNNNNNNNNNNNNNNNNNNNNNNNNNNNNNNNNNNNNNNNNNNNNNNNNNNNNNNNNNNNNNNNNNNNNNNNNNNNNNNNNNNNNNNNNNNNNNNNNNNNNNNNNNNNNNNNNNNNNNNNNNNNNNNNNNNNNNNNNNNNNNNNNNNNNNNNNNNNNNNNNNNNNNNNNNNNNNNNNNNNNNNNNNNNNNNNNNNNNNNNNNNNNNNNNNNNNNNNNNNNNNNNNNNNNNNNNNNNNNNNNNNNNNNNNNNNNNNNNNNNNNNNNNNNNNNNNNNNNNNNNNNNNNNNNNNNNNNNNNNNNNNNNNNNNNNNNNNNNNNNNNNNNNNNNNNNNNNNNNNNNNNNNNNNNNNNNNNNNNNNNNNNNNNNNNNNNNNNNNNNNNNNNNNNNNNNNNNNNNNNNNNNNNNNNNNNNNNNNNNNNNNNNNNNNNNNNNNNNNNNNNNNNNNNNNNNNNNNNNNNNNNNNNNNNNNNNNNNNNNNNNNNNNNNNNNNNNNNNNNNNNNNNNNNNNNNNNNNNNNNNNNNNNNNNNNNNNNNNNNNNNNNNNNNNNNNNNNNNNNNNNNNNNNNNNNNNNNNNNNNNNNNNNNNNNNNNNNNNNNNNNNNNNNNNNNNNNNNNNNNNNNNNNNNNNNNNNNNNNNNNNNNNNNNNNNNNNNNNNNNNNNNNNNNNNNNNNNNNNNNNNNNNNNNNNNNNNNNNNNNNNNNNNNNNNNNNNNNNNNNNNNNNNNNNNNNNNNNNNNNNNNNNNNNNNNNNNNNNNNNNNNNNNNNNNNNNNNNNNNNNNNNNNNNNNNNNNNNNNNNNNNNNNNNNNNNNNNNNNNNNNNNNNNNNNNNNNNNNNNNNNNNNNNNNNNNNNNNNNNNNNNNNNNNNNNNNNNNNNNNNNNNNNNNNNNNNNUACCAAAAAUAAUAAGAUUUAAUGAUGAAUAUCAUUAUUGGUACUUUAAUGAAGUACAAAAAAAUCUUAAUUACUAGAAAUUAUAACUCAAUUAAUAAUAAAACUCUACUUAUCUUAAAUUCAAUUGAUGAUUUGUGAGAUUGGGCUAUUUUUAAUACUACUGUUAUAAUUUAGCAUUCUAAUUACAGACAUAUUUAAAAAAAAAACCUGCAUUUGAUGGUUGUGGAAUUAAUUUAUUUAUUGACCGAUGGGGAAAAUAAUUAGGUUUAAUCAAAUUUUUUUAUAAUUUUUAAGGUGAAAUUGUAAUUUUCGUUUUGGGGGUAAAAUGGUCAUUUUUUUAAGUUUCCGUUAGUUUUCUUAACGGAUUCCAAACGGAAGUGGAAAAGUGAAAAAAAAAUGUAAAUUUAGGUGGAUUCCAGCCAAAAAAUGAAGGAAUUGUGUAUUUUUGAAAAAGGUGUAAAAAAUUGGUGGACGGUGGAUAUUUUCCCUAAAAUAAAUUUUGCGUUUUUAUUUUCUAAGAAUGAUAAAAACAAAAAAACAUGAUAAGUUGAAACAUUCUAAUCUGUAACCCUUAUUGCUAAAAUUACAGGUAAGAAUUCUUUCAUAUGGAUGGGUCCAAGACCAAACAUACACAUCACAGACCCUAAAAUGACAAGGGAAAUUUUUUUGAAGCAUGAUAUCUUUCAAAAAGAGGUAAGCCCACUUGUGAAGUUGCUGGUCACUGGGAUGGCGGGCUAUGCUGGUGAACAGUGGUUUAAAGUCAGAAAAAUCGCCACUCCAGCUUUCCAUCAUGAUAAGUUGAAGGUUCGUUUUCACCUUUAUAGUUCGUUUAAUCACACACACACACCAUUUUCAAUAUGCCUGUUCAUAUUGUUACCUGACCUAUAACAAUGUUUGACAAUUUCUUCCAUUUUUUUUUCAUAAGAAUAUGUUACCCACAAUUCAUAAGAGCUGUAACGACAUGCUGAGGAAAUGGGAGAUUUUGGUUUCAAAGGAUGAGUCCUGUGAGUUAGAUGUGUGGCCUCAUAUUCAAACUUUGACAGCAGAUGUGAUUUCUCGAACAGCAUUUGGCAGUAGCUUUGAAGAAGGAAGAAAAAUAUUUGCAGUGCUGAGGGAACAAAUUAAUCUUCUAAUUCAAGCUUCAUUUUUUGCUUAUAUUCCAGGAUGGAGGUAAUUUUAAUUAUUAAUCAACUUAGGUAGUGUUUACUUUCUGAAGUGAGAGUGUGGAGUGUGGAUUUCUCCCACUCCGGUGUUUACUUACCAUUUUUAAGGGGAGAGUGGGAUUCCCACUCUAUGGGUCCCACCUAAUUUUGGAUUGGGGAGUGGGAUUCCCACUCUCAUGGGGGGAGGUGAGAGUGGGAAUCCACUCCCCCCUCUUCCUUUUUUACCCUCAUAAUUAAAAUAAAUAAAUAAUAUUUAAUAAAAUAAAUAAUAUCAUAUUUAUUAAAAAUAAUAAUUAUAACAUAUUUAUUUUAUUAAAAAAAUAAAAAUAAAUAAAUAUUAUAUUUAAAUUAAUAAUAUUAAACAUUAAUUUUAAUAAAUAUUAAUUAUUUAUUUAAUUAAUAAUAAUAAAUAUUUUAUUCUAAAAAAAUAUUAAUUUUGUACUAUAUUAUCAAUAAUAAUGUUUCAUUUGUGUUGUUAUUAUUAAUAAUUUUUAUUCACAUAAUUUAAAUUAAAAUUAAUAAAAAAUUAUGAUUUACAUAAUUAAGAAUAUUAUUAAUUAUUAUUAAUUUAUAAAUAUAAUAAAAUAUUUAUUUUAUUUUCUAAAUAUAUUUUUUAUUAAUUUUUUAAUUACAAAUUAUAAUUCUUUACAUAAGGAUAAAAUUAUAAUUUAAAAUAAUUUACUCCCAAUCCAAGAUAAAGUAAACAAAUAAUUGAGAUUCUGAUUGACAAUCCAUACUUUCAUUUAGUCUAAGUAAACUCCCUACUCCCACUCCCACUCUCACUCCACACUCCUAAUCCAAGGAUUCCCACUCCUCAAGAUUCCCACUCCAAUCCAAAAAGUAAACGCAGAUUAUUCCUCGUAGUACUCUUGGUGACCUAAGCUGUGCUAAUUUUUUAAAGAUAUUAUAUCAGGUGUGUAUUUAUAAAUCAACAUAAGAUUAGAAGUGGUCUUCUAAAUAAAGAAUCCUUAUUAUUAUAGUGUAGAAAAGUGUUGUCAAAUGUUUUAGCAUAUAAAUAAUUUCCGCGUGCCUUGCACUUAAUUAUGAGAAUUGUUUAUUGGUAGGUUUGUGCCUAAUAGACUGAAUAGAAAAUUGAAAAGCAACCACAAUGAAAUGGGAGAACUGGUAAAGGGUAUCAUUAAGAAAAGAGAGGAAGCUCUGAAAGUUGGAAAAGCCAGCAAUGAUGAUGACUUAUUGGGUAUCUUGAUGGAAUCAAAUCACAAAGAGAUUCAGGAGAAGGAAACUGGAAUGAGUAUUGAAGAGGUGAUUGAAGAGUGCAAGCUGUUCUAUCUUGCUGGGCAGGAAACUACUGCAUCAUUGCUUGUGUGGACAAUGGUUUUGUUAUGCAUACAUCCUGAAUGGCAAGAACGAGCAAGGGAAGAGGUUUGUCAAGUUUUUGGAAAUAGAGAACCAAAAUUUGAAGAGCUGAACCAGUUGAAAGCAGUAAGUGAUCUUACUCCUACUUAAAUAUCUAUAGCUUUUCUAAUUUGUCGAAAAUUUUGGGAAGACUCAAUUUCUUGUUAAUUUUCAGGUGUCAAAGUCUGGAUUUACAAAAUAUAAAUUUGAACUACCAUUAGGACUCUAGGCUGGGGUAGAAUUAUUUUUAUUCUAAUGAUAGAUCAAAUUUGGAAUUUGGAAUUUGGAAUAUCCAAACAUCCGCACUUGAAAACUACUUCUCCUUAAAUUGAUACCACUUGAAUUUCUUAACCUGACCAGUGUUUGUCAAUAUUUUACUAUCAAAGAUAGAGGAAGCCACAUAAAUUAGGGAAAAUCUUGGGAGGUGCCAACAGAACUGUGUCAUCGUCCCACAACAUCAGAAUUAUAUUCUGUGAUUUUCACAAUUAAUUAUCCUUAAUAAAUUUGUUAUCAGUCACCAAGAACAAAGAAUUUCCUUGUUUGAAAAAAUAAUUCCAGUGUAUCGUGCAGGUAAGAAAAUUGAGUUCUAUACAAGGUACUUAGAUUAUGCAGUAGUUAUGGCCAUGGGGGUUGGUUACUGGAAAUGAUAAAACCUACAAAAAUGUCGAGGGUUCAAAUCCCUUCUUGUACAGGGAAUGGGAAGGGAUUUGUUAUAUAUGUAUGUAAUAUUUUAAAAAGUCAUAGUUUAAAAUUAACUAGUAGUGAUAGCUUAUUUUGCAAACCAAAAGACGGGAAAUCCAGUGAAAUUUAGAACCUUAACUAAUUUUUUUUUUUCCCCUCCCAAAUGAUUCCGUCAUCUGUUGCAGGUAAGCCAAAUUCUGUACGAGGUAUUGAGGUUAUAUUCACCAGCACCUCUGCUUACUCGAGCUAAUGUUAAGGAGAUUAAGCUAGGAGAAAUUGUUAUACCACCUGGAGUUUUACUUUCAUUGCCAAUAAUGCUUGUUCAUCAUGAUCAUGAAUACUGGGGCGAUGAUGCAAAAAAGUUCAACCCAGAUAGGUUUUCAGAGGGAGUCUCAAAGGCAUCGAAGAAUCAAAUUUCAUUCUUCUCAUUUGGUUGGGGUCCUCGAAUCUGCAUUGGACAAAACUUUGCUCUGUUGGAAUCGAAAUUAGCUUUAGCAAUGAUUUUGCAGAAGUUCACUUUCCAGCUUUCACCAACUUAUAUGCAUGCUCCUACUCGUGGGGUAACUGUAUAUCCACAGCAUGGUGCUAAUAUCAUUUUACACAAAAUUUAGUAUGCAUUACUAUCGCAAGUAUUCAGAAUUCAUGCCAUAUAGUAUAUGUAGAGCAAGAACUUUAUUAUUUUGAUUUACCGUUUUAAAUUUUCUUAGUACUCUUCUUUCCAAUAAAACCAUAUCAAUGGUUUUGAAGCAUUUAUAACACUUUUUUUUAAGUUUUUUUUUUUUUGGGUGUUUCGGAUUUUACAUAUUAGACAUGAAUUUAUAUCUGAUCAAUAAUUUUACGGAUUUUAAUUUGUCAAUCUAAUCAAAUCCACAAAUUGAUGAAAUUGAAUUCAAGUCUAAUCCAUGUGUCUGCAAAUCAAAUGCGAAUUUGAUCCAAUACUUAUUUAAUCUACCAUAUUACAAAUUAGUUUAAAAAUUUACAAUUCUAUCAAAUCCACAAACUAAUUAAAUAAAAAAAUUUAAUAUAAAAAUAAUUUUACUACCUAUCAAAUUCAAAAUUGAAUAAGAUUUAAAUAAAUUAAUUGUUUAAAUAAAGUUAGAAUAAUGCAUUUAGAGUUUCAAAAUAUAACACAUCGAAAAGAAAAAAUCUCAUUUGUUUAGAUUAAUACAUAAAAAUUAACUAAAAUUAUGAAAAUUAACUAUUUAGGAAUUAUUUUGUCUUGCUUGACCCAAGGAAGAGGAAUUGUUUUGUCUUACCUUUGGUUGAAUACCGAUUAUUAUUAUUUGGCGAGACCAAUUAAUUGUUUAUACAUACUUAAAAAAUAAUUUUGUCCAACCCUUUAAUUACAUUUUAUUAUAGGUAAUUAUGUAUAAACUAAAGUUAGUAUGUCGCAUACAAUUAAAAAAAAAAGAGUGCCCUGCACAUAUGACAAAGUAGUAAUGGAAAUUAAUUAUAAGCUACCCGAAUUUUGAGAUGGCUAAAUAUUUUUAAAUAAAAUAAAAUUAAAAGGCUUGUAAUUGGCCAAUUUGUCAAUAUAAUAAUAGAUGACAAACAAGUUAGACAAAUUUGUCUAUACAAAGGAUUGUGGAUGAGAGAAUUAUUUGAAAAGUCAGUCAAUCCCUUUAUAUGCCAAUUGAUGUGAUCAGGUUACAUAUAUAAAUUCUAACAAAGUGUUUGUGGUUCUACCAUUAUUCAUUAGAAAUUGUAUUCAAUUCUUGCCGAUCAUUUUUUAAAUUAUUGAAAAGCAACAAUCUGAAAAAGUCUAGUCACAAGAGUUAAAAUUUUAUCUAGAUAAAAUAGUAAUAACAAAAUAUGUUGGUUAAAAUUCGUGAAAAUAAAACAUUCAACUACCUUUUUUUUUUUUUAAAUUUUGUCAAUGCCUUAGGAAAUAAAUUACUUGGUCAUAAAAAAUACAAAGUUGUCUAAGACAACUUUUAGUUACUAUUUUUAAUUUUGUGACCAUAAUGACUCAUCUAUGACUAAAAAAUGAGAUCUUAAAAUUAUAAUAAAUCAAAAUAGCCUUAGAGACUAAUAUUAUGUGUCAUUGAUGGUUUGCCUAAAUUUACACGUGUUUUAGUUACAAAAUAUUUUGGUCACCUAUAGUUAUAUUUCUCGACCAUUUAUUUUGUCACGAAUGACCUUUUCUUGAUUGGAUACGUGUUGGUAGAUUUUUAUAAUCAAUUACUAUCAAUACCAAUGUACAAGUAUACACAACAAGUAAUAAAAUGAUGAGUAUUCAAGAUCGUCUCCACAGAGAUUGAUGUUGCUCAAAAUGCUAAAGCAAUCACAAUAGUACAAAUCAACUUUAAAGGUCGAAGCAAACAAUUGUCAAAUAAUUCUAUCUUAAUUAUUAAUUGCGAUAGAUGGAAAUAAAACAAUACUGUAAUAAAGUAAACUAAGUUAAAGGUGUCUAAAAUUCAAUUGAGAAUAUAGUAGUUGAAUGAUCAAACUCUCCUAAUCGGGUGACUGUUGUUUACUGAAUUAGCACCAGUUGUUACAAUAAGUGCUGCAGCAAUGGGUAGAAUAAAUCUGCAUGCGCAGCUAUCGCAUGUUGGAAAUCUCAUACCUUUAAAUUUACUAACAAUGACCAAUUGUUCAUAUAUUUAUGGUAUGGCAUAAUAACCUUUAAUCUCUCUACCCUACAAGGUGAACACCUAUGUCUAGAGUGUCACAAAUCUUAACUUCAAGUAGUGACUCGACUUAAGAACGAGUAAUAGUCUAAUAAUGUCCGCUAAGACAUGCCAUUUUGCUACUCUAUCUUAACUGAAACUAUUAAAUGAGUGGUCAACCGAAAUAACAGUUGUAUUCAUAAAACUAUUAAAGUAUAAUGCUACAGCACUACUAUAACAACAUAUAAAAACAGUCAAGAACCCAUUGGAUUAUUUGACACUCAACUACACGUAAAUUUAGUUCAUAUUCUGAAUGAGAAAAGUAAACAUAAAUAUACUAAUUGCAGAAUACAUCCAAACAAUUUCAAGGAAGAAAGAUAAUAUGAGUUGAGCACGGUGAAAGACUAGUGAUCCUCCUCGGUUCUUCAAUGAUGCCAAACAACACUCCUCAAUCUUGAUCUUUUUCUUCUUCUUCUUGCCUUUGUAAUUAAUUGGUUGGUAUUCUCUCACCGCCCUUCUAUGUGAUGCACGCCUCCUUUUAUAUUCCAAAUUAGGGUAAAAACCAAAGCCCAUGAGAUUGCAUGCGUCUUAAUUAGGAAACAUGCAGAUCACGACUUUAUGGCUGACCCGCACUUUAAACUUUCUCCCGCAUUACUCCCAGAUUGCUACAGCACUGGUUGCUCUAACAUCCGCAACAGCACUGCAUUAUUCCCGAUUGUGCUUUUCUUCUUUUGUGGCCAUUUUUUUUUCCUCUUCUUGCUCAUCUAAUGUCUCUGCAUCCUCCUCAUUAAUUUAAACCCUACAAUUAUGCACCUAUUUUUAGCACAAAUUACUUGAUUUAAGCAAAACUUAUUAAGAUCCAACCAAAAUGAAUGUUUAUGCAAAAGGUAACCAAAAUGUAAUAAAAACACUUUAUUUGCUCUCUAAAUAAUCUUGAUUCCAAUCUAGAAUUGAAGUAAUAACUCUCAUUUCCUAGAGUUAUCACACCCCCAAACUUAAACUAUUAUUUUUCCUCAAGUAAUGACACAUACUAACACUUCACACAAAUAAUCAUUCACACAAAUUUAGCUCUUUUAUCAACUUUGCAAAGAUUCUUCCACCUUCAGAUCAUAUUCUUAAUCAUGUAAGAUGACCAUAGUAAAUUAGUCCUAGACUUAAGCUUCUUUCUGUCCAUAGUGUGUGUGUGCUUCUUUCGAUUGAAUUUUAGAUAUGCUAUAGCAUGACCAAGGGAUUGCAUGAAGGUCAGCAGUGAGAACACUUCAUUCAUAAUUGGGGUAAUCAUAACUUUCACAUACUCAACUGUGAUUAUUUUAGGAUUGACAGACUAGGGAAUAUUUAACCUCCUCACUGUAACAUUUAUCUUUCAUGUGAAUGUCAAUCAAUUGUAAUGAUGACACCCAAUUACUCAAAUCAUGCCCAAAUUAGAGUUGCUGCAGCAGUAACUGUAAUGUAAUCUUAUCUAGAGGUAUCUUUUACUCAAGGCUGAACAUGGGGCUCAUGAACAGGCCUGGCUACUCAAUGCUUUAGACAGAGGAUUUUUUUUUUAUAUUUAUGCUACAACAUUGCUCAUAACUCUCACUACCUUUGAACACAAGUCUGCAUAUGGGGUACAUACUCAGAUCUGGUUACUCAGCAACUUAAGCCAUUGGAACAGCUUAUAUUCCAUAGAUAUCACAGUUAUUCAAACUUGCUUUUUCCCCCCAAACUUGAAAUCUUUUCUCUUCUUUUGGCUUUGCUCUAACAAUCUCAUACAAUUCAACCAAAGUCUAAGUGUCGGGACAGAAUUUCACUUUCAUCUAUAACCAUCUCUACUUGGCAUAUAUAUAAGGAAUAACACUCAAUUUAUCUUCAUUAGGUGUUCAAAUCCAUACACAAAUAUUAGAUAAUAGAGCUCCACACCACACAAACAUAAACACAUGCAUACAAACAUAACCUAUGCAUUCGGGAACACAACCCCCCUAAACUUGAGAGUUGUUGGGUCCUCACAAGCAAACAUAACAAAGGCACACAAAUUGACAACCAAAAAUUUAAUUUAAUUUAAUUUAAUUUAUUUAUUUAUUUUAUAAGAACAAAAACUAGUGAGAUAAGAGUACUCCCCUGUAGUGGGGAUUGCAGCACAUGACAGGUUGUGAUCAGCGCUUCUUGGAGGCACUGCGCAGCUUAUCCUUUGGUAAAGCUUUUGGCGAGGUGGCUAGCAAUGUCUUUGUCUUUUUCGCUGCAGGGCUGGUGAGAAGAGUUGUGGCUGGGGUUGCUGUAGCAGUACCUGUAGACGUACUGCCUUUUCAUUUGUUGGAUUGUCUUGGACUGGUGCGGAUAGGCUAGCUAGGAGUUUGCUGUGGAGGCUUUUGAGUCAAUGCAUCAGCUGCCUGGCCCUCGGCUGUGAUGGCAGCAAUUACUGCAAGUAGUUGCUUGGCUUGCUCAGAUGUAGGCAUAGCUCUGGCUGCUGCAGCAGCCAGCUCAGCAUCGACUUGCUCCAUUUCAUCUUCAGAGGCUGAAGGUGUUGCCAUUUUUUCUUUUCCCUUGUGCUUUCCUUUGCAUACAAAGGCUGGAAUAAGCGGUUCCACGUGAAGGUCUGCCUCCCCCUCUUCUUGAAUAAUGUGCUGCUUCCUAGUUUUGGAUUGGGUUGGGAUGGUUGGCAUAGCUCUGGCUGCUGCAGCAGCCAGCUCAGCAUCGACUUACUCCAUUUCAUCUUCAGAGGCUGGAGGUGUUGCCAUUUUUGCUUUUCCCUUGUGCUUUCCUUUGCAUACAAAGGCUGGAAUAAGCGGUUCCACGUAAAGGUCUGCCUCCCCCUCUUCUUGAAUAAUGUGCUGCUUCCUAGUUUUGGAUUGGGUUGGGAUGGUUGGUUCCUCACGUUCUUGCUCCGAAGUGUCCUCUGCCUCUGAGGGUGAGCUAUCAGUCUCAGACUUGUCACCUUCGUCCUCAGGUGGGUCCGAUGGUUCAGCAUCUUCUGAUUCGACUUCUGCUGGUGGUUCAGUUGCAGCUUGUUUUGCUGGUUCAUCUGUAGCAGUGGCUUCAUUACUAGUUUCUGCUGGAGCACCUGUGGUGUUGGUGUCAAAAUUGUACUGCUAAAGCAGGGAAGCAGGGAAGUUCCGGUGAGUGCGUUGUAUGUACAAAGCAAAUUGGUGUAGUUGGUUAUCCAGGUGCUGUAGAUAACUCCAAAACCAACCAUUUUCCCUCUGCUGAGCUUCCACACAUUGAGUGAUAUUGGUUCUGAAUGCUUGGAUGGUCUAUUCUAAGCCAAUAGUGCGUCUUGCGCCUAUUACAACAGCUGGUUCAAUAGUUGUUCCAGCACUCUCGCCAGUAACUCGCUCAAUUGUACGUGCCGUAAAGGCACUAUCAUUCUUAAUAUGAUCAUUUCUGGCUUCAAGAUGAACACCUGAAACUACACAAAUGCUGGUGAUAAGUGAAGGAAAUAGCAAGGCAGCAGUUCGGUGAGUCUUGACUACACACUCUCGGAUUUCUUUUGCAAUGAUGCUACACCCUCGAACAAGGACAUAUAGCAAAACCAAUCUCUCUUGUGAAACCGUAGUAGUGUGAGUAGUGGGCAUAAGCCUAGAUUUUAAAAUUUUCACCCACACCUUAGCAAUAGGUUUCAAAUCUAUCAUAUUCACUACAUGCCCUUCUUCGUUAGCCCAUGAUGCCCCUUCGAUGGUAAGAGUUGUAAAAAUUGUGGUCCACUUUUUCGGGGUUAACUUAUCAUGCAAUUUAGCAUACUCACAAGUAAUUUCAGUAGGUAAAUUAUAAAAAGCAUUGAUAACACAGGAGUCUAAUGGAACAAGUGUGUUUCUUACCCAGAUGUUGUGCUGAUCAGGGCUUACCAAAUUAGCGUAAAAUUCUUUGACUACUUGAAGCACAUGAUCAUGAGGGUGAUUGCAAAACUCUAACCAUCCUCGCUUUGCUGCAGCACUAUGAAUUGUUUGUACAAUUCCAGUGAGUUGUUCUGGGAAUUGAAACCCUUUCUCUUCUAGAAUUUUACGCGGCUCUAUGAAUUCUUCAUAUUUUUCUUCGGCAUGGUAACUCUGGAAGCGCGAUGGAUCUUUGAGGCGGCUUGCUGUUUUCUUAUAUCUCGGCAUUGCUGUAGCAGUAACAACUUGAAGCUACUGUUCCUGAGAGUAAAAAAAGAAAACGAGGUUAAGAAUGAGGAGAGUUGGAUUUGCGAAGGAGAUGGGGAAUACUGGCAUAGAGUACUAAGCACAGUGACUCCUUUUUAUAAUGGACUUUAAUUUGAAGAUAAAUACGGUAAUUAGAGAUAAUUGAGGGAAUAAAAUAUUUGAGUUAAAUGUGCAUAUCCCCAAAAUUAGCGGCCAGUGAAAUUAAAGCUUUAAUUUCAGAGAUUUGUUUCCGCAAUUUCUAUCCAUAUCCAUGUGUCCAUCUGUCACGAUUUUAUCUCCAACGGUAAGUGAAAGGCUCCAGCUUUUAAUUUACUGUAAUGGUAAGAUUAGUUGCUGCAGCACCCAUUUGCUUAUUCUUAACAACGGAUACAUACUCUACACUAAGGCUUUUGACACAUGGUUCACCUCUGAAUUCUGCCACCAUACACUCUCUCUUGUCAAUAUGGACUUCAAUUAUCACGCUUACUUCAAAAAAACUAAAUUUAAGUCUAAAAUUGUUAAAAGAAAUAGAUAUAUCAAAUUAACGUAAAAAUAAAUUAUGCAAUAAUGUAAAAGGAUAGAAAAAAAUAAAUGGUUAAUCAUGGAAAAACAAGAUUAAAUAAAAUGGUAAAGAGGAAGAGCUAUCUACAAAACCAAAAGAUAUCAAAAUUGGUUUGAAGUGGCUAUCUCCUCAAUGGGCUGCCUCCUAUGAAGCGCUUGAUUUAAGGUCAUUCAGCCUGACCUUCCUUCUUUGUUCAGUAGCUAGGUUCUUUAAGGAGUAACACCUCCUUUGAACAUUCUACUGCUGGAUGUAUGUAGUGCUUAACGCUUUGUCCAUUAACUUUGAACUCGUGGCAUGUUUGUUCAUCUAAAAGAUCAAUAGCACCAUGAGGAUAAACCUUGAGCAGUUUAAACGGGCCCGGCCAUUUUGACUUGAGCUUUCCUAGAAAUAAUCUUAGUCUUGUAUUGUGGAGCAACACUAAUUGACCAGGGUUGAAUUUCCUGUGCUGAAGAUGCUUGUCGUGCCAUUGUUUUGUCAUCUCUUUAUAGAUUCUUGCAUUUUCAUAUGCAAAUAACCGUAAUUCAUCAAGUUUACAAAGUUGAAGUUUCCUUUGCUCUGCUGCAGCAUGCAUAUCCCAAUUUAAAUUCUUUAGUGCCCAAUAUGCUUUAUGCUCUAGUUCUAGUGGCAAAUGAUAAGCCUUUCCUUAAACAAUUCGAUAAGGGGACAUGCCAAGUGGGGUUUUGUAUGCUAAUCUGUAGGCCCAUAGAGAAUCAUGUAAGUGUAAAGACCAAUCCUUCUUUGUUGGGUUCACCACUUUUUCUAAGAUCUUUUUUAUCUCUCUAUUGGACACUUCAGCCUGACCAUUAGAUUGUGGAUGAUAUGUUGUAGCUACCUUGUGUCUGACUCCAUAUUUUACCAUUGCUGCAGCAAAUACUUUGUUGCAAAAAUGUGUGCCCUCAUCACCAAUAAUUGCUCUAGGAGUGCCAAACCUGGAAAACACUUUUUUUUUUAAAGAAAAGCUACCACAGUUUUAGCAUCAUUGGUAGGUAAUGCUGCAGCUUCUACCCACUUGGAGACAUAAUCCACAAUAACAAGGAUAUAUAAGUUCCCAAAAGAUGGUGGGAAUGGUCCCAUAAAGUCUAUUCCCCAGACAUAAAAAAUCUCCACUUCCAGGAUGUUGGUCAAUGGCAUUUCAUGUCUUCUAGUUAUGUUCCCUGUCCUUUGACACCUGUCACAAUAUUUAACAAAUUCAUAUGCAUCUUUAAAAAUAGUGGGCCAAUAAUUGCAUAACUUUGGCAGCUGUUCUGUGACCACCAAAAUGUCCUCCAUAUGCCGCAGCAUGACAUGACUCCAGUAUAUGAGGUAUUUCUUCUUCUGUAACACAUCUUCUUAUUACUUGAUCUGAGCAUAGCUUAUAUAAAUGUAGGUCAUCCCACUGAUAGGUUCUAGCAUCAUGAAUAAAUUUCUUUUUCUCUUGAAACUUCAGCUCAGGUGGUAGCAACCCACUUACUAAAUAAUUAGCAAAGUCUGUAUACCAUGAAGAUUCUGACUGCUGCAGCAUCUGUGCUUGUUGUACUACCAGCAGCUGUUCAUCAGGAAAAUUUUCAAUGAUGCCCUUCCUUGUCAAUGUACUAGUAUCUGCUUCCAACCGUGACAAGUGGUCUGCCACUUGAUUUUCAGUCCCUUUUCUAUCUUUAAUUUCCAGAUCAAAUUCUUGAAGCAAUAAGAUCCAUCUGAUUAAUCUUGGUUUGACAUCCUUCUUUGAAAUUAAAUAUUUGAUGGCUGCAUAGUCUGUGUAAACAGUUACUUUAGUACCCAUCAGGCAAGCUCUGAAUUUGUCAAAAGUAAAAACUACUGCCAGUAACUCUUUCUCUGUAGUGGUGUAAUUGAUCUGAGUUGGAGUGAAAGUUUUGCUUGCAUAGUAUAUGGAAUGAAAAACCUUAUCCUUUCUUUGCCCUAAUACUGGCCCCACAGAAUAAUCACUAGCAUCACACAUCAAUUCAAAUGGUAAAUUCCAAUCUGGAGAUAUAACUACUGGAGCAGUGAUCGGGGCUUUCUUUAAUUCUUCAAAUGCUUGAAGGCACUCUUUGUCAAAGUGAAAUGGUUUGUCAUGCUCCAGCAAUGAACACAAAGGCUUAGCUACUUUGGAAAAAUCCUUAAUGAAUCUUCUGUAGAAUCCAGUAUGACCCAAAAAACUCCUAAUACCCUUUACUGAAGUUGGAGGUGGCAGUUUAUUUAUUACCUCUAUCUUGGCUUUGUCCACCUCAAUACCAUCCUUGGAUAUCUUGUGACCCAACACUAUUCCUUCUUGCACCAUGAAAUGACACUUCUCCCAAUUGAGUACUAAGUUGGUCAUCUCACAUCUUUUAAGAAUUUCUUCCAAGUUGUGUAAACAAUUACUGUAUGUUUAUCCAAAAACUGAGAAAUCAUCCAUGAAAACUUCCAAAUUCUGCUCCACCAUAUAAGAAAAUAUAGACAUCAUGCAUCUCUGAAAAGUUACUGGAGCAUUGCAUAGCCCAAAUGGCAUUCUUCUGAAGGCAAAUGUUCCAUAAGGACAAGUAAAUGCAGCAUUCUCUUGAUCCUCUGGAGCUAUAGGAAUUUGGUUGUAGCUUGAAUACCCAUCUAAGAAACAGUAGUAUUGUUUUCCAGCAAGUUUAUCCAGUAUCUGAUCUAUGAAUGGAAGUGGGAAAUGGUCUUUCCUUGUGGCUUUGUUGAGCUUCCUGUAAUCCAUACACACUCUCCAUCCAGUCACUGUCCUUGUAGGAAUAAGUUCAUUCUUCUCAUUAGCCGUUACUGUUAUCCCUCAUUCUUGAACACAUGUNNNNNNNNNNNNNNNNNNNNNNNNNNNNNNNNNNNNNNNNNNNNNNNNNNNNNNNNNNNNNNNNNNNNNNNNNNNNNNNNNNNNNNNNNNNNNNNNNNNNGCCUUCUCUGGUGCUCCACCGAAUUGCUGGAACAAUCUUCUAACAGGAUUUUAUGCAUACAUAUAGAUGGGCUGGUCCCCUUUAUAUCUGCCAUAGUCCAUCCAAUUGCUCUUCUGUAUUUCCCAGCAAAUCUACUAAGCUCUGUUCUUGACCUGCAUUCAAAGUAGAAGAAAUGAUUACAGGGAGUGUGUUGUUUUGACCAAGAUAAGCAUACUUCAAAUGUGAAGGUAACAAUUUUAAUUCAAAACUAGGAGGUGAUUCAAUAGAUGGUAAAGUUAUUGUUACUUCCCUGUCUGAAAGAUUCAGGUGUUCAAUAACCCUAUUGUGCCUAUUAGAUUGCUGUUUGUCCAUCCAAUAUGUUUGACUUGCUGCAACAUCUUCCUCUUCAACAUCCUCAAAGGUGGUGACUUUGUCAAGUACAUUACUGCAGCAUCUGUCCAUUCUGUCUGCUACAAUAAGAUCUACUACACUUAGGAAAUUGCAAUCUUCUAUUUCAUCAAGGUUUCUCAUAGCCUCUAAUACAUUAAAUGUGACUUGCUGAUCAUUCACUCUCCUUUCUGCACAUCUAUCAGAGUCUUUCCAGUUGCUAGAAAAGGUUUGCCAAGUAUAAUGGGUACCUCUUUGUCAGCUUCAAAGUCCAGCAUAAUGAAAUCCACUGGAAAAAUGAAUUUGUCAACUUUCACCAGUACAUCCUCUAUCUUUCCUUCAGGAUAUGCAUGAGAUCUGUCAGCUAAUUGCUAAGUGACAGUUGUUGGUCUGCACUCUCCGACUCCAAGCUGCUUAAAUACAGAUAAUGGCAUCAAAUUAAUACUAGCUCCCAAGUCACAAAGUGCUCUGCCAGCAUACCUAGUCCCUAUAGAGCAGGGUAUUGUAAAACUCCCUGGAUCUUUCAAUUUUGUGGGAAUUUUACUCUGGAGCAUAUGACUGCUUUCUUGUGUUAAAGCAAUAGUUUCAAACUCUCCCAGCCUUCUUUUUCGUGCCAAGAUAUCUUUUAGAAAUUUCACAUAAUUUGGUAUUUGCUCUAAAGCUUCCACAAAAGGUAUAUUUAUGUGCAGUUGCUUCAGCACUUCCAAGAAUUUGCUGAACUGCUUGUCUUGUUUUUGCUUCUGAAACCUUUAAGGGAAGGGUGGUGGAUGUCUAAACUGCUGGUUAGAUUCAGGAGGUACCAAAUUAUGUUUGUUUAGGUUGGUGCAGGUUGUGGCUACUAGUGUUGCAACUUCCUUUUCAGCAUGAUCUGGUUGCAUUUCUUCUGCAGUUGCUGUAGCUUGGCCCCUUAAAUCAGUGUCUUGAUGGGGAGUUUGUUGUAACAGGCUUCCCUUUUGAGUUGGUUUUUGAGCUGAAUUGCAUUCCAUCCCAUUUUUGGUCACUUCAACUGGGAUAUCAACAUUCUUUUCAGAUCUCAAACUAAUUAUUUUGUAGUGUUCUUUGCUCUCUCUCAUAGGCUCUUCUGUAUUGCUAGGUAGGCUUUCUUGAGUUCUGCUGCUCAUUGCUGUAGCUAAUUGUCCUAUUUGGUUCUCAAGGUUUCUCAAGGACACAGCUUGACUCUACACAAUUGCUCCAUUCUUUGCAAUGUACUCCUUGAUCAGUGCUUCCAAUGAAGUGAUUGGAUCUUGACUGAUAUGAAAACUAGGUGGUUGUGUGUUUUUACUUAGUCCAUUCAAUGCUGGAGCAUUUCGAUUUUGAUUGCUCAAUGAGAAAUUUAAGUGUUGUUUCCAGCCUGGGUUGUAAGUAUUUGAAUAUGGGUUGUUCUGAGGUUGUCGACGGAAGUUACCCAUAUAGUUUACUGAGGCUGGAUUUCCAGGACAAUUAUCAAAAUCAUGUUCUUCACCACAGUAGACACAAGAAAGUUCAAUAACUUGCUUUACUGUUGCUGGAGCAGCUGUCAUGGCUUUUACCAUGUUAGUCAAUAAGGUUACUUGAGCUGACAAGGCUGUAAUUGCAUCAAUGCUAUGUACCCCUACUGUUUGUCUUGCUGUUGGUUGCCUGGCUGAAGGCCACUGGUAAUUAUUAUUGGCAAUUCUUUCCAGAAUUUCAUAAGCUUCAGUGUAGGAUUUGGAUAACAGAGCUCCAUUUGCUGAAUCAUCCACCAUUAACCCUGUACUCGGAUUCAACCCAUUGUAGAAAGUUUCCAAUUGAAUGCAACAAGGAAUACCAUGAUGAGGAUACCUUCUGAGCAAGUCCUUGAACCUUUCCCAAGCCUCGUACAAACUCUCAUCUUCAAGUUGAUGGAAGGUGUUGUGCAAAUUUUACUGAACUCGCAAGCGCACGAAUCUAUUGUAGUAUAGAUCAAUGGUGACGAGUGUCGAUCCCACGAGGAGGUGGAUUUUAAUUGUGUGUAGAAUUAAUUUUUCUAAAUGGGUGGUUGGAUUUGUGGUGAAAAUUAUUUGGAUUAUCUUAAAAUUGGAAUUUAAAUGGCGAGAAUAAAUUGAAUAGAAAUCUAUUAAAAUGGCGUACUUGGGUAUCUGGAUCUGUAUCAACAUGCAUCAUGGGCUAAAUAAUCCUUAUUAAUGUCAAUUAAAUCAUGAGAGGGGAAUCCACACCUCAUGAACCACGCUCUAAUCAAUAUGGUGUUAAGGGCUUAUCGUGCCAAAUAAUAAUAACCUUGUACUAGCAGGCCGGUGAAACCAAGGCGGUACUAGACAAGAUUAAUAUUAUUUGUCGACGAGAAGUCAAAACAUCCACAAAAAUUAGAGGGGAAGAGAAAGUAAAUUUACUAAAUAAAGCCCAUGACACAUGUUGAGACUUCACCUUCAACCCAAGCUUGAAAGAAAAUUAGCCACUCAUAAUUGAACUAGGGGCAAAAUGAGAAUUUAUUAAAAUACAUACAAAAUACAAGAUGGAGAAGGAAUUACAGAAAAUGAAUCCCAAAAAUAGAUUCAGAGCUAUCAAAUUAGGGGGGAAAGGCUCACUUUUUAUAGAUACAUGGAGUAAAUCAUGACCAUCGGAUUAAAAACAGUUUGGACGCUCAGGAUUGCGCCACGUCAUCAGUCAACAGUAUGCGGUUUGACCACGUGGAUGAACAGUAACACAGUUUGACCCGGGUUGAACAGUGACGCGGUUUGGUUGAAAAUAAUCUUGUGUGAUGCAUGUACCGUACGCGAGAUUUUUCGUCCACUAAUAUGCUGCCACGUCACCAUCAACAGUACAUAGGAAUUUUAGCCCAAUAGGAUCAUGACACCUCAUCAGUCAAUGCACAUCAUCGAUCUGUCUAUGUGAACAGUGUCAUGAACAGUAACGUAGACAGUACCGUACACGUGAAUAGUACCGUACAUAUGAAUAGUGCCAUUUUUCCUUUUAUGCUCCUCCUAAGGUUUUCGACCGUCCUGAGUUUAAAAGUGAUAUUUGUUUUGCCGUCUUAUCUCUCGUUUAUUGUGAAAUGACCAUGAUGCCCCUAAAAUACAUAAAAUACUUAAUUAAAAUCAAACACACAUAAUUAAAUUGCAAAAAGCUUAAAUACAUAAAAGUAAGGGUUGUUAGUAAAACUUGAAAUGUAAAAUGAUGAUUUUCUCCUUUAUAAAUAUACAUUUUAUAACACUCAACAGAAGGAUGUAAUCUCAUUUCGUAAUUUUGCAUUCUUUGUCGGUGGGAAAUAUUUCAUUAGGAAUUUAUCUGCCAAUUCAUUCCAUGUAGUGAUGGAAUCAGAUGGUAAUGAAUGUAACCAUGCCCUUGCUCGAUCUCUUAAGGAAUAAGGAAAUAGCCUCAGCCUUAAGGCAUCUUGUGUUGCUCCAGCAAUCUUGAAAGCAUCAUUUACUUCCAAGAACAAUUUAGAGAUGGAGAUGAGGAUCUUCAUUUGGCAAUCCAUUGAAUUGCCCAACUGUUUGUAACAUUUGAAACAUCACUGGCUUUAACUCAAAGUUGGCAGCGUCUACUUCAGGUAUGAUGAUGCCAGGAUGGACAACUUAAGGAGUUAACACAACAUAAUCUCUUAUACCUCUGUCUCUGUCAUCAACCAUGUAAAUAAUAUUGUUAUCAAUGCCAAUGUGCAAGUAUACACAACAAGUAAUAAAGUGAUGAGUAUUCAAGAUCGUCUCCACAGGGAUUGAUGUAGCUCAAAAUGCUAAAGCAAUCACAAUAAUGCAAAUCAACUUUAAAGGUCGAAACAAACAAUUGUCAAAUAAUUCUAUCGUAAUUAUUAAUUGCGAGAGAUGGAAAUAAAACAAUACUGUAAUAAAGUAAACUAAGUUAAAGGUGUCUAAAAUUCAAUUGAGAAUAUAGUAGUUGAAUUAUCAAACUCUCCUAAUGGAGUAACUGUUGUUUACCGAAUUAGCACCAGUUGUUACAGUAAGUGCUGCAGCAAUGGGUAGAAUAAAUCUGCAUCCACAGGUAUCGCAUAUUGGAAAUCUCAUAUCUUUAAAUCUACUAACAAUGACCAGUUGUUCAUAUAUUUAUGGUAUGACAUAAUAACCUUUAAUCUCUCUACCCUACAAGGUGAACACCUAUGUCUAGAGUGUCACAAAUCUUAACUUCAAGUAGUGCCCUUAUGGGAUUUAAGAUAACAUAAUCCAGGAAACUCGACUUAAGAACGAGUAAUACUCUAAUAAUGUCCGCUAAGACAUGCCCUUUUGCUGCUCUAUCUUAACUGAAACUAUUAAAUGGGUGGUCAACCGAAAUAACAGUUGUAUUCAUAAAACUAUUAGAGUAUAAUGCUACAACAAUAGCAUAACAACAUAUAAGAACAGUCAAGAACCCAUUGGAUUAUUUGUCACUCAACUACACGUAAAUUUAGUUCAUAUUCUGAAUGAGAAAAGUAAACAUAAAUAUACUAAUCGCAGAAUACAUCCAAACAAUUUCAAGGAAUAAAGAUAAUAUGCGUUGAGCACGGUGAAAGACUAGUGAUCCUCCUCGGUUCUUCAAUGAUGCCAAACAGCACUCCUCGGUCUUGAUCUUUUUCUUCCUCUUCUUGCCUUUGUAAUUAAUUGGUUGGUAUUCUCUCGCUGCCCUUCUAUGUGAUGCACGCCUCCUUUUAUAUUCCAAAUUAGGGUAAAAACCAAAGCCCAUAAGCUUGCAUGCGUCUCAAUUAGGAAACAUGCAGAUCGCAACUUUAUGGUUGACCUGCGCUUUAAACUUUCUCCCGCAUUGCUCCCAGAUUGCUGCAGCACUGGUUGCUCUAACAUCCGCAACAGCACUGCAUUAUUCUCGAUUGUGCUUUUCUUCUUUUGUGGCCACCUUCUUUCCUCCUCUUACUCAUCUAAUGUCUCCGCAUCCUCCUCAUGAAUUUAAACCCUACAAUUAUGCACCUAUUUUUAGCACAAAUUACUUGAUUUAAGCAAAACUUAUUAAGAUCCAACUAAAAUGAAUGUUUAUGUAAAAGGUAACCAAAAUGUAAUAAAAACACCUUAGUUGCUCUCUAAAUGAUCUUGAUUCCAGUCUAGAAUUGAAGUAAUAACUCUCAUUUCCUAGAGUUAUCAAUACGCGUAGUAUCUCUUGGAAUAAUCAUCAAUGAAAGUUACCAAGUACUUUUCACCUCUCAGGAAUAUAUAUGGCAAUUCUAAAAUAUCAGAAUGAAUCAAGUUAAAGAUGCCUCUACUUCUGCCGCUAGAUCUAUUAAACUUGAAUUUAUGCUGCUUGUAACACAAUGGUCACAAAAUGAUGAGUUUUCAUAUUUAAACCUCGGAAGCAACUUUCGCUCAGAGAUAAUCUUUAAACCUUAUUUUGACAUGUGGCUAAGUUUGAGAUGCCACAUUAUUAUCGAUUCUUCUUCAUUUGAUGUGACACAUCAGCUUCUUAUAGUGUUUUCCCUUCAAGUAUGAAUAGAAUUAACACCGAUUUUUUCCACCUUCAUCAAUAGAAAUGCGCCUUUAACAAUCUUCAUGAUCCUAUUUUUCAUAUGAGCUUUGCGUCCAAGACACUCUAUUCGUUCUAAACACAAUAAAAUCUUUUUCAUGCCUUUGACAUGUCGUAUCUCCUUAAUUGUGUGAACUGUACCAUCAAACAUUUUUCUUUUGACAGCACCAAUACCAGAUAUUUCCAAGUCACCCGUGUACACAUAUUCUCUUAAAAAUGUCCAUAUUUGUGGAACCAUUCUCUUUAAGAGGCCAUGUGCCAUGUUGCUCUUAAGUCUAUAAGCUAAAUGUCAGCCAAAUGCUUCCUGUCCUCUGCAACAAUUGCUAUCUCGCUGUAGAGAAUUUUUCCAUCAUCAAAAGUACUUACCGUACAAUAAUGAGCAUUUGGUGACUGACCUUUAUUGUCUCUACUUUGCUUAUUUUUCUAACACUCUUUCUUAACGUGCUCUUUCUUGCUGUGAUUGUAGCAUUUAACAUUCUUCUUACUUCUUGAUUUUGAUAUACUAUGAUUGUGACCUCCACUGAGGCCACAUUUUGUUGAUCUAUUUCUAGUCAUCGAUAAUGCUUUUGCAUGCUGCGAACUUCCUGCUUACUUUUCUUGUUUUUUUGUUUGCUUUCUUCAUUUAAUAUAGAGGUUACAACAUUGCCGAAGACUAGACUGUCUAUUUGGUUAUUGUUUGUUAGAUUAAUGAUGAGUUGAUCAUAUGAAUUUGAAAAGUGUAAAGUUUCCUUUUUAAGAAAAUCUUGUUUUGUAAAGACUUGUCCCCAUACAAUUUCGUAAGAGUAUCUCAUAUUUUCUUUGCUGUCUUUUUAUCUCCACACUAGAUAACACUUCAUUAGCCAAUGCUAAAUGUAGAUCCGUAGUUGCAUUACUGUCUACCUCGUUCCACUUGUCAUCAUCAGUUAUCUCCAUGGACUUUUCUCCUAUUGUUACCAUGCAAUUUUUUUCCCUCAAAAUAGCCUUCAUCUUUAUUUUCUACAAUGACGAAUUAUUUCCGUUGAGCUUAUCAAUUUUGUAUUUUUCCACCAUUGCUUUUUCACCACGAACUACCUUUGCUAGGAUUGGCUCCCAUCGUUUCACGUGAAUACUAACCAUAUAUGUGAAACAGUACUAUAUACGUGAAUAGUACUGUGACAACCAACUUGGCUCUAAUACCACUAUUAGGAAAUUAAUGGUGAAGCAGGGCCACAACUAAAAUGAAAUUGGAGAAAAAUAAAGAAUAAGCAUACAAAGAGGACGCUAGAAAUUACAUGGUUAAGCUUUUAACCUAUAUCUAUAGGCGAAGACAGAAUGAUAAAACUUCACUAGCGCAAAGAAGAUUAUAAGUAUUGUAAGAUUUUACCCUUACUUUCUAUAACCCAAUACACCUAAUCGCUCAAAUCACUAAACUCUCAAGAGUUUACGAUUUGAGCUCUCAAAACUCUCAGCUUCUCACUCUUGAUAGAAGAAACGAUUUGAAGAAAAAAAAAUGGAUUUUUUUUUUACGAAAUGGGCAUUAAUUUACAAUUUAUGGGGAACUCCUCUUUUUAUAGCCAAAGUCAUCUAUUAUUUUAAUUUCUUCUUUUUUUUAUCCUUGUCGUUGCUUCUUCAAUGUCGAAGCCAUAAACUGCCAUUUUCCUUCAAACUUUUUGGCGCCGACCACUAUUUGUCAAAUUCAACAUUUGUGGCUUCUUCUUUUACAGCAGCGGCUUCUACAUUUGAUAGCCAAGCCAACAAGCCAUAGACAAAAGAAGAAGCACUCGGUUACUAUCGAUGGUUGUUAAGCAGUCAAACAGCCUAGAUGACAGAUGAAAAAAACAUUUAGGCAAUCUACGGUCUCAUUUUUUACUUUCGCAAAAAAAUCCUUGCACGACCCCCUCUUCAAUUUCCAAUUUUAUUAUUCCCUCUUCAUUUUUAAUAUUUUUCCCUUUGCAAAUCCUCUUUAAAAUCGUUUGAUCAAGUAGCCUAUCACUUUUAAAAAUAAGCAGUUCAGGUGGUUCACUACUUAUUACUACUUUUCGAUAAGUUUCAUGACAUGGAUUCAACUUAAAACACAUUCGAUGCUCUCAGAUUCUCUACAUUGUAAGUUAUGUGAAACAUAAUUAAGGAAUUGCCUAAUAUAAAUUAUUUAAAAUAUAUUUUAUUAAAAGUAUUGUGUCUUUCCACACAUUUUAGAAGUUUUUGGGAUUGAUGCCAACUUAGAGUUAUCCAAGUCUUUUCUUUUUAAAUAAAUAAGUAAAUAAUUCAUUCUGCAUUUUGGUUCAUACAGAGCAUGAAUAUAGCUACAAUCAAAUUCGACAGUUAUGUUUCUCAUUUUGUAGAAAACUCUAUUGUACAGAAUUCACUACUAAAAAAUUAGUCUUUAAUGACGAUUUUAAAAGACAUAAGAUGACAGUUUAAAACCAUCAUCUUAGACAGCGACAUUAAAAUGGGUACACCUUUUAUGACGGUUCAAAAACCGUCAUUAAAUGUAUACACAUAAUCACGGUAUUAAACAAUCAUUAUUUGUGAUAUAUUCUAGAGUUUUAAUGACGGAUUUUUCUUAAAAACCGUCAUUAAAAACAAUGAUGGUUCUUUAAAUAACGGUCAUCAAUAGCACUUUAGCAUAUAUUUUAAUGACGGUUUUCUUCAAAACCGUCAUUAAAUGUUUCUUUUAAUGACGAUUAUUAAAAAAACCAUCAUUAAAUGUUUCUUUUAAUGACGGUUAUUAAAAAAACCGUCAUUAAAUGUCAAUUUUUAAUGACGGUUUUAUAUAAAACAAUCAUCUUAUAUAGGUCUUUGAUGACCGUUCUUAUAUAAGAACCGUCAUCUUUUGCAUGAGUAAAAAGAAAAAAAAUAGUAAUUUAAAAUUACCAUGCUUUAAUUUUUUUUAGAUUAAAAUUUACAUAGUUGUUUUCACAUUCUAAAUUGUACAAUUGAAGCCGCAUUUGCAAAAUUUCAAUUUACAUUACACAUUGAUAUAAUUGUCAUUCACAUACAAAGAAUUCAAAUACAUACAAGCUUAAUUAUAACAGUUUAGUGCUUAAACAACCUUGAUCAAAGUAACUCCUAAUAAUGAAAAAAAUAUGCUACACGAAUUCUCAAAUUAAAAUCCUGUCAAAGUCAUGGUUGGCACCACCUUUCUAGAUGGGCGGUGCCAAACCAUCAAUAUUUUCAACACGGCUCGCCAUUUUUGGUGGUGACGAAAUGCUUCAAGAAGAAAAGGGAGAAAAAAGAACAAAAGAAGAAAGAAGAAGCCGAAAGAUUUGAAAGGAAAAAUAAUAAACUAUUAAUAAUAUUAUUUUAUUGGAAAAAAGGAAGGGAAAUGAAGCCUAUAAAUAGAAGGCUUCAAUUCCCUUCUCGGCAUCCUAUUCUUCAGUUUUCAAUUUUUUGUGAAAGAGGAAAAAUUAAGAGUUUUAAUACUCUUGUGUAAUUAGUGAGUGAGAGAUUGGGUGUACUGAGGUUCUAGAAAGUGAGCCAAAAUAUUACAAUACUUGUAAUCCUUAUAUCACUAGUAAAAUAUUUUCCUUCUGUAUUCGCCCGUGGAUGUGGGCUAAAAGUCGAACCACAUAAUUUUAUGGUGUCCUUUUUUGUGCUUGUUCUUUAUUUUCUUCCAAUUUUAUUUUAAUUGUGGCCCUGCUUCACCCAUCAAUUUCCUAACAGUGGUAUCAGAGCUAGGUUGUAUUUUUUGGAGUCAGGGUACUGUUCAUGUAAAAGUACUAUUCACGUAUAUGGUAUUGUUCAUGUAUAAGGCAUUAUUCACAUAUACGAUACUGUUAAUGUAUACGAUAUUAUUAACGUAUACGACAUUGUUCACACAUAUGGUUGUUGUUCACGUGAAACGGUAGGAGCGAUUCUAGCAAAGUUAGUUUUUGGUGAAAAGCAAUGGCAGCAAAAUACGAAAUUGAGAAGUUCAACGGAAAUAAUUUUUCAUUGUGGAAAAUGAAGAUAAAAGUUGUAUUUAGGAAAAAUAAUUGCUUGGCAGCAAUUGGAGAAAAGCCUACGGAGAUAACUGAUGACAAGUGGAACAAGAUAGAUGGCAACGUUAUUUCUGAUCUAUACUUGGCACUUGCGGAUGGAAUAUUAUCCAGUGUGGCAGAAAAAAAAGACAGCAAAGAAAUAUGGGAUACUCUCACAAAAUUGUACGAGACCAAGUCACUGCACAAUAAGAUCUUCUUAAAAAGGAGACUAUACUUUUCGAAUGACGGAAUCUACAUCAGUGACUGGCCACAUCAACACCUUGAAGACUCUAUUUUCACAACUCCCAACAUUUGGUCAUAAUAUAGAGGAAAAUGUAUGUGCAGAGCUUUUAUUUCAGAGUCUAUCAGAUUCGUAUGAUCAACUCAUUAUCAACCUUACAAACAACAAUCCAGCGGACAGUCUAGUUUUCGACGAUAUUACCGCUUCCGUAUUAAAUGAAGAAAAUAGGCGAAAAAAAUAAGGAAGACAGACAAGUAAGUUUGCAGUAAGCAGAAGCACUAUCGGUAACAAGAAGGAGAUCAACGGAACGUGGCCUCAGUGAGAGUCACAAUCAUGGUAGGUCAAAAUCAAGAAGUAAGAAGAAUGUCAAAUGCUAUGAUUGUGGCAAGAAAGUGCACGUCAAGAAAGAGUGUUGGAGUAACCAGAAGAGAAAAGAGGGUAAAGAACUUGAGUCAUCAAAUGCUCAGGGGUGUGUAGCAAGUACCUCGGAUGAUGGCGAAAUUCUCUAGAGCAAGGCAACAACUAUUUCAUAAAGCAGAAAACGGCUAUCUGACGUCUGGCUUAUAGACUCAGGAGUUACAUGACAUAUGACCUCUCGGAGAGAAUGGUUCCACACAUAUGAACCUAUCUUAUGAGGAUCUGUAUAUAUGGGAGAUGAUCAUGCCUUGGAGAUUGCUGAUAUUGGUACUAUUAAAAUAAAAAAUAUUUGAUGUUAUUCAUACAAUUAAGGAAGUACAACAUGUCAAAGGCUUGAGGAAGAAUCUAUUAUCUUUAGGACAAAUGGAUAGUUAUGGGUACAAAACUCAUGUGGAGAAUGGAAUUAUGAAGAUUGUUAAAGGCGCGCUUGUAUUGAUGAAGGUAGAAAAGAUCGGUGCUAAUAUAUUCAUGCUUAAAAGGGAAACAUUGCAUGAAGCUGAUGUGUCUGUUGCAUCAAAUGGAGAAGAGUCAAUGAUGAUGUGGUAUCUCAAACUUGGCCAUAUGUCAAAACAAAGUUUGAAGAUUUUCUCUGAGCAAAAAUUGCUUGUAGGGCUCAAAUUGGUAAGCUUACCAUUUUGCGAGCAUUGUGUUACAAGUUAGCAACAUAGAUUAAACUUUAGUAGAUCUAUUGUUAGAAGUAAAUGCAUUUUAGACUUAGCUCACUUUGAUGUUUAGGAAUCACCAGACAUAUCCAUGGGAGGCGUAAAGUACAUGGUGACUUUCAUUGAUAAUUAUUCCAGGAGAUGUUGGGUGUAUCCAAUUAAGAAAACGUCAUAUGUAUUUUCAGUGUUUAAAGAGUACAAAGUGCAGGUAGAACUUGAAUCCGAUAAAAGGAUUAAGUGCUUGAGAACAGAUAAUGGUGAAGAGUAUACAUAUAACAAGUUUUUUGCUUUCUGUAAGUAAGAAAGUAUUCAGAGGCAGUUCACGGUAGCAUACACUCUUCAACAAAAUGGAGUGGCAGAGCGAAUGAACAAGACUCUUACAUAAUGAAUAAGAGCUAUGUUGAUUUAUUAUAGGCAGAAGCAACCAAAAAUGCUUGUUAUAUAGUAAAUCAGUCGCCAUCCACAGUAAUUGGGCUGAAGACAACGAUAGAGAUGUAGACUGGAAAGCCAGCUAAUUACUCCUACCUAUAUGCAUUAGGAUGUUCUGUGUACGUGAUGUAUAAUGUCCAAGAAAAAACAAAGUAAGAUCCUAAAUUUAGGAGGUGUAUCUUCUUGGGGUAUGCUGAUGGAGUAAAUAGGUAUCGUCUGUGGGACCCCACUGCCCACAAGAUUUUCAUCAGUAGAGAUGUUAUCUUUGUAAAAGAUCAACUACAAAGGAGAGAUGAGGAUGAUAGGGCCGUAAAAGAAAAGUCAGAGACUGUACCAGUAUAUGUGAAAAAUAAUAUGGAAAAAGAAAAUUCAGAUUCUUUUGAAGCAGCACCGGAGCAUGAUGAACAAGAACCAGUCGAGUCUGAGGUUCCAGAAGUUCGUUGGUUAACUCGUGAGAGACGACCACGAGUGUGGUACUCGGAGUAUGUCACAGAGAUAAUGUUGUAUACUGUCUUCUAACAGAGGAUGGAGAGCCAUCAACUUUCCAUUAAUCUUUAAAUAGCUCAGAUGUUACUUUGUGGAUGACAGCAAUGCAGGAGGAAAUUGAAGCUCUACACAAGAAUAAGACAUAAGAAAGAAAGUGGAGCGGUAUCGUGCAAGAUUGGUGGUGAAAGGAUAUGCUCAGAAAGAAAGUAUUGACUUCAAUGAGAUAUGUUCUCCGGUGGUUCGACUCACAAUAGUCAGAGUAGUCUUGGCAAUGUGUGCUAUAUUUGACCUACAUCUAGAGUAGUUGAUGUGAAAACUGCAUUUCUUCAUAGAGAACUUGAAGAGAAAAUUUAUAUGCUCCAACAAGAAGGUUUUACUGAAAUAGGAAAGGAGAACUUGGUUUGCAGGUUGAAAAAAUCUCUAUACGGUCUCAAACAGGUGUUGAGGUGUUGGUAUAAGAGAUUUGAUUCCUUUAUCAUGAGCUUUGGAUACAACAGACUCAGUUCAAACCAUUGUGUAUAUUACAAGAGGUUUGAAGAUAAUGAUUUCAUCAUUUUACUGUUGUACGUGGAUGACAUUUUAGUAGCAGGCCCCAAUAAAGAUCGAGUCCAAGAACUAAAGGCACAAUUGGCUAGGGAGUUUGAAAUGAAGGACUUAGGAUUAACUAAUAAGAUUCUAAGGAUGCAAAUUCACCGAGACAUAAAUAAUAGGAGGACUUGACUUUCUAAGAAGAACUACUUGAAGAAAAUCUUACGACGCUUUAAUAUGCAAGAUUGUAAGCCAAUUUCUACCCCACUUCCUGUUAAUUUCAAGUUAUCCUCAAGUAUCUAUCCUAGCAAUGAAGCAGAGAGAAGGAAGAUGUCUCGAGUACCAUAUACAUCAGCAAUGGAAAGUUUAAUAUUUUUUAUGAUUUGUAUAAGACCAGACAUUGCACAAGCAGUGAGAGCGGUCAAUUGAUACAUGGCGAAUCCUGGUGGAGAACAUUGGAAAAUUGUGAAGAUGAUUAUGAGAUACAUCAGAAGAACUCUGAUGUUGCAUUAUGUUAUAGAGGAUCAUAAUUUAUUGUCAGGGGCUACGUGGAUUUAGAUUUUGCAGGAGACAUUGAUAAAAAAAAACUACUACUAGUUAUGUGUUUAUACUUGCAAGAGGAGCUGUAAGCUGGGUUCCAAAACUAUAGACCGUUGUGGCUCUAUCUACAAAAAAUAAAAUAAAAUACAUGGCAGCUACAUAAGCUUGCAAGGAAGCUAUUUGGAUACAAAGGUUAUUAGAGGAGCUCGGACACAAACAAGAGAAAAUUUAUGUGUUUUGUGACAGUCAAAGUACCUUGCACAUUGCAAGGAAUCCAGCCUUUCGUUCCAAGACAGAGCACAUAGGAGUUCAAUAUCACUUCGUUCGAGAAGUAGUGGAAGACGGAAGUGUGGAUUUACAGAAAACUCAUACAAAGGAGAACCUAGCAGAUGUUAUAACCAAGCAAAUCAAUAUUGACAAGUUUGUAUGGAAUAGAUCCUCUUCUGGCCUAGCAGAGACGUAAGCAGCAUAACAAUAGCGAAACAGAAAGGAUGGUGUGGAGAUUGAUUGAUCCUCAAUCAAAUCUCCAAGUGGAAGAAUGUCAAAGUCAUGGUUGGCACCACCCUUCUAGAUAGGCGGUGCCAAACCAUCAACAUUUUCAACACGGCCCGCCAUUUUUUAUGGUACCGAAAUGGUUGAAGAAGAAAAAUGAGAAAAAAGAACAAAAAAAGAAAGAAGAAGCCGAAAGAUUUGAAAAGGAAAAAUAAUAAAAUAAUAAAAUAUUAUUUUAUUGGAAAAAAUGAGGGGAAAUGAAGCCUAUAAAUAGAAGGCUUCAAUUCCUUCUCGGCAUCCCAUUCUUCAGUUUUUAAUCUUUUAUGAGAGAGGAAAAAUUAAGAGUUUUAAUACUUUUGUGUAAUUAGUGAGUGAGAGAUUGGGUGUAUUGGAGUUCUGAGAAGUAAGCCAAAAUAUUACAAUACUUAUAGUCCUCAUAUCACUAGUGAAAUAUUUUCCUUCUGUAUUCGCCGGUGGUUGUAGGCUAAAGGCCGAACCACAUAAUUUUCUGGUGUUCUCUUUUGUGCUUGUUCUUUAUUUUCUUCUAAUUUUAUUUUAACUGUGGCUCUGCUUCACCCAUCGAUUUCCUAACAAAUCCAAUAUUAUAUAAUUAUACAAACAAAUAUAUAAAUUAAAAAACAAAUAAAGACUAUAUUUUGUGCUUACAUAAGGUGGUAUUUGCACUUGGAACAUUUACACCGAGCUAGCAAGCUUGCUGAUAACUCUAUGAAAUGAGAGUUAUUACAGCAAUUCUAAAUUUAAAUUAAGAUCACUUAGAGAGUAAAUAAUGUGUUUUUAGUGCAUUUUUGUUACAUUUUGCAUAAAUAUUCAUUUUAUUUUAGUCUUAAUAAGUUUUGCUUGAUUUAGAUUAAUUCAUGCUCAAAUUGUGUGCAUAAUCGUAGGUUUCCAGAAGCUUGUGAUUCAAGGAAAGAAUGCUGAAUUAUUGGGUUGGCACAAAGGAUGAAGAAUAUGGCCACAAAAGGAGUGAAACAAAAUCUGGAACAGUACAGUGCUAGAGCCGUUGCUGGAGGAGCCAUGCUGUAGCAAUUCUGGAACAACGAUAGAGAAAACAUAGCACGGAAAAUCUGCAAGAUUGCGAUCUGCAGUUUCCUAAUCUGACUCAUGCGUGCCCUAGGCUUUUGUUUACCCUAAAUGUCAGUUAUAAGAAGAGGCGAGCAACACAUAAAACGACGACAAGGAAUUAACAUAGAAAAAAUCAAGAGGAAAAGAAGAACACAAUCAAAAUUCAAGGGAACAGAUGCCACAUCAUUGAAGAAUCCAGCAGAGUUGUUUGGAUUUAGUCUUUAUCGUUCUUUACUUGUUCUUUUCUCAACUCUUUGAUUGAACCAAUGUAUUUCGUGACCAUUGGUUUGCUGUUUGUUUUUCUUUUUCAAAGUAUGAACUAAACUUGCUUGUAGUUGAGUGACAAACAAUAUGAAUGGGUUUUUGACUGCUCUUAUGAGUUGCUGUAUGAUUGCUAUAGCAUUUUACUCUAGUAGCUAUUAUUAUAACUGUUAUUUUGGUUGACCACCCAUUUAAUGGUUCAAGUUAAGAUAGAGCCGCAAAAGGACCUGUCUUAGUGGAUAUUAUUAGAGUAAUACUUGAUCUUAAUUUGAGUUUCCUGCAUUAAGGUUAGCUUUAAUCCGAUAAGGACUAUACUUGAAGUUAAGAAUUGUGAAGAACUAGACAUAGGUAUUCACCUUGUAGGGUCGAUAGAAUGGACGUUCACAAUGCCAUGCCUCAGGUAGAAUAAUAACUGGUCAUUGUUAGGACACUUAAAGGUAUGAGAAGUCCAACACGCGACAGCUGAGGAUGCAAAAUAAUUCUGCCCAAUACUGUAGGAAUUGCUGUAGCAACUGGUAUUAAUUUGAUGAAAAGCAGUCAGUCCAUGAAGAGAGUUUGAUCAUUCAACUAUCGCAUUCUCAAUUGAUUCUUUUACGCAAUUUACUCAAUUUAUUUCACUACUGCAGUUAUUUGUUUUAUUUCCUUACAAUUGUUAAUUUUGGUAGUAAACAAUUUUAAAUUUAUUCAUCUCGAAAUAAAGGUAGAUAGCACUAUUGUGAUUCCUUUAGCAUUUCUAGUCACAUCAAUCCCUGUGGAGACGAUCUUAGAUACUCAUCACUUUAUUACUUGUUGUGUACACUUGCACAUUGACAUUAAUAGCAAUUGAGUUUAAAAUUAACCAACAAGUUUUUGGCGCUGUUGCCGGGGAUUGAUUGUUUAUUUUCGAAGUGUGAAGUAAAUCUUGAUAGUGCCAACUUGAUCUAAUUUGUUUUAUUUAUUGACAGAUCAACACUUGCAUGAGCAAAGACAGAAUUGUUGUAUUCCAAUUUGAUCCUUAGAUUGAAAGGACUGUAAGGAGACUGCAAAGAGAACAAAGAAAUUUAAAAACUGUUUCAGACAUGGAUAAUCUGUAGGAUGUGGGAAACUUGGACCCUCAUGGGCCACUACAACCUGUCAACAUUCAAGAGGGGCUGAAUGAGCAUAUUAAUCAGAGACAGCCAUGCAACAAUAAUAUUAUUUACGUGGUUGAUGACAGAGACAGGACUAUCAGAGAUUAUGUUGUGUUAACUCCUCAAGUUGUACAUCCUGGGAUAGUCAGACCUGAAGUGGAAGCUGCAAACUUUGAACUUAAACCAGUGAUGUUCCAAAUGCUGGAAACAGUGGGUUAAUUCAAUGGACUACCAAAUAAAGAUCCUCACCUCCAUAUUAAGUUAUUUUUUGGAAGUGAGUGAUGCUUUAAGACUAAGGCUUUUUCCUUAUUCCUUAAGAGAUCGAGCAAGAGCAUGGUUGAGUUCAUUACCCUCUGAUUCUAUAACUACAUGGAAUGACUUGGCUGAUAAAUUCCUAAUGAAGUAUUUUCCACAACCAAAAAUGCAAAAUUACGGAAUGAGAUCACUUCAUUUCAUCAACUUGAAGAUGAGAGUUUGUAUGAUUCUUGGGAGAGAUUUAAAGAGCUGCUCAGAAGGUGUCCUUAUCAUGGCAUUCCUUGUUGCAUACAGUUAGAGGCUUUCUAUAAUGGGUUGAAUCCAAUUACGAGAUUGAUGGUUAAUGCUUUAACAAAUGGAGCAUUGUUAUCUAAAUCCUACACUGAAGCUUAUGAAAUCUUAGAGAGAAUUGCCAACAAUAAUUAUCAGUGGACAUCAACUAGACAGCCAGCAGCAAGAGGUGCAGCAGGGGUAUAUAGUAUAUAUGCUAUUACAACAUUAUCAGCACAAGUAACCUCAUUGACUAACAUGGUGAAAGUCAUGACUUCUGCUCCAACAGCAGUAACUGUCUUGUGUGUAUUGUGGUGAAGAACAUGACUUUGAUAACUGCCCUGGAAAUCCAGUAUCAGUAAAUUAUGUGGGUAAUUUCAACCGACAGGUUCAAAACAACCCAUAUUCAAAUACUUACAACCCUGGAUAGAAGCAACACCCAAAUUUCCCAUGGAGCAGUCAAAAUAGAAAUGCACCAGCAUUGAAUGGACGGAAUAUGAACACUCAACCACCUAGUUUUCAUCAACAGAGUCAAGGGCAAAAACACACCAGCCAAGAUCCACUCACUUCAUUCGAAGCAUUGAUUAAGGAAUACGUUGCAAAGAAUGAAGCAAUUGUACAGAGUCAAACUGUAUCAUUGAGAAAUCUAGAAAACUAAAUGGGACAACUUGCCACAGCAAUGAGUAGCAGAACUCAAGGAAGCUUACCCAAUAAUACAGAAGAUCCAAGAAAAGAGAGAAAAAAACACUGCAAAGUAAUCAACUUAAGAUCUGGAAAGAACAUUGAUAUCCCUGUUGAUGUGACUAAAAAAUGGCUGGAACUUAAUUCCUCACAAAAACCACCUCAAGAUGAGAGUACGUUACAACAACCUAACCAUCAAGAUACUGGUGUUAGGAGCUAAGCUUAGGCAAAUAUGAAAGGAAAUCAGUCAGUACAUACUGAGAAAGAAGUUGCAACACCAGUGGUAAUAACCUACAACAAACCAAAUGAGCAGGGUUUGGUACUUUCUGAAGCUACCCAGCAGUUUAGGCAUCCACAUCUUUUCCCACAGAGAUUCCAGAAGCAAAAACAAGACAAGCAGUUCAGCAAAUUCCUUGAAGUACUGAAGUAAUUACACAUCAACAUACUUUUUGUGGAAGCUUUGGAACAAAUGCCUAAUUAUGUGAAAUUUCUAAAAGUUAUAUUGGCAAAAAAGAGAAGGUUGGGAGAAUUCGAAAUUAUUUCUUUAACACAGGAAAGCAGUCAUAUGCUCCAAAGUAAGAUUCCUAAAAAAUUGAAGGAUCCAGGAAGCUUCACAAUACCAUGUUCUAUUGGAAUUAUGUACAAUGGCAGAGCACUCUGUAAUUUGGGAGCCAGUAUUAAUCUAAUGUUAUUAUCUGUAUUUAAACAUUUGGGAGUAGGAGAAUUCAAGGCAACAACAGUCACUUUACAAUUAGCUGACAGAUCUCAUGCAUAUCCUGAAGGAACAAUUAAAGAUGUACUGGUAAAGGUUGACAAAUUCAUCUUUCCAGUGGACUUCAUUGUACUAGACUUUGAAGCUGAUAAAGAGGUACCCAUUAUACUUGGAAGGCAUUUUUUAGUAACUAUGAAAACUCUUAUAGAUGUGUAAAAAAAAGAGCUAAUAAUGAGGGUAAAUGACCAGCAAGUCACAUUUAAUGUAUUAGAGGCUAUGAAGAACCCUGAUGAGGUAGAAUAUUACAAUUUCCUGAGUGUUGUAGAUUUUGUUGUAGCAGACAUAAUCGACAGAUGCUGCAGUAAUGAGGUCAUCAAGGUUGCCACCUUUGAAAGCUUUGAAGAAGAAGAUGUUGCAACAAACCAGAUAGAUUAGAUGGAAAGAAAGCAAUCUAAUAAGCAUAGCAGAUUUGUUGAACAUCUGAAUCUUUCAGACAUGGAAAUAAAAGCAAUUUUACCAUCUAUUAAAUCACCUCAUAUUCUUGAAUUAAAAUUGUUACCCUCACAUUUGAAAUAUGUUUAUCUUUGUCAAAAUAACACACUCCCUGCAAUCAUUUCAUCUACUUUGGAUGCAGGUCAAGAAUAAAGCCUGGUAGAUGUGCUUGGGAAAUACAAAAAGGCAAUUGGAUGGAUCAUGGCAGACAUUAAAGGGAUCAGCCCUUUUAUAUACAUGCAUAAAAUUUUUUUAGAAGACUGCUACAAUAAUUCAGUGGAGCAACAGAGAAGACUAAAUCCCAUUAUAAAGGAAGUUGUAAAGCAAGAAAUCAUCAAAUGAUUGGAUGCUGGAAUCAUAUACUCAAUAUCAAACAGUUCAUAGGUAAGCCCAGUUCAAUGUGUUCCAAAGAAAUGAGGAAUAACAGUGAUAGCAAAUGAAAAGAAUGAACUUAUUCCACAAGAACAGUGACUGGUUGGAGGGUAUGUAUGGAUUACAAGAAGCUCAAUAAAGUCACUCGAAAAGAUCACUUUCCACUUCUAUUCAUAGAUCUGAUGUUGGACAGACUUGCUGGAUAGCAAUAUUACUGUUUCCUAGAUGGGUAUUCAGGCUACAACCAAAUUGCUAUACCUCUAGAGGAUCAGGAAAAGACUACAUUUACUUGUCCUUAUGGAACUUUUGCCUUCAGAAGAAUGCCCUUUGGUUUGUGUAAUGCUCCAACAACUUUCCAAAGAUGUAUGAUAUCUAGUUUUUCCGAUAUGGUGGAGCAAACAUUGGAAAACUUCAUGGAUGAUUUUUCAAUCUUUGGAGAGACAUAUACUGAUUGUUUACACAACUUGGAAGAAGUUCUUAAAAUAUGUGAGAUGACUAAUUUAGUGCUCAAUCGGGAAAAAUGCCAUUUCAUGGUGCAAGAAGGCAUAGUGUUAAGUCAUAAGGUAUCCAAGAAGGGCAUAGAGGUAGAUAAGGCAAAUAUAGAAGUGAUAAACAAACUGCCACCUCCCACUUUAAUCAAGGGGAUUAGAAGUUUUUUAGGCUAUACUGAAUUUUACAGAUGAUUCAUAAAAGAUUUUUUCAAGGUAGUUAAACCACUAUGCUCAUUGCUAGAACAUGACAAGCCUUUCCAUUUCGAUAAAGAUUGUCUUCAAGCCUUGGGGAAUUAAAGAAAGCUUUGAUAACUGCACCAGUGGUUAUAUCACCAGAUUGAACUCUCUCAUUUGAACUAAUGUGUGAUGCCAGUGACCAUUCUAAUGGGGUUGUGUUGGGGCAGAGGAAGGAUAAGAUUUUCCACUCUAUAUAUUAUACCAGCAAAACUCUUACUCAAACUCAGAUUAACUACACCACUACAAAGAAAGAGUUGCUAGCAGUAGUAUUUGCUUUCGAUAAAUUCAGAGCUUACUUGAUGGGUACUAAAGUGACAGUAUACACAGAUCAUGUAGCCAUCAAAUACCUAAUCUCAAAGAAUGAUGCUAAACCUAGAUUAAUAAGAUGGGUCUUAUUGCUUCAGGAGUUUGAUUUGGAAAUUAAAGAUAAGAAAGGGACUGAGAACCAAAUAGCAGACCAUAUGUCUAGGAUAGAAGCAUAUACAAGCACAUUGAUAAAAAAGGAAAUCACUUAAACUUUUCUUGAUGAACAACUAUUAGAAAUACAGCAAGCACAGAUGCUGCAACAAUAAAGACCUCCAUGAUAUGCAGAUUUUGCUAACUACUUAGUAAGUGGGUUGCUACCACCCAAAUUGAAGUUUCAACAGAAAAAGAAAUUUCUCUAUGAUGUUAGAAGCUACCAAUGGGAUGACCCAUAUUUGUAUAAGUUAUUCUCUGAUCAAGUAAUAUGAAGAUUGCUUCAGAAGAAGAAAUCUCUCACAUACUCUAAUCCUGCCAUGCUACAGCAUAUGGAGGACAUUUUGGUGGUCACUGAACAACUGCUAAGGUUCUGCAAUCAGGGUAUUACUGGCCUUCUAUUUUUAAAGAUGCUUAUAAGUUUGCUAAAUGUUGUGACAUGUGUCAAAGGACAAGAAACAUAACUCAAAGACAUGAAAUGCCAUUGACAAACAUUCUGGAAGUGGAAGUUUUCGAUGUAUGGGGAAUAGACUUCAUGGGUCCUUUUCCACCAUCCUUUGGGAACUUAUAUAUCCUUGUUGCUGUAGAUUAUGUCUCUAAAUGGGUAGAAGUUGCGGCAUUACCUACCAAUAAUGCUAGAGCAGUAGUGAACUUCCUUCAGAAAAUAUCUUUUCCAGGUUUGGCACUCCACGAGCAAUUAUUAGUGAUGAGGGUACUCAUUUCUGCAACAAAAUAUUUGCUGCAACUAUGGAAAAAUAUGGAGUCAUGCAUAUCACCCACAAUCCAAUGGCCAGGCAGAAGUGUCCAAUAGAGAGAUUAAGAAGAUCUUAGAAAACGUGGUGAACCCAUCAAUGAAGGAUUGGUCCUUGCGUCUACAUGACUCCCUAUGGGCCUACAAAACAGCAUAGAAAACACCACUUGGCAUGUCUCCCUACCAAAUUGUGUAUGGGAAAGCUUGUCACUUGCCACUUGAGCUAGAGCACAAAGCAUACUAGGCACUGAAGCAAUUAAAUUGGGAUAUACAUGUUGCAGCAAAGCAAAGGAAACUUCAACUAUGUGAGCUUGAUGAAUUAUGGUUGUUCUCAUAUGAAAAUGCAAGAAUCUAUAAAGAGAGGACAAAACAUUGGCAUGACAAACAUAUCCAACAUAGGAAAUUAAGUCCUAGUCAACUAGUACGGCUCCAUAAUACAAGGUUCAGAUUAUUUCCAGGAAAACUUAAAUCUCGAUGGUCUGGACCCUUCAAGUUGCUCAGAAUUUAUCCUCAUGGGGCUGUUGAUCUCCUAGAUGAAAAGACAGGCCAAGAAUUCAAAGUCAAUGGGCACAGAGUUAAACAUUACAUACACUCAGCUGCAGAGUGUUCAAAGAAGGUCUUACUCCUUAAAGAACCAAGGUUAUGAGCACGCAAAAAAGGUCAGGCUGAAGGACCUUAAAUCAAGCGCUCAAUGGGAGGCAACCUAUUGCGGAGGUAAUCACUUCAACUAAGAUUAACCCUUCUUGUUUUUGAUAAAUGUUUUUCCUUUUAUUUCAUUUUAAUUUUGGUAUUCACUUAUUGUUAUUUAUUUACCUUAUUUAGGAUUAUUUAACUUUUACUUUUAUUGUUUUAUGUUUUUAUUUUUAAUUCUUAGGAUUGGUUUUAUCUUUAAUUUUAGAUUGGUUUUAUUUAUUUUUAAAUUUCUCAAGGGAAAUAUGUGUGACAAAUGGAUUCCAUAUUAACAUGUGGGGCUGUAGUGUUGACAGAAUGCAGAGGCAAGCCUUCGUGUCAGCAGUUAUUAGAAGAAAGUAUGUAACCAUUGCUAAAGCAAACAAUUGAUUGCUGCAGCAACCUAUGUUACCGUUACAAUAACUUAAAGAUGGAGCCUCUCAUUUACCGUUGGAGAUAAUAUAUGACAGAUGGGUGGAUGGAUUUAGAUAGAAAUUAAGGAAGAAUAUCUCCUAAAUUAAUGCAUUAAUUUCACCUUCCUAUUUUUAUGAGAUAUGCUUAAUGAAUUUAAAAAAUAUUCUUCCAUAAUUUAUCUUAUUUUACCGCAAUUAUUUUCAUUUAAUCCCACCUAUAUAAAGGAGUUACUGUGCAGGUUGACUUCUAACACUAUUUGUUCUCUCAUUCGCAGUUAAGACUCUAGCCCUCCAUAAUCUUCUCUUCUCAAUUUACUCUUGCACAUCUUAUCGUCAGAUUCUUACUGCUGUAGCAAUGCCAAGGUACAAAAAGACAGCUAACCGACUAAAAUAUCCCUCACGAUUUCAAAGUUACCAUGCAGAAGAAAAAUAUGAAGAGUUCAUUGAACCGUAAAAAAUUCUGGAAGAAAAAGGGUUUCAAUUCCCACCUCAACCCACAGGAAUUGUGCAAUCAUUGUACAAUGUUGCAGCCAAGCGCGAGUGGCUAGAGUUUUGUGACCACCCUCGAGACCCUGUGUUGCCAGUAGUGAAAGAAUUUUAGGCCAAUUUGGUAAGCCCUGGUCAGCACAAUAUUUAGGUACGAAACUCACUUGUUCCAUUAUAUUCUCGAGUUAUAAAUGCUUUUUAUAAUUUACCUACUGAAAUUAAUUACGAGUAUGUCAAGUUACUUGACAAAUUAACACCGCAAAGAUGGAAUAAAAUUUUCACAACCCUUACUGUAAAAGGUGCAACUUGGGCUAAUAAAGAAGGGCAGGUGAUUAAUAGGAUAGAUUUGACACCCAUUGCCAAGGUGUGGGUGAAAUUCCUAAAAUCCAGACUUAUGCCAACCACCCACACCGCCAUUGUUUCUAAAAAAAGGUUAAUAAUGUUGUAUGUAAUUGUAAAAGGGCUUCCCAUAGAUGUGGGAAGCAUUAUCGAAAAAGAAAUUCGAGACUAUGCCAUAAGAACCACAAAGCAGCUGCCUUGCUUUUUCCUUCGCUCAUCACCAACAUCUGUGUGGUAUCGGGAGUUCAUCUCGAUGCCAAAGAUGAGCAUGUUAAGAAUAAUGGUGCCUUUGCUGCACACACCAUCGAGAAAAUUGCUGGUGAAGCUGCUAGAGCCCCAUCUGAACCAACUGUUGUGACAGGGGUGAGACGAGCUAUUGGGUUGGAACAACGAAUACAAGCACUGAGCACUAGCAUCAAUCAAUGUGUUGAAACUUAGCAGAGGGAAAAUAGUAGGUUCUAGAGCUAUUUGCAACACCUGGACCACCAGCUCCACUAAUUUGCAGUAUACAUCAAGAGUAACCAUAGAAAUUUCCCUGAUUCUUUGCUCCAACAAUAUAAUUUUGACACCUACACUACAGAGGCUCCAGCAGAAGUCAGUGAGGAAGCUAUUGACAUAGAUGAACCAGAGGAGGAAGCUGCAGUAGAUCAGCAAGCAGAGAAGGAAACCGAUGUUGAUGACAAGUCAGACCAGCCCGAAGAAGAGGAUGUUAAGUCUGCCACUGACAGUUCCCCAACAAAGGCAAAGAAAGAGAAGGAGAAAGAACAUGAGGAACCCCUAAUCAGAACCUCUUCCAAGUCUAGAAAAAAGCACAUCAUCUAAGAAGAGGAAGAUGAACCUGCAGAAGAACCUCAUAUUCUAAUAAUUUUUAGGAUGGGUAAAGAGAAAGUAACCACUCCACAUGCCUCGGAUGAUGAAGCCGAGCCAAUUGAUGCAGAGCUGGAAGCUGUAGCAGCCAAAGUCAUGCGUAGACUAGCAGAGGUAAAAUAUCUACUUGACAUCAUUGCCGGUAUCAUGGCUGAGGGACAGGAAUCCGAGGCCCCAAUUCUGGCAUCUUCACAACAAACCCCCAGCAAACCUACUAUCACUAGUCCAAAGUGAUCCAGCAAAAUAAAGGGAGGUAUUUCUGGAGGCCCUACUACAGUAGCCACACCAGAACCUAAAAGGACCAGAUCUGUUUCAUCUAGACAUACUGCACCAACGACCACUCAUUCCACCAGUCCACCAACGAAGAAGAAGAAGCCAUUGCCAGUUACCUCACUACAAGAAUCCCCUAAGGAUCGGCUACGCAGGGCAUCUAAAAAGUGCUGAAGUCACUCCACUAUGUUAUAGCAGCACUCCAAUAACAGGGGAGUACCCCCUUAUCUGCUAGUUUAUUUUAUUUUUAGUUUUAAUUUUCUAAUUCAUUUUGUAUGGCCUUUCAUUUAGUGUAUACAUGUAUGGUUUAUGUACUUUUUUUUUUGUGCUUGUGAGGACACAACACCACUUAAGUUUGGGGAGAUUGUGUUUAUGUUUGUGUUGUGUGAAGCUCUGUUAUCUAAUAUUUGUGUAUGGAUUUAGAAACCUAAUGAAGAUAAAAUGAGUGUUAUUCAGUACUUGUGAGAAUGCCAAGUAGAGAUAGUUGUAGAUGAAGGUUGAGAUUCUAUCCUGAAACUUAUAGUUUGAUUGGGUUUUAUGAGAAUGUUGUAGCAAACCAAGAACAUAAAAGAGAAACAGAAUACUUCAAGUUGGAGAAGAAUUUUGGCUAAACUGUGGUCAUUAUGAAAUAAAUUUGGCUCCAAUGGCUUAAGUUGCUGAGUAACCAGGGCUGAGUAUGCAUCCCAUAUGCAAACUUGAGUCCAAAAGCAACAAGAGUUACGAGCACUGCUAUAGCAACUGUUCUUAAAAAAAAAAAAAGGUCCUCUGUCUAGGGUAUUGAGCAGCCAGGUCUGUUCAUGAGCCCCAUAUCCAGCCUUGAGUUAAAAGAUAUUCUUAGAUAAGACUAUGCUACAAUAUUGCUACAACAACUCUGAUCUAUGCACUGAUUGAGUAAUUGGGUGUCAUCAUUACAAAUGAUUGGCAUUCGCAUGAAAGAAUAAAAGUUGCAGUGAAAAAGGUUAAGUGUUCUUAGCACAGUUUGAGUAUAUGUGUCAUUUUUGCCUCCCCAUGUGUGAAUACAAUUGUGUUCUACCUCUGAAUUACAUAUAAUAUCUCGAUAAUGCUGAAGCACCUCUAAAAUCUUAUCAAAGUGACACACACACACUUGGACAGAGGAAGCUUAAGUCUAGAACUGAACUGCUAUGGCCAUGUUGCAUGAUUAAGAUUGUAAUCUGAGGGUGGAAGAAUCCUUGCGAAUUUGAUGACAGAGCUAAGUUGUUUGUUGCGUGAUUGUGUGCACGAAGUGUUAGUCUGUUGUCAUUACUUGAUGACAAGUAACGGUUUAAGUUUAGGGGUGUGAUAACUCUAUGAAAUGAGAGUUAUUACGGUAAUUCUAAACUUAAAUUAAGAUCACUUAGAGAGUAAAUGAUGUGUUUUUAGUGCAUUUUUGCUACAUUUUGCAUAAACAUUCAUUUUAGUUUAGUCUUAAUAAGUUUUGCUUGAUUUAGAUUAAUUCAUGCUCAAAUUGUGUGCAUAAUCGUAGGUUUCCAGAAGCUUGUGAUUCAGGGAAAGAAUGCUGAAGAACUGGGCUGGCAUAAAAGAUGAAGAAUAUGGCCACAAAAAUAGUGAAACAAAAUCUGGAAUAGUGAUGUGCUAGAGCCGUUGCUGGAGCAGACAUGGCUGUAGCAAUUCUGGAACAACGAUAGAGAAAACUUAGCACGGGAAAUCUACAGGAUUACGAUCUGCAAUUUCCUAAUCUGACUCAUGCGUGCCUUAGGCUUUUGCUUACCCUAAAUGUCAGUUAUAAGAAGAGGCGUGCAACACAUAAAACGGCGGCAAGGAAUUAACAUAGAAAAAAUCAAGAGGAAAAGAAGAACACAAUCAGAAUUCAAGGGAACGGAUGCUGCAUCAGUAAAGAAUCCAGUAGAGUUGUUUGGAUUCAGUCUUCAUUGUUCUUUACUUGUUCUUUUCUCUACUAUUUGAUGGAACCAAUGUAUUUCGUGACCAUUAAUUUGCUGUUUGUUUUUCUUUUUCAAAGUAUGAACUAAACUUGCUUGUAAUUGAGUGACAAACAAUCUGAAUGGGUUUUUUACUGCUCUUAUGAGUUGUUGUAUGAUUGCUAUAGCAUUUUACUCCAGUAGCUAUUAUUAUAACUGUUAUUUUGGUUAACUACCCAUUUAAUGAUUCAAGUUAAGAUAGAGCCGUAAAAGGGCCUGUCUUAGUGGAUAUUAUUAGAGUAAUACUUUAUCUUAAUUUGAGUUUCCUAGAUUAAGGUUAGCUUUAAUCCCAUAAGGACUAUAUUUGAAGUUAAGAGUUGUGAAGAACUAGACAUAGGUAUUCACCUUGUAGGGUCGAUAGAAUGGACGUUCACAAUGUCAUGCCUCAGGUAGAAUAGCAACUGGUCAUUGAUAGGACACUUAAAGGUAUGAGAAGUCCAACACGCGACAGCUAAGGAUGCAAAAUAAUUAUGCCCAGUGCUGUAGGAAUUGUUGUAGCAACUGGUAUUAAUUUGAUGAAAAGCAGUCAAUCCAUGAAGAGAGUUUGAUAAUUCAACUACCUCAUUCUCAAUUGAUUCUUUUAUGCAAUUUACUUAAUUUAUUUCACUACUGCAGUUAUUUGUUUUAUUUCCUUACAAUUGUUAAUUUUGGUAGUAAACAACUUUAAAUUUGUUCAUCUCGAAAUAAAGGUAGAUAGUACUAUUGUGAUUGCUAUAGCAUUUCUAGUCACAUCAAUCCCUGUAGAAAUGAUCUUAAAUACUCAUCACUUUAUUACUUGUUGUGUACACUUGCACAUUGGCAUCAAUAGCAAUUGAGUUUAAAAUUAACCAACACUUGCCCUUCAAAAACUGAAUCCUUGCUCAGAAUUAUACACAAAGCAUGCUUUGCAAAGUAGUCUUUGUCUUGCAACUAGGCUUACCAAUGUAGUUCCUGUUAAAUCAAUAUUUAUUGGAGCCCAAGUAUCACCAUUUUCAUCGGUUGGCUGCAAAAAACAAAAACAAAAAAUUCAAAUCAAAGGCAAAGCUAAACAAAUUGGCUUUUUUAAAGUAAAGGAAAAAGGCAGAGCCUUAAAAAAUUCCGAAGUAUCACCAUUUUCACUCAUUGGUUCAAUCUCGAUUUUAUGUUUACAAUCACAUUUCUCAUAAAUACGAUCACUUACAGAAAAUUCCCACAAUCCCACAUGCAACAUUUCUCAUAAAUAUGAUAACUUAGUUUACUAUGAUAUUGGAUACUCAACAAAGACUAGUUGACAAUUCUCUAAAGGUUCAAAUAUUGGCCCUUUAAAGUCAUUUAAACUCAAAUAUAAAACAUGUGUCUAAUCAAAAUGCUUGUGCAUGAAUAUAUUAAAAAACCAUAAUUUCAAAGGGAAAAAAUUGAACAAAGAAUUAAAAAUUUCUCAAAUAGAAUUUGACAAUCCAACAUUCAAAAUUUGAUAUUCCAAAGCAUUCUUUUCGAAAGAAUCUAAAUAAUUUGAUUAUCAAAAUAUAAAAUGAAAUCUUUACAAUUAUCUAGUUAACACCAAACCCUGCAAAUAUGUCUUAGAAUUAAACUAUAAGUGAAUGAUGAGAUAUUUCAUUUAAAAGCACUACAAGAAAAAGGACCUACUAUGACAAGUAAAACUGUCAUAGUAGGGGUUGGAUGACGGUUGUUCAUACCGUCGUUAUAGCCAACGUCAAGAAUUAAUGACAGAACAAUACCUGUCACAGCCUGUGAUAGAUAUAACUAGUCACACAACUAUCAUAACUUUAUUAGAAAGAAAUAUAAUAAUUUUGAAUUUGACCCUUUUUUUUAAAUUUUGCAUGCUAUAUUUUGAACUUUUAGCUGGAAAUCUUAAAUUUGGCGCGAAAAUAAAAAUCAUAAUUAAUUGAAUUUUUUUUACAAUUAAUUCUGAAAUUAAAAUUAUGAUUAAUAAAAAUGACUAUUUGUUACUACCAUGAAAUCAUUAUCAUUUUAAUAAAAAUCUUGCAAUUGAUUUAGAAAUUAAAAUUUCAUAAUUUAGUUAAUUAAUUAGAUUGUUAAAAUGAAUAUUACAAAUAAAAAUUCACUGACAAAGAAAAUGAAUAAUUACAAGUGACAAGUCCAAAAUAAAUAGAAAGUAUUGUAACAACAUAAAAACCAAAUUUCAACAUGUAGAAGACUAGCAAUUUUGAGACUAAUGAACCAUGAUCAGUUCAUUUCCAGCACCACAACCAAGCCAACAACACUGAUCAAACCAAAAAAAAAAAAUUCAUUCUAGCAGUUUUAGUGAAGCAUACAACAAAUACCAAUCUAAGAAGAAGCUAAACGUGCAAAGAUGCACCAAUACUCAGGACAUGUUUUGGCAUCAAAGAAAAAAGAUGGCCAACUCCAGCAAUACCCACCAUCUUCAUCAAAUUCUAACAUAGCAAGUGUAACAAGCUAGGUAACUGCACAAGUCAAAUAUAACUUUAUCAAAUUCAAAGUCCGUGACAAUGCAUAUAGAUUAUAAUACUAGGCAAUAGAAUAAUAGCUAGCUGAGGAUCGAAUGGAAAUUUUUUGAAAUUCAUCAAAUUUGAUCUCAGCUAAUAAAUUACCUAGGUGGCUUCCCCUUUCAGACCAAUGUAGUAUAUCUGAGUUAUGUCACCCUCAAAAUUGUCUGGGAAGUAUAUUGUGUAAAAUAGCUUUUGCAACAUAUUUUUUGAAUCAUAUCUUCAAAAAUCCUACAUCCUCAAUAGAACUUCAAAAGAUAACCAGGCAUAAUCAAUCAACUCAACAAAAAUGUUUAUCUAAUUGUAAUGUGAAAAAGUCAUGUGAUGAGCAUAUAAUACAUACAUAUUUUACCAUUAAUUAAAUAAUUGUUAGUUAUAUUUAUUUGUUAUUUUUAAUUAAUUGAAUUAUUUUAUUGAAUAGGGAAUUAAUUGGAGAUUAUGAAUAAAAAGAGCAUAAAGGAGUUCAAUUUGUAAGCAUUAAAGAUUAAUUGAUUUUUGGAAGGAAUUAGACAUACAUGCAUGUGGAAAUCAAGCCAAGGAACCGAAUUCAACAAGUAAAUUCAUCAUGCACAUGCGGACAAAAGAGAGAAAUUGAUUUUAGCUUUAAGAAGGGACCCCACUUGGCUUUCAUAAAUGGAAAAAGGAAACCUAUUACAAUUCAAAGUGCCCACGUGAGUGAAGCAAAACAAAUAAAAGGCCAAACCCUUUUGGCUUUAGGAUUGACAAGGUGGGGCCCAUUUUAAAGGCUAUAUAAGAAAGCUAAGCUUUUGGCUUUUGGAGAGGGGGGAGCCGCCAGAGGAAGAAGAGAGGAGCAGACGCAGGGUGGAGAGAGUAUUCGACAGCAGCAACAAUUCGGCUUUCAUGGCUGAUUUUAUUUUUUGUGUUGUUCCCAAUUCAAGUAUGUCUAGCUAAUUUUCUUAUACUGAGGUUAAGGAUGAAACCUUAUUCAAUAAAAUAAUUAUCUUUUUAUUUAAUUAAUUCCCUAUAUAUGUUCUUUGAUAAUUAUGGUUUUUAUUUCACAUGAUUAAUUGGAUGUUAAUAAAAUCUUUUCAUCAAUUUUGUCAUGCAUUAUUGAUUGUUAGGACUAAUAUUCGAUUAAUUCUAUGCUUGGAUCUAUAAAGUUUAUACAUGAUUAUCUUUGAUUUUAUGUCUUUCAUUAAAUUGUUUACAUGGAGUGCUUAGGAAACUUUGACUCUUUGUUAUUCAAUAUGUUUACAUGAGAUUCUUAGAUGUCAUAUUAUUAAGCAGAAAAAGAACCUACAUUAGAUUUAAUUACUUGGGCUUAAUUGUUAUAUCCAUGAGAUGACAUAGAUUGAUUUCGAGUUGUCACUCUAAAAUUGGGGAUUAAUUAAUAAUUAGAUAAUUACUAUUUGAAUAGUGGUGGAUUCUGAAACCUUGGUAAUUCUUAUCUUAUUGAAUUCUCCUUUAUUUUAAUUGCUUCCUUAGUUUAAUUGGUUUAAUUUUCUUAAAAACUCAAUUUGCUCAACUAGGUUAGAAUUAAUAUUAAUUUUAGAUUUAAAUUAGACUUUUUAAUUUAUAACAAUCCCUGUGGGAUCGACCUCGUUACCACUAUUCUAUUUCUAGAUUCGUACGCUUACGAGUAUAUUAAAAUUUUCACAAGUUUUUGUCGCCGUUGACGGGGAUUGUGCCAGAAAGUCAGUUUAAUCUAGGUUGAUUUGAUUCUUCCACUAGUUAUAAUUUAGGUUAUCUUUUAUUUUUAUUUUUUAUAUAAAAAAAAAUUUAUUUGUCUUUAAAUUCAUUGUUUGGUUGUUUGAUUUCUUUUAUUUUUUAAAUUUCGUUUAUUCUCAUUAUUGUUGGUUUAUUUUAUUUUAUUUUUCUUUUCCUUGUCUAGUUAGUUUAUGAGUGUUUGGAAACGUGAUUCAACAAAUCGUUUGGUUAAAAGAGAGUCGAAAAUUUAUAGUAGUCAAGCUAGUUCUUUAGAAGUGAUGGAUGACCCAAAUAGACUAUUGCCAAUACUUCCACCAGUGCAAGCAGAGAAAACCCUUAGAGAAUAUUUUUCACCACUUGCAACCAACCAACCAUCUUGUAUUGUGUUGCCACAAACUACAGCAACACACUUUGAACUUAAGCCCUCAGGCAUUCAAUGGGUUAGAGAGAGAGGAUCCAUAUUUGCACAUUAAGGAAUUUCUUGACAUAUGCUCUAUAUUUCGUUUUCAAAAUUUUAAUGAUGAGUCAAUUAGGCUUCGUAUGUUCCCUUUCUCAUUAAAAGACAAAGCAAAAGCUUGGUUGAAUUCACUUCCUGCUGGGUCUAUUAGUACAUGGGAUAAAUUGAGUAAUAAGUUUCUCACCAAGUUUUUCCCUAUGUCUAAAACAAAUGCCCUUAGGAGAGAGAUAAGUGAUUUUUAUCAAAGAGAGGGUGAGCAAUUUUACGAGUGUUGGGAAAGAUUCAAUGAUUUACUCCUCAAGCGUCCCCACCAUGGUUUUGAAAAAUGGAGACUUAUACAAUGCUUUUAUGACGGUUUAACCAUGUCAAAUCGUCAUAUGGUAGAGUUUAUGAAUGGUGGGAGAUUUUUGAACUUACAUGAAGGGGCUGCAUGGGAUUUCUUUAAUUCACUUUCUGAAAAUUCUCAACAGUGGGAUUUUUCAAAUCAAAGGGAAAAAUUAUCUCAAGUUUCUAGAAAGGGUCUAUAUGAAGUUAAGGAUGAUUUAGAUAUGAAAUCCACUCUAGCUACACUUUCUAGGAAAGUAGAUGCCUUAGUUAUAAACCAAUCCAUAAAUCAUCAUCCUAGUGUAGCUAAUGAGGUUUGUGCUCUUUGUUCUAACUUGUCUCAUACAGCACAGAAUUGUCCAUCAUUACCAGCCUAUCAAGAGGCUUAUUCUGAGCAAGUACAUACCUUACAAUCAUAUGAGAAAACCUCCAAUAAUCCAUACUCACCCACAUAUAAUCUUAAUUGGAGGAAUCACCCUAAUUUGUCUUGGAAACAAAAUCAACCUUUGCCAAACCAAGGAGGACAACAAUUUAGCUUGCCCAAUCAACAAUCUGUCCCUCCUAACCAAGUAUAUCCUCCUGCCCAACAACCUAUGUCUCAAUUUGUUGCACCCCAACAAAGAAAAUCUUCUUUAGAGGAUACACUUCAAAGUUUCAUUCAGUCAACUCAACAAGCUUUUCAGUCAAACACUCAAGCUAUUCUAAAGCUUGAACAUCAAUUGGGUCAAUUAGCAACUACUGUAGCGGAGAGAGAAAAAGGGAAAUUCCCCAGUCAAUCAAUUCCCAAUCCUAAAGGAGUGCACGAAGUUGGGUCGAGUUCAAGUCAUCAGCAUGAACAAGCAAAAUCUGUUAUGACCUUGAGAAGAGGAAAAUUAUUUGACAACAAGGUGGAGGUUCCAACAAGGAAGACAUCUGAGCCUACUUCUUCAGAUCCAGUUCCAUCACAAGACCCAUCACCAAAUGAUCCUGAAGAGAGUGGCCCACCAGCUUACAUUCCUAAGGCUCCUUUUCCUCAAAGGUUAACAAAAGUAAAGAAAGGGACUUCAACAGGUGAGAUUAUGGAAAUCUUCAAACAGGUAAGUAUAAACAUCCAUUUACUCGAUGCCAUUAAGCAAGUUCCUUCCUAUGCCAAGUUUUUAAAAGAUUUAUGCACUAAAAAGAUAAAUUUACAUGUCACUAAAAAGGCGUUUUUAACUGAACAAACUAGCAAUUUACUUCAAUGUAAAAUGCCACCAAAAUUUAAGGAUCCUGGUUCUCCUACUAUCUCAUGUGUUAUAGGGAACCAAUGUUUUGAUAAAGCAUUAUUGGAUUUGGGUGCUAGUGUUAAUCUCUUACCUUAUUCUGUUUACAUGCAGCUUGGACUAGGUGAGUUAAAAUCAACUCCUAUUAUUUUGCAACUUGCUGAUAGAUCAAUGAAAAUACCUCGUGGUAUUAUAGAGGAUGUGUUGAUACAGAUUGAUAAAUUUUAUUAUCCUGUUGAUUUUAUCAUUAUUGAUACUCAGCAUGUACAUGAUCCUAAGAAACACACUCCAGUUAUUCUAGGUCGUCCUUUCUUAGCUACAGCUGAUGCUCUUAUUAAUUGCAGGAAUGGAAACAUGCAGCUAUCUUUUGCUAAUAUGACCAUGGAAUUGAAUAUUUUUAAUGUUACCAAGCAGCCACAAGAAGAAGAUGAAUUUGUUGAAGCGAAUAUGAUAGAGGAAUUAGUAGAAGAUUCAUUCAUUUCUAAUCAUAAUGAUGAUCCAUUAGAGGCAUGUCUAACUCAUUCUGAUUUAUCUUUUAAUAAUGACAGUGCAAUUGCAGAAAUCAGCGCUUUACUUGAUGCACCUCUAAUUACGGACACAACUAAAUGGAAGACAAAGUCAGAACUACUGCCUCAUUCUGAGAAGAAAAUUGGCCCAUCUGCGGAGGCACCACCAAAAUUGGAACUCAAAGUACUGCCUGACACUCUGGAAUAUGCAUUCUUGGGAGAAUCUGACACUCUACCUGUUAUUAUUUCUUCUUCCCUCGAUCUUGAGCAAAAAGGUAAGUUGUUAGGUAUUCUAAAAGAGCAAAAGGAGGCAAUAGGAUGGACCAUCGCUGAUAUUAAAGGUAUUAAUCCAGUAGAUUGCAUGCAUCGUAUUCAUCUUGAAGAAAAUGGUAAACCUAUUAGGGAGAUGCAACGUAGGCUAAAUCCUAACAUGAAAGAAGUGGUAAGAGCUGAAGUAAUCAAAUUAUUAGAUGCAUGAAUUAUUUAUCCUAUUUCAGAUAGCUCUUGGGUUAGCCCUGUGCAAGUUGUUCCUAAGAAAUCUGGUGUUACAGUAGUUACUAAUGCUAAUAAUGAAUUAAUUCCCACUAGAGUAACUACAGGUUGGCGUGUUUGCAUUGAUUAUAGAAAAUUGAAUUCAUUCACAAGAAAAUAUCAUUUUCCUCUUCCAUUUAUUGAUCAAAUGCUUGAUAGACUUGCAGGUCAUGAUUUUUAUUAUUUUCUAGAUGGAUAUUUCGGUUAUAAUCAAAUCCCUAUAACUCCAGAGGACCAGGAGAAAACUACUUUUACUUGUCCAUUUGGAACUUUUGCAUAUAGGAGAAUGCCAUUUGGUUUAUGCAAUGCACCUGCUACUUUUCAAAGAUGCAUGCUUAGUAUUUUUUCUGAUAUGGUUGAGAGAUUUCUUGAAGUAUUCAUGGAUGAUUUUUCUGUUUAUGGAGAUUCUUUUGAUGAAUGUUUGCAACACCUAACAUUAGUUUUGCAGAGAUGUAAAGAAAAGAACUUGGUUCUAAAUUGGGAAAAGUGUCACUUCAUGGUAAAACAAGGUAUUGUUCUUGGUCAUAUAAUUUCCAGCAAAGGUAUAGAAGUCAACAAAGCUAAGGUGGAUUUAGUUUCUAAUCUUCCACAUCCCAAAUCCGUAAAAGAAGUAAGAUCCUUCCUUGGACAUGCUGGUUUUUAUAGAAGAUUCAUUAAAGAUUUUAGUAAAAUUUCUAGACCCUUAUGCAAUUUACUUGUUAAGGAUGUACCUUUUAUUUUUUAUGAAUCUUGUCUUGAUGCUUUUGCAAAGUUUAAGAAAUUGUUGACUUCUUCACCUAUCAUUCAGCCACCUAAUUGGGAUUUGCCUUUUGAAAUUAUGUGUGAUGCAUCUGAUUAUGCUGUAGGAGCAGUUUUAGGACAAAGAUUAGAUCGUGUGCCUUAUGUGAUUUAUUAUGCUAGUAUGACACUCAAUGAUGCACAGUUGAACUAUUCAACUAUAGAAAAAGAAAUGCUAGCUGUGGUAUUUGCACUUGAUAAAUUCAGAUCUUAUCUUAUAGGUUGUAAAGUGAUUAUUUUUACUGAUCAUGCUGCUUUAAAAUAUUUGUUUACUAAGAAAGAUGCUAAGGCAAGAUUGAUUCGUUGGGUGUUGCUUUUACAAGAAUUUGACAUUGAAUUUAGAGAUAAAAAAAGUUCUGAAAAUGUUGUGGCGGAUCAUUUAUCUCGCCUUGAUCUUAAAUUUAUUCCAGAAUCUUUACCUUUGAAUGAGUCUUUCCCAGAUGAGCAACUUAUGAGUGUAAAUGGUGUACUAUGGUUUGCUGAUAUAGUUAAUUACCUUGCUACAGGUCAAAUCCCAGAGCACUAGACUAAGCAAGAUAGAACAAAGUUCUUAUCUAAAGUGAAAGACUUCUUUUGGGAUGAUCCCUAUUUAUUUAAAUAUUGUGCUGAUCAGAUUAUUAGGCGAUGUAUUCCCGAUAAUGAAAUUCAAAGUGUUAUCUCAUUUUGCCAUGAACAAGCUUGUGGAGGCCACUUUAGUACUAAAAAGACAGCAACAAAAAUUUUGCAGUGUAGUUUUUAUUGGCCUACUCUUUUUCAUGACGCUUAUGUUUUCUGUUCUUUGUGUGAUAGGUGCCAACGUAUGGGUAGCAUUUCAAAGAGGAACAUGAUGCCACUCAAUCCUAUUCUUGUGGUUGAGAUCUUCGAUGUAUGGGGUAUUGAUUUCAUGGGACCUUUUCCUCCAUCUUUUGAUUAUCAGUAUAUAUUGGUUGCAGUAGACUAUGUGUCGAAGUGGGUUGAAGCUAUUCCAUGCAAAACCAAUGAUCAUAGGGUUGUAGUGAAAUUCUUGAAGAGUAAUAUUCUGUCUCGUUUUGGUUUCCCUAGAACAAUCAUUAGUGAUGGUGGUACCUAUUUUUGCAAUAAACUUUUCAAAACUCUUUUGGACAAAUAUUUCAUUACACGUAAGGUUGCCACCCCAUACCAUCCUCAAACCAGUGGCCAAGUAGAGAUUUCUAAUAGAGAGAUCAAGCAGAUUCUAGAGAAAAUAGUUAGGCCAGAUAGAAAGGAUUGGUCUUUGAGACUUGAUGAUGUAUUGUGGGCAUAUAGGACUGCUUUUAAAACACCAAUUGGGAUGUCACCUUAUCGACUUGUGUAUGGAAAAGCAUGUCAUCUGCCAGUAGAGUUGGAGCAUCGUGCAUAUUGGGCUAUCAAGAAAUUCAAUUUUGACAUGCAGCAUGCUGGUUCCAAGAGAAGAUUACAACUAGCAGAACUUGAAGAGAUCAGGAAUAAUGCAUAUGAGAAUGCCAAGAUUUAUAAACAGCGAAUGAAAGUCUUUCAUGACAAACAGAUUUUGAGGAAAGCCUUUACACCAGGUCAGAAAGUACUUUUAUAUAAUUCCCGAUUGCAUCUCUUUUCAGGUAAGUUACGUUCUCGAUGGUCUGGUCCUUUUAUAGUUCGUACUGUCUUCCCUUAUGGGGCAAUUGAGAUUGAAAAUCCUAAAAAUGGUGAUUUAUUUAAGGUGAAUGGUCAAAGAUUAAAACUAUUUUUAGAGUUAAGAACACUAGAAGUUGAGGAGAUACUUUUAGAUGAUCCUGUUUAUUAGGAUUAGUUAAGUUCAUCUUUGCACUCUUGUUUUAUUUUAAUAGUAGGUUUUCUUUUCUUUGUUUGUUUUUUUUCUAAUAUUUUUCUUUUUUUUUUCAUUUGGCAUUUUCUUUUAAGCUUUCCCAGCCCAUCCAGGUGUGAUCUCUCCAACUUUCUUUUUAUUACUUAUGUUAUUAUUAUUAUUAUUAUUAUUAUUAUUAUUAUUAUUAUUAUUAUUUCUUUCAUUUGUUUGCAUGCAUAUCUUUUGUUUGUGAAACAUUGAGGACAAUGUUCCAAAUAAGUUUGGGGGUGGGUGUUGUGAAAAUUUUAAUAUACUCGCAAGCGCACGAAUCUAGAAAUAGAAUAGUGGUAACGAGGUCGAUCCCACAGGGAUUGUUAUAAAUUAAAAAGUCUAAUUUAAAUCUAAAAUUAAUAUUAAUUCUAACCUAGUUGAGCAAAUUGAGUUUUUAAGAAAAUUAAACCAAUUAAACUAAGGAAGCAAUUAAAAUAAAGGAUAAUUCAAUAAGAUAAGAAUUACCAAGGUUUCAGAAUCCACCACUAUUCAACUAGUAAUUAUCUAAUUAUUAAUUAAUCCCCAAUUUUAGAGUGACAACUCGAAAUCAAUCUAUGUCAUCUCAUGGAUAUAACAAUUAAGCCCAAGUAAUUAAAUCUAAUGUAGGUUCUUUUUCUGCUUAAUAAUAUGACAUCUAAGAAUCUCAUGUAAACAUAUUGAAUAACAAAGAGUCAAAGUUUCCUAAGCACUCCAUGUAAACAAUUUAAUGAAAGACAUAAAAUCAAAGAUAAUCAUGUAUAAACUUUAUAGAUCCAAGCAUAGAAUUAAUCGAAUAUUAAUCUUAACAAUCAAUAAUGCAUGACAGAAUUGAUGAAAAGAUUUUAUUAACAUCCAAUUAAUCAUGUGAAAUAAAAACCAAAAUCAUUAAAGAACAUAUAUGGGAAUUAAAUAAAAAAAAUUAUUAUUUCAUUGAAUAGGGUUUCAUCUUUAACCUCAGUAUAAAAAAAUUAGCUAGACAUACUUGAAUUGAGAGCAACACAAGAAAUAAAAUCAGCCAUGAAGCCGAACUGCUGCACUCGUCCUUUUCUCCCCUCUUCUGCCUUGCGUUUUCACUCCACUGGCGGCUCUCCCUCUUCUCCAAAAGCCACAACUCCCUUUUAUAAUCUUUGAAAUGGGCCCCAUCUCUUAAAUCCUAAAGCCACAAGGCUUGCCCUUUUAUUUACUUGGCCACGUAAUUGAAAACUAUAAAAGCCAAAAGUUAUUGAUUUCCUUCCUUUAUUCUACUUUGACUUUCCAUUCAAAGCUUUAAUUAAAAGCUUUGUUUAAUGUGCUGCCCACUUUAACUUUAACCUUCUUCUUUGUUUGCACGUGGAUGGUGAAUGCAUUUGUUGAGUUCGGUUUCCUUGGCUUGAAUUAACAUGCAUAUAAGCAUAAUUGCUUCCAAGUUAAUUAAUCUUUAAUGCUCACAAAUUGAACUCCUUUGUGCCAUUUUUAUCCAUAAUCUCCAAUUAAUUCCCUAUUCAAUAAAAUAAUUCAAUUAAUUAAAAAUAACAAAUAAAUAUAACUAACAAUUAUUUAAUUAAUGGUAAAAUAUGUAUGUAUUAUAUGCUCAUCAGUGGGAAUAGUGUGUGCUUUGUUUGUUAAAAAAAAUAAUAAAAAAAAUUUCAAAACAAUUUCAAAAAUUCAAAAAUUAAAAAAAUUUGUGUUUUUUUUUUUAAUGUGAAAAGCCAAUGAUAAGAAUUUGAUUGACAAUGAAUAUGAUUUUUAGAAAGGGUUGAAUAUUGUCUUAGUUUAUACUUGAUUCUUGUGUUAGUUCCUCUUGAUUGAGAUUCUUUAAACCAUGAGCACUAAUAUCAGUUCUUUCAUGAUUUUGACUUGAAAUUUGAGAUUGAUGCAGCCUGAGUUGAGAAUUUUAGAUAGAGUAAAUGAUUGUUUGUCUUGAUUCUUAUCUCCACAAUACAAAAUAGUAUACACAGGUGCUAGAGUCAGAAAUAGCUACCUAUAACCCUUAAGAGUGAAGCUAUCCUUGAGUAAUUUGGGCCUAUGUACCACAAGUAUGUAGAGGAUAAUCUACCAUAAGAAGAAGGCUACCUUAAGGGGUAGAGUGAAAACUCCUGACUACGGUUAAAGAAAAAAAAAAGAGAAAAAGAAAAGAAAAAAAAAUCAAAUCAAGUGCAUGUACUGAAAAAAAAUCAAAAGAAAAUGCACAUAAAAGCCUGUGAGAGGAAAAAAAAUUGGAGAUCAAGAUGAUAAGAUUAGUUUGACCUAUUCUGUUCUUUGUUUGAGGCGAAGGCUGUUGAUGUUGAGGAUUUUGGGAAUGGAUUUGAUUGAAUUGAUUUCACACACACACUACAAGAAUUGAAAGAGAGAUGGGAUUGAUUAUUGAAUUAAAGUUAGAACUGUGCCAAUAUUUGAAAUUUUCUUUGAGUUAUAUAAUUUAUGCAAUCUUUGAGGCUAUUUUCAUGUUUUAUUUAAUUUUUUUUUCUUUUGUUCUCUUUAUUUAUUUAUUUAUAUAUUUUUUUAAUGAUGUUUGUGGGUAUCAUCACUGAAGCCCUCAAGAGACUAUAACUCGUCCACUAGGGUCGCCUAGGGGUUUAAAGGCUUGUUGCAUACGCUAAAUGCAAUCGCGAUUACCUGCGAAAGUGGUUUAGUUAGGAUUUACUUUUUGUUUCAUUAUUUUUAUUUUUUUUUAGUUUUAGUUUUAGUUUUGCUCGAGGACUAGCAAAAUCUAAGUUUGGGGGUAUUUGAUGAGCAUAUAAUACAUACAUAUUUUACCAUUAAUUAAAUAAUUAUUAGUUAUAUUUAUUUGUUAUUUUUAAUUAAUUGAAUUAUUUUAUUGAAUAGGGAAUUAAUUGGAGAUUAUGAAUAAAAAGAGCAUAAAGGAGUUCAAUUUGUAAGCAUUAAAGAUUAAUUGAUUUUUGGAAGGAAUUAGACAUACAUGCAUGUGGAAAUCAAGCCAAGGAACCGAAUUCAACAAGUAAAUUCAUCAUGCACAUGCGGACAAAAGAGAGAAAUUGAUUUUAGCUUUAAGAAGGGACCCCACUUGGCUUUCAUAAAUGGAAAAAGGAAACUUAUUACAAUUCAAAGUGCCCACGUGAGUGAAGCAAAACAAAUAAAAGGCCAAACCCUUUUGGCUUUAGGAUUGACAAGGUGGGGCCCAUUUUAAAGGCUAUAUAAGAAAGCUAAGCUUUUGGCUUUUGGAGAGGGGGGAGCCGCCAGAGGAAGAAGAGAGGAGCAGACGCAGGGUGGAGAGAGUAUUCGACAGCAGCAACAAUUCGGCUUUCAUGGCUGAUUUUAUUUUUUGUGUUGUUCCCAAUUCAAGUAUGUCUAGCUAAUUUUCUUAUACUGAGGUUAAGGAUGAAACCCUAUUCAAUAAAAUAAUUAUCUUUUUAUUUAAUUAAUUCCCUAUAUAUGUUCUUUGAUGAUUAUGGUUUUUAUUUCACAUGAUUAAUUGGAUGUUAAUAAAAUCUUUUCAUCAAUUUUGUCAUGCAUUAUUGAUUGUUAGAACUAAUAUUCGAUUAAUUCUAUGCUUGGAUCUAUAAAGUUUAUACAUGAUUAUCUUUGAUUUUAUGUCUUUCAUUAAAUUGUUUACAUGGAGUGCUUAGGAAACUUUGACUCUUUGUUAUUCAAUAUGUUUACAUGAGAUUCUUAGAUGUCAUAUUAUUAAGCAGAAAAAGAUCCUACAUUAGAUUUAAUUACUUGGGCUUAAUUGUUAUAUCCAUGAGAUGACAUAGAUUGAUUUCGAGUUGUCACUCUAAAAUUGGGGAUUAAUUAAUAAUUAGAUAAUUACUAGUUGAAUAGUGGUGGAUUCUGAAACCUUGGUAAUUCUUAUCUUAUUGAAUUCUCCUUUAUUUUAAUUGCUUCCUUAGUUUAAUUGGUUUAAUUUUCUUAAAAACUCAAUUUGCUCAACUAGGUUAGAAUUAAUAUUAAUUUUAGAUUUAAAUUAGACUUUUUAAUUUAUAACAAUCCCUGUGGGAUUGAUCUCGUUACCACUAUUCUAUUUCUAGAUUCGUGCGCUUGCGAGUAUAUUAAAAUUUUCACAACAUCAUGCCAAUAAAUCAAAAGCAAAUAAAUAUUACAAGUAGAACUCAAUGAACAUAAUUUUAAUUCAAAAUGGAGACAUAGAACUAGAUUUCAAGUACAAAAGUCUAUGGCUAUGGUGCAAGGAUGAGGACUUUUACGAAGUCGACCAAACUUUCAAUGAAUGAUUCAAGGAAAUCAAUAACGAAUAGACUCUAUGCAGCAACAAAUAUUUUUCAAUCACAUAUAUGCCAUCCACGUUUCAGACACGCUUCUUGGAAACAAGCCAAUGUCUAGAUAAAAGGUGAACCAUAAAGUGCACAAAUUACCCCUGAAGAAUUCAGAUGUUACUCCCAUGCUUUAAAAACUGACUUGACACUCCCUGAAAUAGUCUUAUUUAAUGCAAACACCUAAAAAAACAAUCCAAUAAAAAAGAAAAAGGAAAAAUUACUGAAAGCAAUUAAAUGAAAUGAACUGAAAAAACAAACAACAAUAAUUUCUUUUCCAUCCUUGACAAUGAAAUGAACUAAAAAUAGAGCCAACAACAGCUCAGAAAGAAGUAGCUCCCUGUCACAAAGCAAACAGGGCAUUCAUUCACAUGAAGCAGCCCUUCACUAGACCUGUAAAGGACCAUAACCCAGCCUAUCUACUGCAAAGUACACUAAAACAUGGUGGGGAAAAUUAUCUUAAAAUAGCUCCCUUGCAAUUACCAUAGAAAUUUUUGAAAGCUCACUGAUGUGAUGUGAUGUGAUGUGAUGCAAUAGAGCACAAUCAAAAUCCAAAGACAUCAAUGAGUAAGCAAAACUAAGCUAAGCAGAUAAGGUCUUUGCAACAAAAAUUGUAAAGUAACUAAAUGCAUACAAAAACAGAAGCAUCAAGGUCAAGCUAACCUCAGAAGUAGCAUUAUUAUCUACUGAAGUCUUUGCUUCAACAAAUUUCCAUGAAGCAGACAUGUUACUUUUCCUCAAAGAAUCGAGUAUUAAAAGGCCUAAAUCGAUUGUGUUGGCUGCGAUAACAUCAAUGACAUAAACAUUGGUUUAAAUAAUUUGCCACAUAUAUAGUUAAUAUAAUUAAUAACAGGAAAGCAUAGUUGCUGUAAGUAAGGUAAUACAAAUAACUUGUAACUAAAAUUCUUCACCAACACACACUUACAUCUUUUGAUAGUAGAGAUUUAAAGUACUGUAGUGCCAGUCUUUCUUUCCAAUGUAAUUUUGCACUAGUCAAUUAAAUUUUUAACUACAUAAAUAAAUAAAGUAACCAGGAUCUCUUAACUUAAAUAAUAACAAUAAGAAAAUAAAAUAUAGCAACAAGCUACUUGCUUGCUAGAACCACUUGGAAUAUCAUUUCAAUCUAGCACAAGUAACAACAAUAAUUUUCACAUAAGUGACAAAGAUUAAUAAACUUCGAACAAAAACUAAUGAAAAUCUAAUGUUAUAUUACAUAAGCAAAGUACAAUAUUCUAGUCACUCAAGGAGCUAAUAUGGUGCUUUUAGAAGCUUAGAGUUGACGUUCAGUAACCAAAAAUAAAUAAAUAAAAUAUAUAACCAAAAAGACAAAAGCACCAAUGCCAUGAGUAAAUCAGGAUUUUAUAGAAUCCAAUAAAACUAACAAUAGGUCAAGUUUAAAAAGCAAGCAAAAAUAAUUUUAAAAAAAACCUAAAACAACCGAAAGUGAGAUAAAAGUUAGAUUUGAAAAUAUACAAAUUAAAAUGAAUGAACUAAAUAAUUAAUUAAUCAGAGAGAAUUAACCAAUUGAAGCAGAGGUGCAAAGCCCUUGGCCAACAAAGAAGAUCAAUCGCACAAGAAUUGAGAAGAAAAUAAUAGGAUCCCCAAUUUGAAGACUGAACAAAAUGUCAAGGUGAUUAGCUGCACAAGAACAAAACCGAUAUCAUUCUAUAGGUUCAGGUUUCGUUCAUUCCAGCAACUAGUACAUUUAAGCACAUAAAUUUUAGGGAAAAAAAAUUAUUUUCCAACCCAGUGAACAAAUUUUAGAUAAACCUUUAGUGCUUAGAACUACACCUUUAGUGUUGAAAUUGACAAGAAAUUUUAAUCAAAUUAACACGCAAGAGAAAAUAAGGAGAAUAAUUACCUAUGUUAAUCGAAAAAUUGAGCUUAAUCAACAGUGGCACAUGUUCAGUGGGUUCUUCGUGUGGAUCUCGAUGAUGGCCAAAAUCAACGGUGGGUGACAAGGUAAAAUCGACGCCGGGACCUGAGAUAAAAUCGACGGUGUUACUGAUGCAAGGGUUUGAGGCGAUAUGUUGUUGUGAGAGUGAGACCGUGUGAAGGUGAGAGACUUUGAGUUUUGGCUAAACACUUGGGAAAAAAACCGAUAUGAAGUGUUUUGUGUUUAUUCAUUUUUAUUUACUUUUCUCUAAACGCUACCGUUUCUUCUUUUUUUUUUCCUUUAUUUUUUUAUCUUGUUUAAUAAAAUCAUUUUAAAGUCAAAUCAUUUGAAAAUAAAGUCAAAAUAAAAUUUUAUUUCAAACUGCCUGAUGGCCAAAAUCACUAUCACAGACUAGUCAUCAAUUUAUGAUAAUCUAAAUAUCUAUCACAAAUCUGUCUCACUAUUAUGAUAGAACAAAUUUUUAUCACAAUUUUAUCAUAUUUUAUUGACAUAAAAAUUUUGUAUCAUAAAUAUGUCAUAUUUAUGUAAAAUAAGAGACUCAGGCCAAGAACCGUCACACAUGUACCUGUCAUCGUAGGUCAUUUUUCUUGUAGUGAAGCUUAAGGACUAAUCUUUUUAAAUAACUAUUAAGCUUCUCAGUAAGGGAAACCUUCCAUUCUAUUUUUCUUUCUUUUCUUUCCAGGAAUUCAAUAGCUGCCUUGUAAAAUCACAAACAAUAUUUUCUCUCUCUAGUAAAAUAAUUUACAUCAACUUGCAUUAAAACAGACACAAUUAUAUAUAUUUAAAUCUACAAGACAAUAUUUUCAAUAGCAAACUUGAACUACUGCAGCCAAUAUUGUUGUAUUUAAUAUAUUCAAAGGCAAGCCUACUCUAAACGUUGUGUAAAGAUCUAAUUGGUUCGUGGAAGGGUACGGAAGUGAAGGUUACUUGGUCAUGUUCUAAUACAAGUUAAAGGUAAUUCUAAUUACCGAACACAAGCAACCUUAAUACAAAUAAUAGCAUGGCUGGAUUGCAUUAUCCUUCUCUAUUGACAUGGCGACUUAAACUUUAGACUCAUUUGUUUGAAUUUUGUAAAUACUUUGUAAUCACUGCCAACAAAAAUAAAAAAGCCUAAAGAAAUAUUGCAAUCUAUUGAAAAAUAGAAACUAUUUCUGUCUUUGUCCCCAUAUGUUCUGCACUGCACCAUGGAAGACAGAAAAAAAAAAGAAGAAACAAAACUCCAAUAUAUUAAAAAAUACUGAAUAACAUCAUUUCAUUUGAUUCCUAAUAUGUACGUCCAACCAGUUCAACUUUAUAAUGCUAAAAUUAAACCAUAAAUUAAAACCAAUUGAAUAAAAAUGGAUAACUUCAGGAACAUGCCUUCACAAAGGAAAUAAGAAAAAGACACCACAAAAGAUUAACUUUCUAUAUGUUUCCAAGACGCUGUAUAGCUUCAAGGCUCCUAGAAACCUAUUAUCUUUCUCCUUUGUCCAUCAUUCAUGUUGCUUCCUUUUCUACCAUUAACCAAAAUUCACAAUUCAUAUAUUUUAUCCUUAACAGCUAUUUCAUAUCACCAAAAAAAAAUUUAAAAAUUAAAUAAAGAAGAAGAAGAAGAGACAGAAAAUAUAAAAGUAAUCAAAGGUUUCUACUUAAUGUAGGGGUCCAUAACCCUACAAAAUGAGCCUUAGCCCUAACCCUCAAAAUCUAUCACAAUGCCCAGACCCUAGCCUUGACCCUCAGAAUCAAACAUAAUCCCACCAAAAUCAAAGAGUUUACCUGCAAUGACCAUGGAGAAGAGCGGAGGAGCGAUAACGAGCAGGUCCAGGAGAGCGAAUAUAAAAUUUAAUAGAGCGGAAUAAGCCAGUGAAUGGGUCUAUGAAAGUAAAGUGAGCGAAACGGCAAUGGAGAGUGAUCCAUUUCAAGCAAAAUAAAGAGAGCUUAAGCAAAAAGAAGAGUCGCGAGAGACCGAAGAUGUGAAGUGAGCGCCUCUACAAGUGUUUGAAGAUAAGGGAAAAUCAUGUUUUAGCAUGAUUGUUUUAAUAUUAACUGUCAUUAAUUAACUAAAAAAUCAAUAUCUCCAAUAAUGACCUUUUUUUCAAAAUGGUCAUUGUAGGUAUACAUUUAUGAUCGUUGUUGAAAUAACGGUCAUUAAAUAUUUUUCGUGACUGUUGUUAAAAAGAACGGUCAUUAUACAUGGGCCGUAUUUAUAUUUUUGUAGUAGUAACUUUUAAUGACCGUUUUUAAACAUAACCGUCAUUAAAAGUAAUAGUUUCAUAUUUAAUGAUAGUUACAUAAAAGAACCGUCAUUAUAAAUCUUGAACUUUUAAUGACCGUUUUUAUAAUAAAACUGUCAUUAUAAACCUUGAACUUUAAAUGACCAUUUUUAUAAAUAACCGUCAUUAAAAGUAAAAUUAUGUUUUAACUCACAUUUAAUGAUGGUUAUAUAAUUGAACCGUCAUUAUAAAUUUCAAAUUUUUAAUAACCUUUUUUUAAAUAACCGUUAUUGAAAGUAAAAUUAUAUUUUAAAGUAACAUUUAAUGACGGUUAUAGAAUAGAACCGUCGUUGUAAAUGCUAGAUAUUAUGACCGUUUAUAUAAUAACGGUCAUCAAAUAUUUUUAAUGACGGUUGUUAAUAAAAACCGUCAUAACUUAUGAGUCAUUGUUUUAAUUUUUUGUAGUAGUGGAAGUUUAGAUGCUGAAGUGCACACGGCAAAUGGAAGGAGAUCUAAUAAAUGUAGUGAUUAUCAUGCACAAACAAAAGCUCCACUGAGUGGUUGUCAAAUGAACUUUUUUUAGUCAGCCAAGUUAAAUUAACGGAAAGUAGAAGGAUAAAAAAUCAACUUUUACAAAUUGCAUUUCCCUCAAUUUACCUUGACAAUGCAAUGAUAUAAAGGCUUAAAAAUUUUCAAAGCACAGCUCCUUGGUGCCACUUGCCAAUGUAAUAACUAAUAACAGUACAUAGUUUGAUAUUCAUCGAGAAGCACAUCAUUUGGAGAAGAAAUACUUUCACACUAAAGUGUUGCACUCGAUUAUUAGGAAUUGACAUUUUAACAAAUUUAAUGUGUCCACAAACAAUAUUAAAUUAGAUGAGUCCUAUUGAAGAACUCGCCAGAAUUGUGUUUUAAAUAUUGUUAUAGUAAGGUUAUAUGAUAAGAUAAUAAAUAUUAAUCGAAAGAGGAUUGUUAGACUUAAUCGAUUAACUGGAAAUGAAAGAUGUGAAAUAUAAUUAAAAAUUAAUGGCUAACUUGUAAAUUCUUUUUGUGCAUUGGACCAAAGAAUCAUAAUAGAAGCAGCAGCAUCUGGUGCCAGGAAGUUUUUCACAGAAAUUUUCCAUUUUUCUAGUUCACUUCUUCCUCUUUUUUGGUGGCUGAAGAGAUUCUUCAUCUUCGUCUUCCUUGUCCUUUUCGAUGUCUACUUCUUCCACUUCAUCCUCAUGCUCGUACUCGCCCCAAUCAUCAUCGCCGUCAUCUCCCUCUGCAUUGGCUUGCCUUGGGUUUCUGUAUAUUCCUUGAUUUGUAGGAGCAAGAUCUGAAGAUUUGAAGCUCUAAAACUGAAGAAAAGAAGCAAAAGCAGCUGCGUUCACAAACCCACUCCACGCGGUUUUAGUUUACGCAGGUUUAAAGUAAAUAUUUGACCACAUUACAAUAUUCUGUGGUGUAAUCUCCAAACUUGGUAUUAUAAUACUUUUGGUAUUGCAAUACUUUAAUACUAUGAGGGGUUCUGGUACAAUAUAGUGAGGAAUACAAACAUGCACGUAGUGAUUAUUAUGCACAUACAUAAGCUUCAUUCAGUAGUUGUCAAAUAAUUUUUAUUUUUUUUUAAAGUUAGUUGAGUUAAACAACGGGAAAGUAGAAGGAUAUAAAUUAAAAUUUACAAGUUGCAUUUCCAUCCAUUUAUGUUGGCAACACAAUGAUAAAAAAGCUAAAAAAAUUUCAAAAUACAUCUCCUUGGUGCCACUUGCCAAUGUAAUAACUAAUAACAAUACAUAAUUUGAUAUUCAUUAAGAAGCAGGUCAUUUGAAAGAAAAACACUUGUAUGGAUUAUGAUCUUCUCUUGAUAUGAGCUCUCUUAUUUUAUAACAAAUUUUGUGACAUCGAUUUUUUAAUAUUAGUGUAUGAUAAGAAUUUAAUUAUUUUUAUUUUUUAAUUUAUUGAUCACCAAUUACCUUAAUUAAAUUUACUCUUAAGAAGAUAAAGAUCAUGAAAUGAUCGUCCUAACAUGAACUGACAUUUUGAAGUGUUGCGCUCGAUUAAUAGGACCUAACAUUUUAAUAAAUCUGAUGUGUCCACAAACAAUAAUAAACUUGGUGAGUCCUAUUGAAGACACCAGAUUUAUUUGUUAAAUAUUAUGAUAGCACAAAAAUAAAACUAUCACCUUUUUUUAUCUAUAUGUAAUCUAAUGAGUUGAGCUAUUGGCACCUCUCUUAAACUCUUAUCAAACCCCUUUGUUUAUGAUUUUACAAUUUUAACCUUAAUUUGAAUUAUUUUAUACAAAACUUAAUUAGUCGCACCCAUCUACUUCAACAACAAUAUCAUCAACAAUUAGGUUUGUUUAUGACCUAGAUGUAGGAUCUCAGUUACAAACCAUUUAUUAAAUACCAUCAAAUGAAUUAUUCAAAAAGAACAAUUUUGAAUACAAGAUAAAGACUAAUUUAAAGUAAAAUAACUCUAAAAGUAUACAACAUUUUGUAAAUGAAAAAAAAAAGGUUUCACUCUUAUUCAAAGUAUAAAGUUAUGGUUUCGGUGGUUAGAAAAGAAAUCACUCCAAAACUGAAUUUGAUAAGUUCAAGUGCCAGACUUACGAUGUUGAAUAAGAACAAUUAUUAUAAAUUUAAAAUAAAAGACAAAUGUCAUUGAUCUUGUAAGAGUUUCAUAGAGAGAGUGUUGUGAAAAUUUUAAUAUACUCGCAAGUGCACGAAUCUAGAGAUAGAAAAGUGGUAACGAGGUCGAUCCCACAGGGAUUGUUAUAAAUUGAAAAGUCUAAUUUAAAUCUAAAAUUAAUAUUAAUUCUAACCUAGUUGAGCAAAUUGAGUUUUAAGAGAAAUUAAACUAAUUAAACUAAGAAAACAAUUAAAGUAAAUGAGAAUUUAAUGAGAUAAAAAUUACCAAGGUUUCGGAAUCCACCACUAUUCAAUUAGUAAUUAUCUAAAUAUUAAUUAAUCCCCAAUUUUAGAGUGACAACUCGAAAUCAAUCUAUGUCAUCUCAUGGAUAUAACAAUUAAGCCCAAGUAAUUAAAUCUAAUGUAGGUUCUUUUUCUGCUUAAUAAUAUGACAUCUAAGAAUCUCAUGUAAACAUAUUGAAUAACAAAGAGUCAAAGUUUCCUAAGCACUCCAUGUAAACAAUUUAAUGAAAGACAUAAAAUCAAAGAUAAUCAUGUAUAAACUUUAUAGAUCCAAGCAUAGAAUUAAUCGAAUAUUAAUCCUAACAAUCAAUAAUGCAUGACAGAAUUGAUGAAAAGAUUUUAUUAACAUCCAAUUAAUCAUGUGAAAUAAAAACCAUAAUCAUCAAAGAACAUAUAUAGGGAAUUAAUUAAAUAAAAAGAUAAUUAUUUUAUUGAAUAGGGUUUCAUCCUUAACCUCAGUGUAAGAAAAUUAGCUAGACAUACUUGAAUUGAGAGCAACAAAAGAAAUAAAAUCAGCCAUGGGAAGCCGAAAUAUUGCUGCUGCGGAUUGCUCUCUUCCAAAGCCGAAUUCUCCUCCACUGGCGGCUACUCCCCCCAAAAGCCAAGAGCUUAGCUUUCUUAUAUAGCCUUUAAAAUGGGCCCCACCUUGUCAAUCCUAAAGCCUAAAGGAUUUGGCCUUUUAUUUUUCUUUACUCUCACUCACGUGCUCAUCAAUUAAGCUUGUACUAGGAUUUCCUUUUUCCAAUUGUAAAAGCCAAGUGUGGGCCCCUUUAAGUUGCUUUCCAUCCAUUUAUCUUCUUUGUCCGCAUGUGCAUGGGUAAAUGAAUUUGUUGAAUUCGGUUUCUUGGCUUGAUUUCCACAUGCAUGUACGUCUAAUUCCUUCCAAAAAUAAAUUAAUCUUUAAUGCUUACAAAUUGAACUCCUUUAUGCUCUUUUUAUCCAUAAUCUCCAAUUCAUUCCCUAUUCAAUAAAAUAAUUCAAUUAAUUAAAAAUAACAAAUAAAUAUAACUAACAAUUAUUUAAUUAAUGGUAAAAUAUGUAUGUAUUAUAUGCUCAUCAGAGAGACAUGAAAUUUACUGAGAUUUUUGUUGAGAUAGAUAAUCGAAAUGUAAUUUGUAGAAUUAAAUAGAGAUUAUUUUUCAAUGGAAUUUUACGAGUACAUUCGAGGGGCGUCAACAGUCCAACUCUAAUCUAAUAAGUAAUUUCUACGCAAGAGACACGAUGAGGACCCACAAACACAACAGAAUUGGAUAUCCCGAUAUCUUAAAAUGAGGAAUAUAAUAAAUCGCCUUGCAAGAGGCUUCACCAAGAGUCAAGAUAUAGUAGUUAAGCACAAUCUCUCUCUCCCUCUCUCUGUCUGUUUCCUCUCUGUUCUAUUCAAUGAAAAUGGAGGCUACACUUUGGGCUGUGGCUUUCUCCAUUGCUUUCUCUACAGCUAUUCUAGCCGUAGCAUGUGCCUGGUGGAUGCUACUGAAUUGGGUAUGGCUAAAGCCAAAGAAACUAGAAAAGUUCCUCUGAAAGCAAGGAUUCUCCGGAAACUCCUACAAAGUAUUUCAUGGAAACUACUCGCCCAACAAGGCGUUGAUGCCACCUGGUGGAUUGGUUCUGUAGCAUUUUUUUUUUUACUUUAAUUUGAAUUUGAGAAAGGGCUAAAAAAGUUGAAUUAAGUUUCAACGCUCUUCUAUUUUUAAAAAUAAAUAAAUAAAAUAUGGUGUUCACCUGUUUUUAAAAAUCAUUUUCUUCGCAUUACGUGUCUUUUAACGCGUUAUAAAAACAUUCAUCUCGGAAGAAGAGUAAUGCAUACUUAAAAAAAAAAAUUGAAAAAACUAAAGGAUCCUUUUUUUUUUAAUUAUAACAAGAUGAAGAUGCCAUAAAAUAAAAUAAAUUUUGCCUUUUUUUUCUAAGAAUAUUAAAAACCAAAAACGCCCAUAAAACCAGACGAAUAACUUGUCCUAAACCAGUGGGUUUUGAGUUAUUUCAAACUUCUCUCAUUUUUACAUCAAUAUUUUUUUCUGUCGGCAGUAAUUUUCCCAGUGAAAUCCAUUUUUUAAUAAUGUUAUGAGAGCUGCUGAUAUUCAACAUAUUGUAACCUUGGUUCUAUCAUUUUGGACUUCAAUUGAAGAUAUAGAAUAUUAAAAAAUGUGUACUUUAGUUACUUUUUGUAUUUCUUGUUGGAUAUGUAGAGACUAAUGAUGUGUUCACUUAUUGGAAAUGAAAAUAAAAAUUAAGGAAUAGAAAUGAAUAAUUUUUUUUACUUGCUUAAAUAAGAGGUGGAAUGAGAAUUAAUAUGGUGGGCUCCACUUAAAAUUGAGAAUGAUUACUAGAGUUAUUAUUCUCACGGAGAGGUGGGAAUAGAAUUCUCAUUCCCUAAAAUGAUUAUAUUACCCCACUUAAAUCUUACAAUUUUCAUUUUAUCCUUCAUUAUUAUUAUUAUUAUUAUUAUUAUUAUUAUUAUUAUUAUUAUUAUUGUUAUGGAUAAUAAUUAUAAUAUUAUUGCUAUUAUAAUUAUAAUAAUUACUAUUGUUGUUGUUGUUGCUGCUGCUGUUACUACUACUACUAUUAUUAUAGUAAUUUUAUUAUUAAUAUUAAUUAUAAUGAUUAACAAUAUAAUAAUUUUGCUAUAAUAAUAAUAAUAAUAGUAGUAGUAGUAGUAGUUAUUAUAAUUAUAAUAGUAAUAAUAUUAUAAUUAUUAUCCAUUAUAAUUAAUAUUAAUAAUAAAAUACUAAUAAUUAUUAUUAUUACUACUACUACUACAACAAUGAUAAAUUAAGGUCAAUUUAAUAACCUAUAACUAUUCAUUUUAAUUUUAAGAUAAAAUAAACAUAUUAAUGACAAUAUAGUUCAUUCCAAUUCCGAUUUUCAUAUCUAAAAUAAAUAAUUUAUUAUGAUUCUCAUUGCCCAUUUCGAUUCCACUCCAUUCCGAUUUUAACUCAUUCCGAUUACUAAUUAGUAAACACACUAUAAUAUUAUUGCAAAGUAUUGCAAGAUUCUAAUCCGUAACCCUUAUUGCUAAAAUUACAGGUAAGAAUUCUUUCAUAUGGAUGGGUCCAAGACCAAACAUACACAUCACAGACCCUAAAAUGAUAAGGGAAAUUUUUUUGAAGUAUGAUAUCUUUCAAAAACCGAGAAGCCCACUUGCGAAGUUGCUGGUGAACAGUGGUUUAAAGUUAGAAAAAUCGCCACUCCAGCUUUCCAUCAUGAUAAGUUGAAGGUUCGUUUUCACCUUUAUAGUUCGUUUAAUCACACACAAACACAGACCAUUUUCAAUAACACACACCAUUUUCAAUAUGCCUGUUCAUAUUGUUACCUGAUCUAUAACAAUGUUUGACAAUCUCUUCCAUUUUUUUUUCAUAAGAAUAUGUUACCUACAAUUCAUAAGUGCUGUAACGACAUGCUGAGGAAAUGGGAGAUUUCGGUUUCAAAGGAUGAGUCCUGUGAGUUAGAUGUCUGGCCUCAUAUUCAAACUCUGACAGCAGAUGUGAUUUCUCGAACAGCAUUUGACAGUAGCUUUGAAGAAGGAAGAAAAAUAGUUGAAGUGCUACGGGAGCAAAUUAAUCUUCUAAUUCAAGCUUCAUUUUUUGCUUAUAUUCCAGGAUGGAGGUAAUUUUAAUUAUUAAUCAACUUAAAUUAUUCCUCGUAGUACUCUUGGUGACCUGAGCUGUGUUAAUUUUUUAAAGAUAUUAUAUCAGGUGUGUAUUUAUAAAACUACAUAAGAUUAGAAGUGGUCUUCUAAAUAAAGAAUCCUUAUUAUUAUAGUGUAGAAAAGUGUUGUCAAAUGUUUUAGCAUAUAAAUAAUUUCCGCGUGCCUUGCACUUAAUUAUGAGAAUUGUUUAUUGGUAGGUUUGUGCCUAAUAGACUGAAUAGAAAAUUGAAAAGCAACCACAAUGAAACGGGAGAACUGGUAAAGGGUAUCAUUAAUAAAAGAGAGGAAGCUCUGAAAGUUGGAAAAGCCAGCAAUAAUGAUGAUUUAUUGGGUAUCUUGAUGGAAUCAAAUCACAAAGAGAUUCAGGAGAAGGAAACUGGAUUGAGUAUUGAAGAGGUGAUUGAAGAGUGCAAGCUGUUCUAUCUAGCUGGGCAGGAAACCACUGCAUCAUUGCUUGUGUGGACAAUGGUUUUGUUAUGCAUACAUCCUGAAUGGCAAGAACGAGCAAGGGAAGAGGUUUGUCAAGUUUUUGGAAAUAGAGAACCAAAAUUUGAAGAGCUGAACCAGUUGAAAGUAGUAAGCAAUCUUACUCUUACUUAAAUAUCUAUAGCUUUUCUAAUUUGUUGAAAAUUUUGGGAAGACUCAAUUUCUUGUUAGUUAAUUUUCAGGUGUCAAAGUCUGGAUUUCCAAAAUAUAAAUUUGAACUACGAUUAGGACUCUAGGCUGGUGUAGAAUUAUUUUUAUUCUAAUCAACGAUCAAAUUUGGAAUUUGGAAUAUCCAAACAUCCGCACUUGAAAACUACUUCUCCUUAAAUCGAUACCACUUGAAUUUCUUAACCUGACCAGUGUUUGUCAAUAUUUUACUAUCAAAGAUAGUAGAAGCCACAUAAAUUAGAGAAAAUCUUGGGAGGUGCCAACAGUACUGUGACAUCGUACCACAACAUCGGAAUUAUAUUCUGUGAUUUUCACAAUUAAUUAACCUUAAUAAAUUUUUUAUCAGUCACUGAGGACAUUGGAUUUCCUUGUUUGAAGAAAUAAUUCCAGUCUAUGGUACAGGUAAGCGAAUUGAGUUCUAUACAUGGUACUUAGAUUAUGCAGUAGUUUUGGCCAUGGGGGUUGGUUUUUAGAAAUGAUAAAACCUACGAAAAUGUCUAGGGUUCAAAUCCCUUCUUAUACAGGGAAUGGGAAGGGAUUUGUUAUAUAUGUAUGUAAUAUUUUAAAAAAUCAUAAUCUAAAAUUAACAAAUAGUGAGCUUUUUUGGCAAACCAAAAGACCGGAAAUCCAGUGAAAUUUAAAACCUUAACUAAUUUUUUUUUUUUUUUUUUUGCCCUCCCAAAUGAUUCCGUUUUCUGUUGCAGGUAAGCCAAAUUCUGUACGAGGUACUGAGGUUAUAUUCACCAGCACCUCUGCUUACUCGAACUAAUGUUAAGGAGAUUAAGCUAGGAGAAAUUGUUAUACCACCUGGAGUUUCACUUUCAUUGCCAAUAAUGCUUGUUCAUCAUGAUCAUGAAUACUGGGGCGAUGAUGCAAAAAAGUUCAACCCGGAGAGGUUUUCAGAAGGAGUCUCAAAGGCAUCGAAGAAUCAAAUUUCAUUCUUCUCAUUUGGUUG